AAAAAAAAAAAAAAAACCUUCAAAUGUCAAAACAACUUAUUUUUGACAUAAGGUGUAAAAAAAAUUAAUUCAAUAGAAAAUGAAAUGUUAAAAAAAUAUAAAGGAGUUCUAAUUGAAUGACACUUGUCAUUCAAUUGAAGACUCAAUUGAAAAAAAUUAAAAGAAAUUGAAACAUCCUACUUUUAUAUAUAUUAUAGAAUUGAAGACUCAAUUGAAAAAAAAUUGAAAGAAAUUGAAAUAUCCUAUUUUUAUAUAUAUUAUAGAUAUGUUAGAUGUAUAGAGUAUUAAAGUAAGCUAGAUUAGUUAAAUGUGUCAAUGAGAAUUAUUUACAAGUUAGGCAGGUCAACCUGCAUUAAACAUGCACAUUUUUGUGUCAUAAUUGAGUUGCACGACUAUGACACGAACACAUUAUGCAAUACCCAAACUUAAUUUCACAUUAUCAGGUUCUAUCACAAACCCACAUGGGAUCUACCUACGAAUGGAACAGUUUUUAAGUCUGUACAAAUGUUAUGUUUUAAUUAAUAAUUGUAGCACCCCUUAGUUUAAUUUAAGGGUGCGAAAUUUCCUUGCAAAAACCAACACAAGCAUCAAAGAAAUAACACAUAGAUUCUAUUUAAAAUAAUACCAUGCUUACUUCACAUACAUCAACUUGAUGUGUCCAUUGAAAUAUAAAAUCAUUCCAUAGUCGUAUUUUCAGCGUGCAGCCCAAUAUGGAGAAAGAGAUUGAAACAAUGAAGGUGGCAAAACUCAAAUUCAUGACGUUUUGGCUCUGUAUUUUAACAGAAUCACAAGAUUUUCCAAAUCCAUUUACUAUUAAUAUACAAACUCUUAGCAUAAUGCAUUAUAUUUAAUUUUGCAUGCUAAUGUCAGUGCGUUUGCAUCAAAAUUAAAAAAUAGCAUUCCAAACCUCACACGGUCAACAAAAGAUAACCCAAGACUGCGUUUGGCGUGAAAAAAAAAAAAAAAGAGCAUUUCCGGAACCGUGAUUGAGAAAAAAAAAGCAAAAACAGAAACAAAAGUGCUUCAAGAUUUGAACUUGAAAAUUUCCAUAAAACAAAUUUAGGCAAGUAUAUAAAUAAGAACCUGUUGAAAGCAGAGAUGGCAACAACGUCGCCGUUUCGGAGGCCGAGAUGGAGCAGGGCGCGAGCCAGACUGAGCACGCACUCGACCAGCUGGUGGCCUGUUUUUUGGCGGUCGCCUCUGAUUGUCACCACGGAGUUCCGUUUUUCGGUGGUGAGGCGGCUGAAGCACUGGCAAAUGUGGGCCUCGGAGUAAAAUCCCAUCUCGACGGAAGGCGAAAAUCGAGAAUUCGGCGUUUCGACUUCGUGAAAAUGAAGGAAACUCUGUUUCUUCUUUGCGUUUUGGACGAAAGAACGGUUGGAACGAGAAAGUGCGGUUCAGCUUAUCUUAAAAUGAGAUGAAAGUGCUCCUGUCCCCGUGCUGUGAUGUUAGGCAUUUCACCGUUUGGACGUUGCAAAUUGCAAUUGUCACUUCUAAUCGGAAAGCAAGUUUAGAAUCAUAUAUAUUUAAUUUAAUUAACAAAAUAUUUAUUUUAAAUUGAAUAAUGAAAAUUUUUAAAUAGGAUAAUCAAUAAUGAAAGAGGACUCAACAAAUUAAUAAAUUUAUUUUUAAAAAAGACUCAUGGUUGAUAUUUUAUUUCAUAUUUAAUUGUCAUUUUUUAUUCGAAUUUGAAAGUAAGUCAUCAGUGUUAAGUUUAUUUUCUAAACUUGAUAAGUUUCAUUUUUUUCUAAUACAUUUACAACAUUAUAUUAUAAUUUAUAAAAUUGAAUUUUCAAGUUGGGUUGAAUCGAGUGGGAGAGUUUUUAAUCAAGUAUCCACCAAAUAAAUGAUUUUAGAUAAUUAAUAGAUAUAAUUACUCGGUUUCGAUUAAAUUAUACUAGUUAGAAUAAGAUUAACAAUUUACUUAAAUUUCGAAUACCUCAAUAAUAAUUAAUUUUAACUAUUUCAAAAUAAAUGAAUAUUUUAUUUUUGUCAAAUAAUAAAAUUUUUUUAUAUUUAACAGAAAAGGGAUUCAAAUUUUAUUUUUUUAAAAGAGAAAAUGCGCGAACUGUUGAAUAAUAAUUAAAAUAAACAAAUGAAAGAUUUAGGCAUCUUAACUUAGCAAAUUAAUAAAGAGAUAAUAAUAAUUGCCAGCCUUAUAACAGAACUGCCACUGAUGGUUGCAUUUAAGUUAUCCAGCUUUAAUAAUGGAAACUAAGCAACUAGCAAAUAAAGAAAUGAAAAUAGGUAAUGAAAUUAAUCAUACAGAUACAGAUAAGCUGGCUCGUUCUUUCAGCCAUGCAAAAAAUGGCGCCGAAAACAAGGUCCACAUUUUCCCUGGUUUCACCAAUCAACAUAUGGCCCAUUCCAGGAAAAGUGUUCAAUGUUUUGUCCUUGCUCCACUGAUUCAUACACUAACCGAGCAGACCAACAGUGGCACACGACAUCAUCUUCCCCGUGCACCAUCAGCAUGGGCACCUCCAGGCCAUGGUAUCAAUCUGAUAAGAAGUUGGUGAUUGAAGAUCAAGGAGAGAAACUAUCAACUGGGUUGAAGAAUUUAAGAAGAAAGGAAAGGAGCACGUGUGAUUGUGAAUUACAUGCUUUGUAAUAACAAUAUACUUGUGUUAUUUAUUGUUACUUUUAUACUUACUGUUUAUUAAACUGUAAAAAUAUCAGUUAGUUAAUUGUUUAGUUACUUUUAUACUUACUGUUUAGUUAGUUGACUUUCUUCACCCGAGUUUGUUGAAAAAAUAGAGUAUAAAUAUUCUGCUGUACAGCUUCUAUUUUGUAAUGAAAAAUAGCUUGAAGCUUGACAAUUCUCUUUCACAAAUAGUACACUUUCAACACAAAUACCUUCAGAAGAAAUUACAUUAGUUAAAGUAUCGGUACUUUAUAAUUAGAUAUGUACUCUGCAUUACUUGAUUCGAUUAAAUAAAAUUAAGUUACUUUAUAAUUAAGUUUGAGCAAUAAAAGUACUAUUUAUCAUGAACUCAAAUAAAUGUUAGAAAAUGGUCCUAGAUACCCACUAUUUAAAUUCGAUUAUAAAUAAUAAAUUUAAUAUUAAAUUUUAUUAUAUAUAUUAUUUAUAAAUAUUUUAUAAUUAAUAUAAUACUUAUUAAAAUUCAUUUUGUGUCAAAUCUAAGAGCCCCACUAGGAUGCAUUUAAAAUGAAAAAAAAAAAAGGAGUUUGGUUGAUGAAAUCAUUCAAUUGAUGGUCACGUUUUUAUUGAUAGUUGAUUACAUUAAAAACAAUUAAAGAUUAUAAACAUUUUUAAUGAAAAUGUAAAUGCUGUGAACAUGAAUAAAAUAUUUAGUUUAGUAUAACUCUAAAAAGUUUUUAUAGGUUACAUAAUUACAUGAAUUUUAAAAGGAUAUUGUAGGUUUGAAAAUUUUAAAUAUACGAAAAUUCAUUUGGUAUAUAUACUACUAAAAGAUAAUAUGGAGUAGAAUUAUUAAUGGAAUUAACCCUUAAUUUAAUCAAGGGUCAAUUCCUUGUUGAAUUAAUACCUUAAAGCAAUUGAUCAACUCUUUUUUUUUUUUAAAAAAAGCUAAAAGCAAUUCAAAGGUUCAUAUAGAAUGGAAUAUAAAUAAUUAGAAAGUGAUAUGUAGCUUUGGAUCCCAUUAAUUAAAUCUCCUAUAACCUUUGACCAAAAUCAUUUCCCAUCAAUUGUUUCACCCAUUAGAAUGUGUCAUAUGCUUUAUUCAUGAAAAACCCCUUUUUUUUUUUUUCCUUUUUCUCUUCUUUAAAAUGGUAGGUAAAGUGCUCAUGCAUUCACUUUGUCCCUUUAAGUUUUUUUAUCUUUUUAAUUUAAUUUUUCCCAAUUACGCAUAAAUGAAAUGAUUUGAAGAUACUUCGAAUUUAAGUUAUAUUAAGUUCGAUUCGUUUUGAAUUAGUUUCAGGUUAUUUUAGAUUUAUAUAAAAUAUAACAAUUUUAACAUAAUAUUUGAGUUGAAAUUUUUUCGAAUGUGGAUUUAUUUCAAAUUAAGUUUUUCUCAAUUUAAAUCUCAAACUUUUUAAUCAAGUUGAAGCAUUAUAAAGGAGCUGUGGAUUGGGGUUGGUUUUACAGCCUCUAAUAUGAAAUGACAAAAGACAGGGAGAGACAAAGUAACAAGAAAGAAACAAGCUUUAAAUGAUGGUCAUCAUGAUUGUUUUCUUUUCCUUUCUUAUCUCGUUUCCUCCUCGAUCACACUGAUUAUGAUUGUCGUAUUAAUUAAUUAUAAUUAAUUAUAAUAAGCUUAAUUAAUUUGUGCAGGUGGGCCAUAGAAAGGAAAGCACACUCCUUUCUCAAACAUCCUUUAAUGCUCUACAACUGAUUCCUUAGCAUGAACAAAAUUGGAUAAUAUACUUUUCUUGUUCAAUUCUCCUAAAAUUAUUCUCAUAAGGUCGCGUAACAUUUCACGCUAUGUCAUUUCUUUUUUUCCUUUAUCUAAAUGUUGUAUAACAUUAAAAUUUGAGACUUUAAAUUAAGUUUUAAAUCGAAAUUUAGAAUAAAAAGAAAGAGAAACAUAUCUAAAUCUUUCAUGCAAAAUAUUUCAUUUUGUUUGACAUAAAUAUAUUAUUUUACGUAAAUAUAUGUUCAGGUGAAUAUCUCCCAAACAUAUUAAAUUUUUGAAAAAACAUUACAUACAUGUAUGAAAAUGAAAAGGUGUAAUUAAUUUUCUUUCUUUUUCAUAUAUAAACGUUCUUUAAUAUUUGCCGUUACAGAUAAAGACAAAAAUUGGUAACAUAAAGCAUAUGCUUAAAUACAUGCAAGUAUUUUUAAUUAAUUUUCCUUUCCAAAAAAAUGAAAUUAAAAGAAAAAAGAUUUCCUUUGGAGGAAGAAAGGUCAAAUAUGGCAGAUUAUGUAAAUAAAUUUAAUACCAAGGUUCAUUGUAUAGUCUGCCCUUUUCACUCCCGCUCACCAAAUCUAUCUGGACUCUUUUUGUCUAUUUUCUCAGAAACCCUAAACGUAACCAGAAGAACAGAGGGAAGCACAGAGAUUUGUAAAUGGAGCAGCUUUUCUCUCUGAACUCUUCUCUUCUCCUUUAAUUUCUCCCGGAAAAUCUCGUAAGUUGCCCUUUUUUUUUUUUUUUAAUUGUGUUUACAUUUUUAACCUUUUUUUCUUUCUUUUUUUUUUUUUUUGUGAUUCUUCGCUUUUGUUCAUUUGCUCUUAGAAUCCUGAGCUUAUAUUUCUUGUUAAUUUAUCUUUGUGUUUAAUUUCUUUCUCAAAUGCAAUAUGUUUAUGAAUGUGUUGAGCUCAAUUUUCAGUGUCAAAAGUUGUCAGAUUUUGUUAGUGUGAUUUGCAUUUGUUUUAGAAAAAUUUGACUUUGAGCUAAUUGUCAUUGUUUGACUGGUAAGAAUACAUCAGAAAGGGAAAACGAAAUGCAAUCUGAUGCCUUGUAGUCCAUUUCUACAGUUUUUUAUGCUGAAAUCUGAGCUCAACCAUGUAAACUGAUGAAAUUUGAAUUUUUAUGAAGUAGUUAGUUUCAAAUUUAGUUAAAUUCAGCUUGUUGAAGCGUAGAAACUUAUGGUGAUCUUGAGCAAUAUGUAUUAAUUGCUAUUGAUUUAGUUUGCUCCUUUUUUUUUUUUGUUUUUGUUUGCAGUUUAAUAAUCCUGCUGGUGAGAGGCAAUUCUGAAAUGGGUAUGGAGAGCUGUAGAGAUGUGAAUGCUAGUGUUGUUUCAUGUUGUGAUGCAUCUAUAAAUGGGUCGGUGCACAUUGGUGAUACUAUAAAAGAGGGUGAGGAACUGGAUGUUGACUUUCUCAAUGAAUUUGAUUCAUAUGUGGAAGACAUCAACGACCGGUUGACAGUUUCUAGGUUGGUGAGUGACUCAGUCAUCAGGGGCAUGGUCAAUGCUGUUGAGCAAGAGGCAGCUGAUAGGAUUGCUCAGAAAGAGUUGGAGUUAGUAAGAUUGAAGAAAAUGAUGAAUCAUUACCAUGUUUGUUCAGAUGAAAACAAGUCUUUACUGAAGCACUAUGAACCAAACAUUGAAAAAGAUGGUGUAUUUUCAAGAUUGUCAGAUUCUUUUUGUGAGCAUGACAGGAUCCGAGAAUCUUUGGGCAGUCUUCAAAAUGCAGCUAAAGGGCAGUUUAAGAAUCUUAGGAUAGAAAUUGACAAAAUCAGAGGGCAUAGUUCUAUUAGGAGGAUUAAUUCAAGUCCCGAGUGGGUGGGAUUGGGUGGUAUUCUGCAAGAGGAUGAAACCACAGACCGGAUUGAUGUGGAUAAAACACUUGAUUCUUUAAGAAUAACCCUAGACACUAUCUAUGAGCAAGUCGACGAUAUUAUUUGCUCAUCCAGUGUUUCACUCUGUCAGUGGCAGCUGGAGCUAGAAUAUCAGGAAGAUGUUGAACAUAUGGUGGUAGCAAGUUGUAUUCGGAGUUUGAAGGAACAGUUUGAAGAAAGACUAUGGGAUCAAAAUGCUCAAUGUUAUGGUAACGGAAAUGUAAAUUGGAUUGAGAAGAUCAAUGAGAUUUCCAGUUUGCGUCAGGAAUUAGAUACCAUUUCUAAAUCACUGUCUAAUCCUGAAACUGGGAUGCUGAAUUCUCAUAGUUCCUUGGAGAUCAAUGAUGAUUUGAGUAACAAUAAAAGGACCGAUCAUUUACAUCGAAAGGUUUCAGAGAAUCAUGUUUCAUCUCUUUGGGAAGGAAAUGGCAAGCAAGAAGAGUCGGUAAUUGCUGUGCCAGAAAAUUUGGAUGCUGCGCAACUGAGUCACAUGUCAAAGGGGGAAUUGGUGAAUUUUUUCAAGAUUGAGAUGACAAAAAUGAAGAGAAACCAUGACUACAAACUACAACAGUUGACUGAAGAAUAUUUUACCCUCAAACGGGAAUAUUUGAAAGAAAGGGGUUCUUCUUUGCCAUUCAGGAAGGAUAAGGAGUUUGAUGUCUUGAGGAAAAAGAUCCCAGAUGUCAUUGUGAAAUUGGAUAGAAUUCUUGUUGGAAAUGAGAAAUUUCCUUUAGUAAGUAAUAACGGUGAGACUCUCGGAAGUUUGAAGGACAGAUUAGAAUCUCUUCUUUCAGAAAAUCAUCAACUGAGAGAUUCACUAUUCGAUAAGAAAAAGGAAGUUAACAGCCUUUCUUCACAGGUUUCGGAUGCCAUAGUGAAAAUCUCACAGUACUCUCUGACCGAGGAUAACUUACUGAAAAAGGUAGAAAACCUUGAAUCUGCAGUUGAAGAUGUACAUAUUGAAUCUGCCAUUAGUGGGGAUGUAUAUAAAUGCUUCAUCAGGGAGGCGAUCAGCCAGACCAAGCGGAUCAGUGAAGAUUUAGAGGUGGAGCACAUCAUCAUGAAAGAAAUUUAUGACCUUAUAUGGAGAGAUGCUUCUUGCAAUAUGCCACAUGCCAGCAAGAGUGAAUUUGAAGAUUCUGAUUUGGAAUCUUUAAUUAUGGAAGGACUAUGUGCAAUUGUAUUCAGAGCAGCCUUCUCAGAAGCCAAGGAGAAACUCCAUGACUUAAGCAAGGAUGCAUGCAAGAAAGAAAGGGUACUAAAACUGGAAGUUGAAGAGAAGGAAAAAUUGCAGCAGCAUAUGCUCCUAAUGGCAUCAACAAUUGAUGAAAAGGAGAAGUUACUUAAUGAAACAUCUGCUGCAAUGGAAAGAGAAAAGGAGAAAUUUAUGUUGGCUUCUCAAGAACUUGAUGUUGUAAGGGAUAAGACAAACCGGCAGCAAAUGAUAAUUUCUAAGUGCAAUGAAGAAUCCAAUGUUCUGAAAGUUAAUCUCCGUCAAGCAUCGGAGAAACUUGAAUUACAACAAGUGGAAACAUGUAAAUUAAACGAGAAGCUUGACCAGGCAGUGAAAGAUUUGAGGGAAAGCGAUGAUGAGAAAAGAAGGCUUCUUGUUGCUGCCAAGGAGAAGGAGAAUAUUUUAUCAUUGUUUGAAGCAAAUGAAAAUGAGCACAGAAAACAGAUGGAAUCAAUAAUUAUUCUUGUUGAAGGACUAUAUAAGACAUUUGCUGAUUUUGAAUGUCAAGUAGCAGAAGAUAUGAAGAGGAGUAAUCUAAGGUACUUUCUCUAUCACCGUUACCUUUUUUCAUUUCCCUAUUGAUAAAUUACUGAAUGCUUGGAUAAGUCUUAUGAAAUGUUGAUGGUUCACAUAACACUCUUUAUGCUUUAAGAGACAGGAAUGUUGUCUCAGUUCUAUCCUCUCUUAUCUGUCCUUACAAAUGACUAGAAGGUUUUAAGUGGAAAGAAACCUUAAGUUGCAAUGUGUUGUCUGUUCUGUAACCAAAUGAAUUUUUUCCUAGGUUUUGUCAUUGGGGCUGUAACUGUUGAAUUGCAUUGUUUUCCUCUCAAAUGUAUGAUAUUGAAUUUUACCUCAGACCUUGACUUGCUUAGUAAUGGAAGAUGGACUUAAGCUCUGUCUCUUCUUCAAAACUUGUGGAGAAAAGGCGUAUAACUCAUGACUUUGGAAUUCAUUAAAUUUCAGUUCCUAGUGUUCUGCUACUGCCAGAUUGCCAAUACUCAAAUAUCUGGUUAAUGUUGUCAAGAAAAGUUCAGUUAAGCUCAUUCUCAUCACUUUUAAGCCUAUCAACUGAAACUAAUAAGAUAACUUUCAUUUUUGUCAGAGAUCCUUAUUGAUAUAAAUGAUUUGUUGUUGCUAGUUGUCUAUGACAUCUGUCAGUUUUUGAUUUUACAAUUUGACUGAGGUAGCUCUGCCAAUCCCUGCUUCUUGCAGAAUGGUUGAAAUUUUUUAAAUUCAGCACUUUCAGGUGUUUGGGAUAGUGAUGUAUAGAUUGUAUAUCCAUCAAGUUAAGCUAAUUUGGAUUUCUUUUUUUUUUUGAAAAUAACUUUCACUCUGGUCAAUUUCCUGGUCUUUGGUCGGUGUGUGACCUUGUGUCCUUCAGUCUAAUUCAUGUUCCUAUAUGAACCAUUGACUUUUAUUAUCUUUAGAUUAUAAUUUGGUUUGAUACUCUAUUACUGAGUUUUUAUGUACUUCUUCUAUUUUGAAAAGCAUCUGUAUUAAUUUGGAGAUGGAAUUUUCUAUUGCAUUUAUUAACUCAAAUAUGUAAUAUAUGCAUAUGGGUCAAUUUUCAGGUUGGAGAAUUUGAACUCCCAAUUCAGUUCUCUCAUUCAGAUGGCGAACGUAUUGAAAAGAAAGGGAUUGCAUUAUAAGCAGAAUCUUGAAAGGAGAUGUUCUGACCUUGAAAAGGCUGAAACUGAGGUAGAAUUAGGAAAUGUUAAAGUAUUCCAUUUUGUGAUGGCUUUAUACCUGUUUGACAUUGUAGAAUGAAUUUCACAAGGAAUAAAUAUGAAUUAAAUGAUGCUUGGCUUAUAUUUUUGAUAAUGAUAAACCGAGCUGCAGAUUGUCUUCUAUGGUAUGAGUAAUGAUAUUUUAUUUGUGAAUUUCUUGUCUCCCCUUUUCGAUUAGUAGUGGUUUAGGAAGAAAACUACCAAAGGAUAGUGUAGUGAUAUAGUAGUCUACAAUGUAUUUGAUCGCCAAAUGGACUGUGUACUGGCUUCUAUUUCAAGGUUAAACUAUUACAUAAAUAACCCUGUUUUAGUUUUCACAUUAACUGUAUACAGUUUACAUUGAAAUAACUUAAACCAAAGCAGAGAAGAUCAUUGAGUAUCAUUGAUUGCAUUAUACAUCAUAAUAGAGCUUUCUGAUUUGGUAAAUCAUUAUUAUUAUUGUAUUUAUUAUGGUUCUUUUUUUUAUUGAAGGUGGAUCUCUUGGGUGAUCAGGUGGAUGUUCUUUUAGGCCUUCUUGAGAAAAUAUACAUAGCGCUUGAUCAUUAUUCUCCAAUAUUGAAACAUUAUACCGGAGUAAGUUGUUUCUUUGUUCUACUGAACUUUUAUAUUGUUAUAUUUCUUAAAAGUGAGUCAAAACAGAUUCAUGCGUCUAUGGAACGUUUCUUAGGUCACAAAGAUCAAUAAUAACUUGGGUUAUUCAAAUGUUGUUUGCCGGUUGCAUAUGUUUCUUAGAAUUGGAAAGCAUGCUUUGGAAAUUAGAGAAAUACUUUCUUUGUGUUUAAACCAAGGGAUAUCCUGUGCAAACAAGUUUUGAUUGACUGAACUUGAUGAUUUAAUGAGCAUUUCCAUGUGGACGGUGAGAUAGGAAGACCAAGAGGACAUUGGGGGAAACUAUAAAAAGGGACAACAUAGUCCAUUAAGCCAACCUCACAUAGUGGAACUUUGUUAUUUCAACUUAGUGACAGGCAAAAAGUUAUGUCACCAAAGAAAAAUGCAAAAAUCAUGCCAUGGAGUUUCCAUGCAAACCUAAAUAACUCCGUCUCUCUUUUCACAAUGUGCCUCAUUAUGUUCAGAUUUAUUUCUUCCUAUUUAUGGCAGGAUGGAAAACCUGAAAAACUUUAGAUUUAAAAAAUCAAGGGUUUUAUUUAAUGUUGUUGGUAAUGUUCACAGGAGUGUUUCUAUAACUUUCCCAGGAUUAUAUUCUUUUUUAGUCUACCUUUCUAAUGUGAUGACUGAAAUGUGACAAAAUCCUGCUUGUUGUCUCUCUCCCAAAGAGGAUGACCUGAGUUUGAAUCUCCCACCCUCAAACUCUCCCAGAGAAGGAAAGAAAGAAAGAUGAUUUCAGUUAUUUAACCAAAGCUUAUACUUGAAGUUGCGAAAAGACAGAAAUAGUUUUAAGGGAAAAGGAAUACCGUUUAAGCUAAUUCAUGGUUGAAUGCAUAUGUAUGCAAUUUUAACCUGUUGAAAGGUAAAUUUGAUAGUAGCGGAGUGAGAAAAAGUAAUCAGUUUAUUAAUCUGUUUUUUAUAUGUAUGCUUGAAUAUCCAUUUUUAUGAAGAAAAAAACAUAUAUGAACACUUAAUAACUUCUUGUGGUGUUCUGAUAAUUGUGUCGUAGCUUGGCCAUGCCCGUAAUUUCUGUAUACUUGUCAUCCAUGCAUUUCCAAAUCUGAUGUUCAGAAGUACUUUAUUUUGCUUGUUUCAGGUUAUGGAGAUAUUGAAUCUGGUUAGAAGAGAGUUGAGUGGAGAAUCUACUAGGCCAGUUUGAUCUACUCUUCCCACUGUAGAGAAACUCAGAACAGAGGUAGGUUGUAAAAAUUGUUGCAACAGCAUCAUCGGGCAAGUUAGCGAGAUUUUGGGGUAUUAGAAUACAGUCUUUAUUGAAGUUGUCCUUGCUGAAUAUAGCUGUACAGUCUAGUAAGCCAAGGAGAUUCCCUUUUGCUUCCGUUGGACCAAAGAGUUAUAGAUCUUUUUCAGUGUUUGACCAGAGUGUAUAUUUGUUUGAUUUAGCAGUUGAUGAAAUUAAACUAAUAUUUCUCAUUACCCUGUGCUGGGAGUAUGAUGGGGAUGUCUUUGUUCUCUCUUUGGCACAUACACCAUACCUGACACAUUUACAAUCAAAGCUCACAUAUGUAGUUUACUUUCUUUUCCUUUUGAGAAAGAGAGAUAGAAGUCUAGGUCUUGACAAAUAAUUCUUAAAUAUGCAUAUAUACUUUUAAUUAGUUUUAUAUAAUUUAGUGGUGUUAUGAUUUUUUGGAGUGAUGGUACUCUGUUAUUUAAAUGUCUAUUUAUAAUAAGCAUUCUUAAAAGUUUAUGUCAAGGAAGAUAUGUUUACUCUUUCCAUUUACAGGGAAAAUAUUAAAUAGGGUUUACUGGUAAUCUUUCUGGUCGUAUUAUCAAAUUUGGGAUGUGAAAAUCAUUGAAAAUUUUUAAACCGUUGAAAAUGAAAAUUAAAAUAAAAUUAAAAUUAUUAGAAAUUAUACCUCACAGAUGAAAAAAAAACACCACUUUUUGAAUUUGGAUGUAGGUUUUGAGCUUAACUAUCAAUAAAAAGGUUUUAUAUCCAAAUCAAUGCAUAUUUAAAAGUUACUAAUUAUUUUCAAAAAAUAAUGAUAAAAAAAACCCUUUUCAUUUUGAUUAAAGAAAAAGUUGCAGUUUUUAAGUUUUAUAUGCUAUCAAUAAAUCAAAUCUUGUAAUUUUGUUAAUAAAUAAGUUUAAAAGAUAUUUAUUGAAAAAGAUUUUUAAAUUUUGCGAUUAGGUUAUAAUGUAUAUAUAAUACAUUGAUAAUACGUUAAAUAUAAAUAAAAGAAUUAAAUUGGUAGUGCGUGUCAUAGGUCAAAACUUAAGUUUAAUUUUGUGCGAUUUUAAAUUUUAAAAAUAAAACUAAAUAAGUUUACAAAUCAAGUUUCUCAAUAGUGUACGGCAGCCUUUGCUAGUCCUUUUAUAUAGAAUUAAGAAGAAAAAAAAAGCUGGUAAGGAAGGGGCGAGAGUACUGAAGUGUGAAGGAGAUGAGAAAAAUGAAGACAAGAAAUAGAAGCUGGUUGGUGCCAUUUCACCUUCUUCUUCAUUUAGCAGCUAUUUGUGUAUUGGGGGAAUGGUUAAUCUUUCAGUUUGGAGAGAGGGACAAUACGAAAACAGACAUUUCACCUUUAAAACUACUCUUUAAUUUAAUUGCCCUCCAAGCAAACCUCGCUUAUCCCUCCCUCACCCGCUUCUUCUUCCCUUCCAUCCCAUGCCUGCUUUGUUUUUCCACCCAUAAUGGGAAGCCACUGCAAUCCCAGCAAGCGCCAUUAUGACAUUACACUGUCCAAGAGAACCCGGAAGCCAUUGGAUCUCCAGGAAGCUAACGGUACAUCCAACAUUGCUUCCUCCAAAUGGGAUAAUCCUCUGAAAAUCUUCCCAAGAAAAGCAGCUGAUGAUGAUGAUGAUGAUGAAGAUGAAGGGGAAGAGAGUAGUGAUCAUAAAAGCUUGAAGCAACUCAUCAACGGUGAUGGAGGAGAAGCAAAGGAGGAGACCAGCUGCAGAUCAUCAGGCAGGAGCUCACUGGUUCAACAUUUCAACCAAGAAGAGAAACAGCUUCAGCUGGUGAAGAAAAACCAGCAGGAUGGGGUCCAUGGGGGGGCGAAGCUGAAAGGAAUGAUGAGUCGGUAUGCCAAAGUUUUGAGCCGUUUGGUGAAAGCCAAGCGUGAACCGCGCUUAGGGUCCAACAAGAAGCAUCUUCUCCGGUUAACAAUGUAGGGUUUUUCCUCAUACACGAGCUUAUGCCUCAGAGUAUACAAUAUUCCCAGAUCUCAAAUCAUACCUCAUAUAUAUAUAUAUAUAUAUAUAUAUAUAUAUAUAUAUAUAGUAUAAACCUUAUGAUAUGCUUGUGUUCCCACGUUCUGUAAUUGAAUUCUACAAUUAAUUAAUUAGUAGUAUGUGCUUAUCUCUCGACUGUUCCUUCAACAGUGCUUUUCUCUCACAAUGACCAAAGCACUGUUUAAGUAACAGUGACAUUGUCCAUUUAUCCUCCUUCAUGAGGUUUUGUGUUUCUUGGGAAUUUGAUCCAUAGCCAAUGGCCAUCAUCAGAUGAUAGAUGUCUAUUGUUUAUACUUUGAGAAAUUCUUCUUGGCUUUUUCUGGCCUUUUGGGCAAUUUUUUAUCCUUUAUUUCUUUCAUUUUAUUGGAAAAAUAAACUAAUUCAAUUUAAUAUAUUGUUUCUAUGCAAUAAUAAGAAUAAAGUUGUUAAUUUUGUUUGUGGCCUUUUACAUUAAUUUGUAUUUCAAUCAUAAAUUUUUUUUAAUUAACUUAAAAUGCUUACUUGUAUUGGUUAUAAAUUUUGAAUCCGUACUUGAUUUGUGUCAAUGGUUCGAUCACAUUAAAAAAUACCGAUUGAUACUCCAAACAAUAACACAAAUAAUUUACGUAAAAAAUUCAACCAAAUUUAUUUUUAUUUUUUUAAGCACGUGAAUUUUGAUUGAUCGAAAAAAAAUUUCAUAUAGAUUCAUAGAUAGAAGUGGUGGCUCAACCCUUUAAGCUACCAACUUACUAAUGCACACGUGUGAUGAUUGCACUUUGUUUUAAAUUGUCCUGAUUUUUUUCUUUUUUUUAUUUCGUAAAUAUGAAUUCUUCAAAAUUAAAUAUUUAUAAUUUCAGACGACAUAAUUCUUCCACGAUUUAUUAAUAAGCACUUUUAACUAUCAUGAUGUUUCUAAUUAUUAAUAAAAGUCAAUUAUAUAUUAAUAGAUAUUAACUUUGAUUCCAUAUUAGUUUUUAAUAAUUCAAUAAGUUUCGUUUCAAUUAAUUAAAAAUUCACUUGAUUGAUUAAUCUCUCUGAAAAUUUUAAAAACAAUUGAAGGUCACUUUAAAUCGGUUAAUAUCAUAAUUUCCUUACAUGAUAACUUUUUAUAAUUUGCAUAUUAUGAUAUUAUAUAUAUAUAUAUAUUUAUAUAUUUCUGACUUAAAGUUUAUUGCGCCCCUAAUUAUGAUUCUUUGUUCGAUUAUGAAAUAUUAUCCUUCAAUUAAAAUUAAUUAUAUAAGUUCGAACUUUAAAAUAUAAUAUUAAAAUUAUAUUUAUUAAAAUAAUAUAUUUGAUUGAAAAAAAUAAUUAUUUCUUUUAUUUUAUUUUACCAAUGAUCAUUGUUCAAUAAGAACUCAAAAUAAUUAAUACCAAACCGUGAUAAUAAAUUUACAUCUUCUUCUUGAAAAAAUAACACAUAUGAUUAUUAAUUUUUUUUUUCAUUUUUUGGUUUUGAUUUAAUAUUUUAAUUAUAUGAUUAAUUAAGGAAAAAAAUUCAGCUAAUGCGGGUCGGCUCGGAUUGAGAAGAGUGGCGGGACCCAAGAAGGCGGUCCGGUCCAGCCAUUUCAGCUUUCUUUCCUACGCUUUGCACUUCCAUCUCUUCUUCUCAGAUCUCUCGCUUCUUUCCCAUUCUUUCCAGAUCCCAAAAUCACCAUUGAUUCAAUUCAAACCAACACAUUGGAUUCGCCUUUUUAUCAUUUCUUUUCAGAAUUUCGAUCCAAAGGAACGAAAAAGAAAUUUAAGGGAAAGAAACAGUUUGAUGACUAGAAAGCAAAAUUGAGAAGCCAAUUUUUGUUGAUUGAUGAUUUGUAGAUCUUGAAAAUGGAUCCGCAGCCUUCCCCAUCGGGAAGGUCGUCCCCAGUAGGUCGAAGCCCUUCAUUCUCCGUGACCGAUGCGGGUAGCCAAAGUCUCUCUUCGAUCCUCAACAACCCUCACGCUGCCAGAUUGGAGGCCUCUUGGGUUGGUUGGUGGUCCGUUUCUCCUCCCGAGUUCGCGCCCUUAAUUUCAACCAAAGCCUCCUCCGACCUCACACGAUCCGACUUCCAAUCCUACGUCUCUUCCGUCUCUGACUCCUACCAUCGCUUCGAGGACAUUCGCAACCACUCCACCAAGGAGCAAACCCUCGAUGUCGACAACAUUGGGGAGGCCCUCGUCGCUUGUUUGAGGGAGGUCCCGGCACUCUAUUUUAAGGAAGAUUUCGCACUCGAAGAUGGACCCACUUUCCGGGCAGCCUGCCCUUUCACCGAUGUUUCUGAAAACAUUGUGCUUCAGGAGAAGUUGUCACACUACCUGGACGUGGUGGAGCUGCAUUUGGUCAAGGAGAUUUCGCUGCGCUCCAAUUCUUUCUUUGAAGCGCAAGGGCAGUUGCAGGACUUGAAUGUUAAGAUUGUGGAAGGUUGCAGUCGGAUUCGCGAGUUAAAGGAAACUAUUCGGCUUUUAGACACUGAUUUGGUUGACUCUGCUAGGCAGAUUCAGGAGUUGAAUGCCAAUAGGACCAAUUUGUUUGCACUCCAACAUAAAUUGAAGCUUAUUCUAUCUGUUAACCAAGCGUUAUCCGCUCUUAAAUUGGUCAGCUUUUAAAUUUCCUUUUUUUCUCUUUUAUUUUGUGUCAUUCACCAAGAAAGAAAGGAAAACAAUAUAGAUUUGAAGAGGCUACUUUGUUAAUGCUUGGAGAGGAGUUUGAUUUAUUUUUAUCGGUUAUGCAGCUUGUUGCAUCUGCAGAGUGUGCUGGAGCUUUGGAUGUUAUUGAUGACCUGCAGCACUUGUUGGUAUGCAUUCAUCUUUCAAUGAAAUCAUAUUCUUUGCUUUUUUAUUUUUUAUUUUUUUAAAGUUAUGUUACUUUGCAUUCCUAAUAGGUUUACUGAAAUCCCUAGGAAUGAUAUGCUGUGCAAAAUGUUUCUUUUGUUUUGCAAAACAUCACUGAGCUUGGUCUUUCUAGUGAUGAAUUCCACCAAAUACUUAAUUUUUUGAAUUUGGCAACAGGAGGUGGUUUUGGUUAGCAUCAUUGGGUAACAACUAAGUUCCCUAACAACGGCUUAGCUUAGUAGCUUAACUUAACUCUUUUACUGGCGUGGCGUGAUUUUAUGCUUUUUUUUAUCGAUAGAAAAUGAAAUAGAGUUAGCCAAAAGGAAACACCACCAAGAUACGCGUAGUGAUUCAAUCUUUUGAUCACCCAUUGAUGAAAAACCUUUUUUCGGGGCUUCUGCCUUGCACACAGAAGAUUGAAUUGCCUAAAUCACAGUCUUAUAUGAUGCUAUGAUCACCUCAUAUUGAUAAAAAGUAAUGGGCUUGUUAGUAGGUUUUGAAUGAAGUGGUGACAGGCUUCUGAUCUAGUCUGAUUCCUAAUGGGGAAAUUAGAGCUAUAGCAAUUCUUUUAGAAACAUAGCACAUCAAUCUUUUAUAGCGAUGGGAUAGCUGGGAUGCAGAUGAUCACACCGGUAAAGUGGUGUGCAUUGGCACGGUUUGUUUCAAAAUGUUUGACGGUAUUGUAAGAAUCUUUAAAUGUUUGGCACAUUCUUGAAGUGAGAUUCAAACACCACUUGGUUGUGGCAUGUGUGGCUUGGGCAUAUGGUAGAGAGAUUUGACAGCAUUGUGUAGGUGAGGCUUUUUUUUCGUGGGCAGUAUAUUGGAAAGCUAGAAUUGUUCAAGCAUUAUGUGUUUAGCAAAAUAGACUUGAAUGAAGUUCAACACUAGGAUUCCUAGUACCAAAGGUACAGUGGACUACAUUUGUACUGGUCUUUGGGGUUCCUUUGACUAUUUGUGAGGGUGGUUACAACAUUUGUUAACUUUUAUCCAUGAUUCCUUGAGGAAGGUUUGGGUGUAAUUCCUAAAGCAUUUUAAACAAUUGAAGGCUUCGAUUGAAAACCAAAUGGGAAGAAAAUCAAUCAGUUGCAAAUAAAUAAUAGUUUGGAGUAUGGCUCAGGUGACUUUGAUGAGUUCUGUGAGAAAGAACAGUGAGACACCACACUUCUCGACAUACAUCACAGCAAAAUGGGGUUGUAAAAGACAUGAAUAGGACUCUCUUGGAGCAGGCUCAAUCUAUGAUAUCAAAUGCUAGGCUCAAUAGGGACUUCUAGGCUGAAGUGGAAACUAUUGUGUGCUAUUUAGUGAAUAGAUCUCCAUCUAUAGAUAUUGAGCUGAAGACUUCAGUGGAAGUAUGGUUUGGUUCUUCAUUUGGGGGAUGUGCUCAAUAUUGUCAAUCUACUAGCAAUACCGUCAAAACAUCUUGAUUCGGAUAGUGCAAAUGUAACUUUACAAGCAUGAUCAUCACCCAUUAGUAUUCAGCCAUCACACUUCUCAUGUGUGGCAAACAAGUCUCUAGAAGUGCUAAUGCAAAAUGUGUAAAGAAUCCAUUUGUCACUAACACGAGUAUAUGAUAAUGUUACAACAAUCCUGGCAUCAUCUAAAGAGACUGUGCUUCAAGGCAAGGUGGAGAUUUGUUGGAAAUGAUUUUGAAAGUUGAACGCCACAGUUUCCCCCCCUGGACUUCUUUUUUUGUUGCCCCUACUUGACUUUUUUGUUUCCAUUAUUUUCAAUUUGGUUUAAAGCUCGUUAAAGUCAUUCAAGGAAAAUUGAAAUGUGGGGUAUAAAAGUGUGUUUUGUAAGAGAAUUUGGUGGCACACUCGGCUUGUUUUGGUAGAAAAGAAAAAUGAGAAUUUAGGAGCUUUGAGAGUAAUGGCGCUCAGGUUGUGGUGUUGUAGUGGUUCCUUAUGAGUUUUGGACACUAAAGCUCAUUGUAAUCUUUACCAUCUUCUUCAUUAUAGUGGAAAUUUUUACUCGCCUCUACUUGCAGAUGUAGGUUAGCCGAACUAGGCGAUUACUUUGUUAAAAUUUUAGGAGACCAUCACCUUCUUUGCGUGUUGUAUGUGUAAGCUCAUAAGAUCUCAUAUAAACAACAAAACCACAAUGAAGCACUGCUGUAGUUCAAAUUUUAGUUAUCUUAUGAAUUUUUGCAUGUUGUACGUGUAAGCUAAUAAGAUCUCAUAUAAACAACAAAACCACAAUGAAGCACUGCUGGAAUUCAAAUUUUAGUUAUCUUAUGAAUCUGUGCCUUUGAUAGGAUGGGGAUGAGCUUACUGGUUUACAUUGCUUUCGUCACCUUCGAGAUCAUGUAGUGGCUUCUAUAGAUUCCAUAAACAGGUAUUUAUUUAUGUAUUUGUUUUUCCCAAUUUAUGGCGACAUUAAUGAUAGAGAAAAUGUUAUUCACAAGAUUUCUGCUUGUGAAAUGAUUUAUUAAUUUGUGGUAUGUUAAUAUUCAUUAUUCCUUGUUGCAGCAUUCUUUCGGCAGAAUUUAUGUGUGCUUCAAUACAUGAUACUGGAGAUGCGGAUGCAGUUAUAUUGUUGAAAGCAAAAGCCAGGGCAUCCAGUUCCUUGAAUGGAAAAGAUGUUGAAGUAAGCUUAAUUACAUUCUUUUCUUCUUUUGAACUUGAAUCCUUCUGUUUGGCUGCUUGUAUCUUUAGUAAUGGUGGAUGAUAAAUACCAUUUCAUUUUUCUCGACUGAUUAUGAGCAAGGCAGUCCUAGGAAGGUCCAAGCAGUGAAACACUACAAGUGCUAACUUGUUGCAUUGCCAAUUAUGUGGCAGGGAGCCUUAUAAUUUAAUUUUCAUUUUGCAAUGAGAAGUUUUGGUAGACCUGACCUAGAUAUAGAUAAUCGUGCACUGUGCUGCACUUGGUCAUUAAUUUGGGCAUUUCUUGUCAAUAUUAAAGGAGUGCGCCUGCAUUAUUAUUAUUUGCAUUAUAUUUCUUGCCUUUCAAUUCAAGUUUAAAUUGGAAACAAUAGAAAACGGCUCGAUUUGAGGGCUUUUAAAGCUGACUUUUGAUGCAAUACUCAUGGUAACUUACCAGGAUGUCCGACACGGACCAUGAUGGCUUCGGAAAUAUAAUAUUCUUCAUGUGAUGGUCUUCAUAUCCGCUUUAAACUUGACACAACUCAACUACUAAACUAGUUGGACUUUAUAAUUGGUUUUAUGUUGAAGAGUUGUGGAUGUUGUAGAUCCCAAUGGAUUAAAAGUGAAGAAAAAGGAAGUUUGUGCAGCUUAUAAAUAAUGCUCAGUUUGGUUUGAUGUUUUUACUACUUGCUUUUUGCUAUAUGUUUUUGCUUCCUAAAAGGUUGCUAAAAGUCAAAAGCAAAUAAUUGAUUAAAAAAUGAGCAAAUAACUAAAAUGGGACACUGAAUAACAGAACUAUCCUAUGUAAUAGUAAAAUCAAGUGUUUUGUUCUUCAAAACUAGUAAUUGUUUACCAAUAUUAUUUUCUUUUAGAUCUGUAUGCUCUUUACCUUUUAGGUUUGGUAGCAAAAUGAAAGUAGCAAAAGGAGGAAUCAAAUGGAGCCUCAAUUUGCUAGAAUUGCUUUGAACUGUUAAAGUGCUGUUUACAUUAUUUUUCUUUGUGUCAUUUUCUUUUCUUUCUAGUACUUAAAGGUUUGCAUGUCCUUCUAGGCUCAUAAAACUAUCAUCUCUUGAAGGUCAUGAAAUUUUCAUGUACUAUAUAAAAUUGGGAAUUAUUUGCCUGCCUUCUCUUGAUUGCUCUCUUCUUUCCUAUAAACUUGCACAAUAACUGCUAUUCAUGGUAUUGCUGCUAUUAUGGUUGUGGUGGUCUGAUAUUUUGCAGCUUUGCUUCUCCUGUCAUUUGAUAUGGGGGAAUAUAAGAUUGUCGCUGAUUGUCUGAAUGUUUUGACUUGCCCUGGUCUUUACAUACUAUGCUGCUUGUGUCUACUUAAUUUAAUUAUUUUUCCUUUCCACUAAUAUUAUUUUACUUAUUUGAGAUAAUGCAUGAAAAAGCCCUUGAACUUCAUUGACUUGUGCAAUCGAGUCAUGAAACUAUUUUAUUUUUGUUCAAUAAAUCUAAUAAACUUUUAUCUUUGUCUGAUCUUAUCCAAAAUUGAUGAUGAGUGGAAUUAGGCAAAAUAACUGUCUAUCAAAGUUAUGGUGCGGCAACUCUGUGGCAUAUAAUUAGAAUUAAAAAAGGAAAAUAUAACAUGGAAAUUGUGUCAACACAAAAAACCAAGCCCAAUUCCAAAAGCAGUUAGGUUUGUACAAUGUUUGAGUCAGGAUUUAGCUCAGAGAAGAAAUCAGGGAUCUUUAGAGCUGUUUAGAAGCUGUUCUGUUACUGUGGACAGUACUAUUGAACAGUAAUUUACUGAUUAGAUUUGAAGUUGGAUGGUUGUUUGAGGUUUGCUUAGUAAUGGCUUAAAAGAAGAGGUAUUUAGGGUUUUAUGGUAACAAGAUAAACUGAUAUCAUGUCUGCAUUCUCAGCGAAAGUUGCAGACACUCAAUUAGAAGUGAAGGGGUUAUAUCUAAGUAUCACACUUGACUUAGGGUUCCUUAGGAGUCACACCUAAGGUUGAUUGCAUAGCACAUGCAAGAGCAAAGAAUGCUGGAAAAAGGUUUUGACAUCAACUAGGUAUGGUUUCCUCCAUCCUUUUCCUUAGGUUCUUCAAUAGAAAUAAGAUAUGGGUUUAAAAUUGUUGUCUCAGCAAAAUGAAGUUGGUGUGGGAUUCGUUGCUAGGUCAUGGGCUUAUUUUGAUUUGGGAAUGAGUAAAAAAUAUGUUAAGAACCUUAGCAUAGUUUUAUUUUUCUUGAACAUCCCAAUAGAAAGGUUACAUUGGUAUAUAUGGACUGGCACUCUUACUCGUCUCUAUCUAGGACUUUACUAAUCCUUAUGCUCUAUUGAAGUCUUGAUUUGAAGUAAUUCCAAAUCCAUUAAUAAAACCUUCAAUUUUGAUUAAUUUGGAAGUUGCCAUAAUACUCUUGGUUCUUAAAAGCUUUGGAAAACAAUAAAACAUAAAACCUGCAACUUUCAAAUCUAAAGACAUUUAAAAAUGGGACUUAAUAUCAUCUAUUUUAGUUAAUAAGGUCCUCAGUUAAUCCAAUGUCAAAUGCAGUCAUACAGACUAUAAUCCCAAAUAAUUUUGGAAUAUAUGUUGACUUUUCUUGAAUCUGCAUCAGGGAGUUUGCUAUGACUGGCUUGAGCAUCAUUGAAUAGUGUUUGUAUGUCGUUUUAGAAAUUAUUGUGAAACAAGAGGUUUCAUUGUGAGAAAUGGAAUAUGUUGAAAUAAUUGCAUAGGCUUUCCUUGUUGGCUAUUGAAAAUUGAUUUCAAAUUGCAUACACACACACACACACAGAGAAAAAGGCCUUAGCUAAUUGCUUUGCCUGCAACAGUGCUGUGAUAAGAAGUUAGGGAGAAGAGAGAAAGGGGCCCAGUGAAAUUAGUUGAUAAGUUAUUGAUAUAAAUAAAAUAAUUUUACCACAUAUUUUUGUCUUAAUCUGACUGGUGAUUUUACUUGUCAAAAAAAAAAAAAUCAAAGUCAACGGUUUACCUACCACAUCAUGACAGGGAGGCAGUGGCUUGGAAACGAAUGGAAUUUUCCAUAUUCUGUAAUGGUUUGACCUUGAUUGCAUAAAAAUAGUGAUUUAAUGGCUUGAUUGAACCAAAUAAUAGUUUGAUGGUAAGUGCAAAUUCAGAGUUUGAGGGCUUGUUCAUACUUUAUCCAUGUUUAUUUCUUUAUAUAUUGUUACAGGGACUUUUAUGAGUAAGUUUGAUGAUGCAUUUGGACUUAUAACUAGAAUGGUUAUGUUAGCAGGUUAAGUUGGAUGAGGAGGAAACCACUAAUUUUCGAGAUCGUCUUCUGCCCCUCAUCAUUGGUUUGCUUCGAACAGUGAGUGAUUUUCCCUCUUUCCCAUUUCAUUAUGUCUUUGUUGUUUUCAAAGUUGAGUUGUAUACCAGAGAUGUAUAGCUUGGUCUUUUUAUUUUCCAUGAAAGACUUCAUAGUAAGCAAAAGCUUCAAAUUAGCGAAAGUUGAGCAACCCUGAAAUGUAUUCUGUUACUAUUAUUUAUUGGAGGAGAUUUUUAAGAGCCCUGCUUAAUGUGAUGUUCUACUUUAGGCUUGAGCUUUAACUUCAACUUGAAUCAUUGUUUUGAUAUGUCUAGAAUUGGUGAGAUUGGUUUAACUUUUUGAACUGCUUUUUAUGUAGUCUUGUAUUAAACUUAAGGUUAUAUUUAAGAACAAAUACUUGUAAAUAUCUGGCCAGAAACAAUGAUAACAAAGAGCUCUUUAGGACAAUAUAAAAACACACCGUGCCAGAAGCAACCUGUCAGCACCAAUAAGGUUUACAUGUGAAAUUUUAGAUAUAUAUGCAAUUCAGAAUUUAUUAAUCGUAACAAAUUAGUUAAAAAGAUAUCAAAUUGUCAUCUUGCCUGGUUGAUGACAUAACUGUUAUACUAGUCCCUUUUUUUUUAUAUGUUUUUUUGAUCUUAUAGAAGAUGAAAAAGAUAUCAAGUGAUACCUCAAUUUUAUUAUUAUGUUAUCUAUUUAAUUCUUGCAAAGUUUCUGAACUUGUUUAAAUGCUCAAGAAUUUACUUUUGAAAUAUAUUUGGUGGCUGUGAUUAUAUCACACCAAAUCUUGGAAGAAUAGUAAAGCUAGUAGACAAUUUGAAGAACUUGGAAGGAAUUUGGAAGGAUAAGGAUUGGAUGGAACAAUAUUGAAGUCUUUCAAGGUCAAAUAUGUCUCAUGGGGUCCCUGGGAGAAACUGAUUGAUUGAUGUGUUUAGUCGAGAAUCUAAGCAUAUUUCAAAUAUAUGUUCAAAAGAUUGCUGAAGGAAUAACUCUUGGUGUCUCAUUGUUUUGUGGAAGAAUAUUUUAAUUUCAGUUUUCUUAAAACGUAAAAUCUUGUAGUUCGUUCAUGUACCAUUGAAAGUUGCCCCAGAAGAGUUUCUUUGAAAGCUAAAUCUGAAGGAAAUUUUAAAGUAGCAAUGAUUUCUAUUGAAAUAUGGGUUAGAAAGAGCUUUCUAUAUUCAAAUUUGUACACUUCAAAAUUGUUCAACAUAUUUCAUAAUAACGUUUAUGUUUCUGAAUGUUGAGUUAUGAUCAAAUUAGUUGUCAGUUAUAUGCAAAAUCACAUUGUUAUAUCACAGUUGAAAGUUUUAAAUUACAAGUGUAAAUGAGCUGACGUGAGCUGAGGUUUUUCUUAUUCAAACCCGGCUUGACUAAACUUUAUCAUGCUCAAAUAAUAAUUGAGCUCAACGUGAGAUUCAGAAAAUCUAUUCAGGCUUGGCUUAGCUACUUAACCCAGCUUUAAGCUGAACAUGAAUUUAUUACAAGCUCAUUGGCUUAGCCAAAAAUGAGAGCUUUACGCUCACUUAAAAAAAUGAGGCCUAUAUGUUCUAGGCUAGUGAGUCAUAGGCAGAAAUGGCCUUGACUUAGGUAGGGUCAUGCAUGUGCUUGGACCCCUGUAUGCUUCAAUGUUGAUUAGUAAAUGUUGUGGGGAGGAACAUAAAAUGGGAAGAGCCCUACCCUGCCCUUAUAUUUCAGAUCAAUGUGUGAUUGGUCGCUAGAAACAGAAGAUUUCUUUUCUAUCCCAUGUCUCUGUUGUACCUAGUGCGUGUAUUUGGUUCUAUAGAAAAUUAUCUUACAAUAAUUAUUUUGGGGAAAAUUGCCCAGUUGAUCACCAAAAUUCUAGACUUUUCUAAUUUGGUCACUCAACUUUCAAAAGUUACAUUUUGGUCACUAAUGGUAUAAAAUUUGGGCAUUUCUUGGUCACCUGCCACUAGACACUAAAAGAACUCAUACCUGGCAUUAUGAGUCAGUUUUUUUGCCAGUGGCAUGUGGCAUGUAAUAACAUGAAGUAAAAUUCAACAAAAAUUUUGGUCAUCCAAGUUUUCAAGCUGUUCUGUUUUUGCACCACCUUGCAAAACUUAUGUUUUGGUCACCAAAAAUGGGUGAUGAGGAAUGUCAGGUUUGAGUUUCCAUAGUCUCGAACAGGGAGUGAGUGAAAAAAUGCAUAACUUCUCUAAUCUUGGUGAUCAAAACAUAACUUUAAAAGGUGAGUGACUAAAACCGAAAGGUACGAAACUUUGGUAACCAAGUGGGUAAUUGACCCCAGAACUAUUUUCUUCAAUUCCUUCAAGAAAGUUCUACAAGGAAGACUUAUUGCAGACAUGCAGUUGCAUAAUCCAAUCUAUUAACCCCGUUUCCUUUUUAUCUUUCUUACCUUUAUCAUGCACUUUUAGCUUUCUACUUUUAGUGGUGGAAUCUAAGGUUAAAUCCAUUAUAGAAAAAACCAUCUCACAAUAUGGUGGUUGUUUUUCAGGCCAAGCUCCCCUUUGUCCUGAGGACAUAUCGUGAUACACUUACUGCUGAUAUGAAAACUGCUAUUAAGACUGCUGUUGCAGAGCUGCUUCCUGUUCUUGUUGCUCGACCUCUGGAGUCUGAUUUAACUGCAGAGCGUUCUAUGGACAUAGAUGGUAGGAACUACUUGGAUAAGUAAAUCUUCCAUGUUCAUCUUCACACACAGCAUGUGUAAAAUUAUUUAUUUGUGGAGUUCUCAAACUUCUUGCCCCUUCUCUAUGGAUUGCGGUGAUUUUUGUGUUUGCAUGUGUGUGUGUCUACUCUGUUGCUUCUAGUUGUUAAUGCUUACCAUCUGAUGACUUAAGGUGGAGGCUCAUCACUUGCAAGCAAAUUGAGGAGCUUGUCAUCUGAAAGCUUUGUUCAACUUUUGGCUGCUAUUUUCAAGAUUGUACAGGUAAUGUAUACUGGCCUACUACCAGACUAAGCAUUUAUUGAAGUUUUAAAUGAUAUGGAAGGCAUAAUUUAUGACAUCCUGCAUAAGGUCUGAGACUUUUUUAUGGCUUGAAUAUGAUAAAGAUCUUUCUUGGAAACUAAUUUAAAUGUUUGAUGGAGGAAAAUGAUCAUGACUAGGAUAAACUGAAAGAGAACUGAGUUUGCUGUUAUAAUGGCAUUCUGAGCAAGCCAAUCUUGUGUACAUUCACUGAAGCAUCUGAAUUAAGGUUUGAAGUAUUAAUAGUUCAUUGUCCAUUUGCUGUUCUCUGGUCAAGGCCUUCUGUGAUUUGAUUGGUAAAUGAGAUGAGCCAUGGGUUUGGUUAUCAGUUAAUAAACUAUGUCUAACAAACGGGUUCUAACAUUGACUAGGUAAAAAGAGUGAUUUCUGGGUAUUGGUGUAAGUUUGCUAGGGUGUCAAAGUCAGGUCAUUUGUUUCAUAGCAGAUGGUAAUAUGUCCGCUCCUUAAGGCUGUCCUUUUGACAGGAUUAUGGGGAUUGAGGGUGGACUUAUCCUAUGAGAGGCUUGAGCUCCUGUUGCAACAUGGGUUUGGAUUGCUGUCUUGUGCAAUUGAGGCAUUUAUUCUGCACAGGAUUGUGAUACCAUAACAUUCAAUUAUUAGAUUGGGUAUUGUGUCAUUUAUGCACCCUUGUUAUUCAUUGUUUCUUCACUUUUUUAAAUUUGGUUUUCUUUGGGGAUAAGAGCCAAAUGAGCCUGUCCAACAAAUGAGGGACAUUGAGUUUGGAAAUUUGUCUCAAAUUUUUGGUUAAACUGAAAGCUUAUCCUCAAGAUGGCUGGAUGUAUAAAUAAAGUUGUAAAGAGAUCAUUAGGGUCUUAAACCAAGGUUGAAAGUAUAAGACAAAACAGAACAGUGGCUAAAUAUUGAUAAAUAAUUGAAGUUGUAAUGAUAUCAUUAGGGUCUAUGAUAAGAGAUGAUAUUAAAACAGGGUGGCUUCUUAGAAUGAGUCUAGAAGACUAUUCUAGGGUUGCAUCAAUUAAUCCUAGACCUUGGUUACUAAUCAAUAUUCUUGUAAUCAAUUAAUUCUAGGGUUACUGGCUUGCAAUAUGUGUCUCCUUUGGAUAUAUAUUUUCCCCAACAAAAAUGGGGAGCACUUGUUCUAUUUAACAUAAAGAAGUUACCUGUCACAGUAUCUUUCUAUGCUUGAUUAACUUUUAAUAUGAUGUUAAGCUUGGUAUAGUUGCUUCUUUAUGAAAAUUUUUAGUUUUGCUUAGUAUUUAAGUAAGAUGUAAUAUGAUUUCAUUUCUUUUAGUGAAUGCAGGCACAUUUAGUGCGGGCUGCUGAAGUGAAAAGGGCCAUUGAGUGGAUAAUGUGCAACCUUGAUGGUCAUUAUGCUGCUGAUUCAGUUGCUUCUGCAAUUGCUCUUGGUGCCAUGGUGGCAGAAUCUUCUCAAGAGAGUAAUGGUCAAGGUGGUCCACUUCUUCCAUAUGCGCCUUUGAGGAGUACUGCCAAGGCUCUUUCAUCCCCAGGGAAAGCAAGUGAUGCAAUAAGCCCCUCUAAUUUGUCAAAAAAUUUCAGGUUUAGCCCUCUAGUAUCUUUGCUAAUUAGCAAUGUUCGAACAAUAUUUGUGCUGGAACAUACUCUCUUAGCAUAUGAGGUGGUUUUUGGUGGUUGGGGUAGAUAGGAAUAUGCUCCCGAGGGUUUUAAAUGGUAAUUUCCUAUUUCUUCCCACAAUUGUAUUGGUAAAUGGAAAAUAUUGUGGAUUUAUGUAGGAAGAGAGUAGUGGCAAAAUCUUCUUAACUGUUUUCAAAAUGUAUCGUUUUUCAAUUUCCAAAACCUUUGGAUACUCAAGAUGUGAACAAUGAUAAUUUUCUGACCUUUCUAGUGAAAGUUGUAACGUUUGGCUUUAAAAUUGAUAAAUCUGAAUCAAAUUCUCUAAGGCAAAAAUAUUUUAAUUUAAAUAAAAUUGUCGAAAGAAAAGAAACUCAGAAUCGUCUAAAUGCUGCAGAAUGAUGUAGUGCAAAUAUGUUAGCUUGUUGUAUUUUAAAUUAAAUUGGUGAAAUAAAAAACUCAAGACUUGUCUGUUUGGCAUUUGUAUCUUAUUUAUAAUACUCUAGGAAAAUUUGAUCCUUGGCAGGGCUGAUGUUUUAAGAGAAAACACUGAAGCAGUCUUUGCAGCUUGUGAUGCUGCUCAUGGAAGGUGGGCAAAGCUGCUUGGGGUUCGUGCUCUUCUUCAUCCUAGGUUGAGAUUGCAAGAGUUUUUGAGCAUAUAUAACAUCACUCAAGAGUUUAUAACUGCUACAGAGAAGGUAUUCAUUGUUUUCUUCUCUAUAUUGAAAUAAAGGAUUUUCUGGAAAAGAAAAAAAAGAAGAGAAGAUAUAAUGGAUUUGAAUAUCCUAUCUGUGGUGGUGAUGGUAUUCCAUGUGAACUUCAACAGAUUGGCGGAAGGUUGGGAUAUAGCAUACGUGGAACACUACAGUCACAGGCCAAAUCCUUUGUUGAUUUCCAGCAUGAAUCUCGAGUUAUUUCCUGAUUCCAAUUGUCAGUUGUUUUUCGUAUUUCAUUCUGUUGAUACUGGAAUAAUUUUUUUUUAUCAUCUACUGCAGAUGACAAAAAUAAAAGCAGUGCUUGACCAGGAGACAUGGGUAGAAGUUGAUGUUCCUGAUGAAUUUCAGGCAAUUGUGUCUUCACUACUUCAUUCUGAAGCAAUAAUUUCUGGAAACAAGGAUAAUGCUGAAACUAAUAUGACAAGCUACAGUGAUAUGGUUGCAAGCAAUGAAGGUUCACAAGUGGCUGACACUGGAUUACAGGGUGCUUUAGAGCAACAAGAGCAGACUGACUCUAGUGGCGCAACUGCACUCAAUGCUGCCCAAGGGAAGGCUGAGGCGAUUGAGAAAAUGAAAUCUGAUUCAGUAACUUCAUCUCAGAGUAACAGUAGUAACAUGAAGGAACGUGGAAAACCUACUACUCAAAUGCUUGAAUAUGGAGGUGUUGGUUAUCACAUGGUAAACUGGUUAGUUAUCUUGUUUUAUUAUUGUUAUUUUUUUUUCUUUUCUUCUUCUUCGUUAUCUAUUUAUAAGUUGUUCUCUUCUUCUUACACUCCUAUGCUUUCCUUUUCCUAAAAUGUGUUCCUUAUGAAGUUGAGCUUUUAGUUAGGAUUUUAAUCCUCUCUCUGGAGCAAUAGUUUGCUCUAUUAUGUUUAGCAAUGUGACUAUGUUGACUGUAUUUUUGUAUAUACACUUGAUACAUGUUUAGUAAUAGUUAGACAAAAUUUGCAUAAGAAACAAGCCAUAAUACCAUUUGUUUUUCUUUGUUGCUCCUUUCAGUGGCUUAAUAUUGGUGAAGAUGCUGUCGGAGUACAUUGACAUGAAUCAUCUUUUGCCAUCACUGUCCUUGGAAGUGGUUCAUCGUGUUGUGGAGAUUUUAAAAUUUUUCAAUACGAGAACUUGCCAACUUGUCCUGGGUGCUGGAGCCAUGCAGGUAUGAAGUGGUUUUGGUAACUAGGAUAUUUGCAUUCUCAGAAGUUCUACUUGAGAAUAAUUUGAUUAAAAUCUGAAGUGUUCUGAAUAUGAGAUGGGUCUAAUCAGAUGUCGCUUUUCCUUGUGCAUGUAUUCAUGAGCCCAAGUAGUGGCCUAGAAACAUCUUGAACUAUAUGUUGAGAAGUCUAUGAUGUAAUUUACAUGAACUCAAUUUGACGUUAGGCUAUUGUCAUAGUUUUUUUUUAUUGAAUUUGUGUGGUAUUGCAGGUUUCUGGUUUGAAGUCCAUUACUUCUAAACAUUUGGCCUUGGCAAGUCAAGUCAUUAGUUUCACAUAUGCUAUUAUUCCUGGUAGGCUAUGAUAUAAUCCUUAUGUCACUACUUUUUUGAAAUCGUUUAUGCUGCUCUGAUAGGAAAGUUUUUUGAAAUGCAUCAGCUGCAUCAUCCUUGUUGGCAACUUUUAGCUAUAUCCUGUUCGCAGACUGAGGAUCUUUUCAAUUUUUAAAUAACUUUGGUGUCUUUUUGGUCUGGUUAGAUUUUCUGUUUCUUGAGUUUAGGAGGAUUAUAUUUUUUUUCCUUUUUUUGUUGUUAAUUUUUUAUUGUGCAUGUGCUUUUGGUGCAUGGACAGACUUAUGCUAAAUCAUAAAGGCAAUGGUUUUGAGUUGAAGAGCGACAUCAAAGAAAUGAAUACAUGGAAAUCUGAGUGCUUAAAACACUAUGUUUGGGAGCUAUGAGGGGAAGGGAAGGAGAGGAAAGGGAGGGGGAAGGGGAAAACACGGUUCCCCUUGUUUUGAUAGCUUAAAGAUGAGGGGGGAAAGGGAAGGGAGGGGUACACCAACCUUAAUUGGUAAGGAGUGGAAAGUGAAGGGAAUGAUAACUUAUAAUAUCAUUUUCCUAUUUUAUACUUUAUGAGUUAAAAUGAAAUGUUAAAAUAUGGAUAAAUGUCUUUGCUGUAAAAAAUUUUAAUGAGAAAUCCUUCCUCUUCAAAACUCUCCAGUUUUGAGGGUUUAAGAAAAUCAAGGUGUGGAGGGCUUUGGAGGUGUACAUAAACCCCACUAAAUCCCUCUCCCAUUUAAAUCUUUUCCAAAAAGUGAGAGGUAGUAUUCCCACUCCCUUCCCUUCCCCUUCCUUCCAUACCCGCAACCCAAACACAAUGUAAAUGAUAGAGUGCCUUGAGGUCUGUGUACAUUUAUAAAUAUAAUAUAAUUAACAGAAAAUCAGGUUAGCAGCCUACUUUAGUGUGGUGGUAGGACUGACGUGGUGCAAAAUGAUGAGUUGCGUGUCUCGGAUGUGAUUCCCUAUGCAAGUAAAAGAAAGAUGGUAGAUGUAAUGCUUUUAGCAAUAGAAGCAGAUGAAAGAGAAGCUACUCAGUGAGUAGCAAAAGGGCAGUGUACCAUGAUCCAAAAUAGUGAACCAAUGAAGAAUACCCCGAUCGUAGCGUCAAAUAAUUAACCCUCAUACCUUAUUCCUAAACUCAUGUCACGUCUCAGGCCGUACCAUGUUCGUGGUAACUAUGAUUUGAAACUGUCCCAUUAACUUUUUGUGCAUAAGAAGCUUGACCCUGUCUCGAAAAUUGAUUUGCUGCCCCCCAAACUGCUGUGAACAGAUCCAAAUUGAUGCAAAGAAGAUCAAGUUUCAAGAAUCCAAAGAAUUAAGUUGCUCUUUUUACAAAUUUGUUUUCAUAAAUGAUGAACUAGAAAUGUGAAAGCAGCACACUGGCAAAUCAACUGUCAGAUGAAGUUGAUUUAUGACCCUUAUAAAACCAAGGAAUGUUAUGAGUUCAAACUGUUUAUGUUCUUUGGUUCUAACAGUUAUGGUUAAGACAUCCUAUUCUUUUCAAACAUGAACUGAUUUUGCUUUCUUGCUUAUUUCAUACAUACAUUUCCUUUUUUGUUAGUUUCAUAUUCAUGAUUGAAAUAUAACCAAAAAUUUUGCCAAGUAAUUGAUGACUGCUAUGUUUCUGUUCUAAGAAAUCAGGCAAAUCCUGUUUCUGAAAGUUCCCGAGCCUCGAAAGUCACUAUUGUUGUUGGAGUUUGAUCGAGUAGCACAGGUAUAAGGCUUCAUCUCUUUUUCUUCAUUUUACCACAUCGACAACUCUCCAUUUAUUUAUUUAUCCUUCGUUUCUGUUUUUGUUUUUGUUUUCCUUUUUUUUUUUUUUUUUUGGGGGGGGGGUGGGUGGGUGGGUUGAGGGUUGGGGCAUGUUGCAGCAUUUUGUUGUUUAUUGUUAUAACAUAGUUUGCCUGUGGUUUUCUGCCCUCCAAAUUUUAUGGAAAAUCUUAGAAAAGAUUAUAUGUACCUGGGUCAGACACAUACCUUUGUCCUACACUCUUGAGUCUGAGCAACAUAGAUUGGAUAUGAUGUUUUGUUUAAAUUUCCUGAUAUGAUUUUUUUUUCCAUAUUUUCUAUUUAACAGAAAAUAACUUUUUAUUUAUUUCAAUCUGGAUAGAGAUAUCUUUGUCACUGACACAUAGUUAUUAAAGCUGUGUUGGUUGGCUGGUAAAAUUAAAUAGGAGCAUCUGAGAAGAAAACUAAAAGCUAAGAGGGUGCCCUUUAGUUUAAUUGAAUCAGUUCAUAAACUUCAUUUGUAGCUAGUCUUUAUUUGUGUCGUUCUGUUUCUUUGUUCUACUAAUGUUUAUUGAAGUGUCAAAUGGCUACUGUUAAGUGGUUUAUCCCUCAUUGGUUGAGUCUUGAGCAUAGUGACCAGGAUGGUGACAGGGGUAUGUAUGUCUUUGCUGACAAGAAUUCAGUGAUACAUAUGAAUCAUAUGUGCAAUUGUAGUCUAAUAGCUCAAUUUACCUUUUCUCUGCCAAAUCUCUGACACUGUUUCAUUUUCUAAAUUCAGGAUUAUAAGGUUCAUCGUGAUGAAAUACAUACAAAGCUUGUUCAGAUAAUGAGAGAGAGGUUGUUGGUUCAUCUGCGUGGACUGCCCCAGAUUGUUGAAAGCUGGAAUAGGCCAGAAGAUGCUGAACCACAGCCCAGUCAAUUUGCUCGAUCCCUUAUAAAGGUAGCUACCGUGAUUAGCUCAAUUUAAUUCUAGGGGUUCUUACCUUGUUUAAUCCCGUUCUUUUUCAUUUUGGUCUGUGAUGGAUUCAGUUUAUAAGGGCACUUUAUUAGUUGAAGAAUCGUGCAAAAAUUGAGUGUCAUACACAUAUGUAUAAAGGUUUUGAAAUUAGUGUUUUAUGCAGCAUAUCUUUAAAUCUUUUUGAUAGUUUUCUAAGGUAAUUAUUACUUGACAUCAAAAAGGGUGUUUGGUUCCUAGUAACGGUAUAAAUAAUGCAUCUUGUUUUUUUUUUUGUUCCCCCCUCCCCAUUGAAGCCCAUCUACCACCCGUUCCCUUUUUUCUUUUGUUUGUCUCCAUCCCCACCCCCCUCUUUUCCCCUAAGAUGGUGUAUCUUGCUUGCUUGUCUUCCUUCCCCAUCGCUUGUUUUUCGUGUUGUUGCUGUUUUUCAAUUUUUAAUUGAGCCUCUUUUUUAACUGUUUGGCAUUGGGAUCAUGGAUCCUAUUAUGCCAUUGUGCUUUACUGAGGCAGAAAAGGUAAGGUUCUUUUUUAUAGUUUUUAUGUCUUUUUUAGACAUUCUCUGCUGAUUUUGGCAUGACAAUGCGGUACAGGAGUAGAUAUGGUACAAAAAGCUAGAAUAAAGUCUAAAACUGAUGUAAAAUUGAAGUUGGAACAAGAAAACUAGGGUCUAGGAUUGUAGGACCAGUAAUAGUUGAUAUUCCACUCUAUUACAGCUGCCUAAUGUGUGUAAAGGACUAUUUAGACUAGAGUUACAUUGUUUUUAAUCCUAGCCUUGGAUACACAUAUAUGCCAUCAGCCAUCUACUUAGCGAUUCAAACUUAUUAUGAGAUCACAUUCUAGUAACAUGAGCACUUAAUAAAGUGAGAACAUUAUUACUAAUCAUUAAAGUAAAACAGAAAACAUUUAGAAAAACAUAUCAAGAUCUUCAAUUUCGAUUAGGGCUAUGUAGUACAUCCACUAUCUGACAUGUGCAUUUAUUUUAGAUCAAAUCUUAUAUUCUUCAAUCACACAGAUUAUGAUAUCGAAACUUCUUUCUACAGUAUGUCUUGAUCUCUGAUUCUCAUUGUGACUUCAUUAUCGUUUCUGCCCAAGUUAAAUUUGCAUUUGAUGCACUCCCUCUAAGUCCUUAACUGAACCCUUUGUCUUAAAAGUCACUCUCCCCAACUCAAGCUUAGCUUUAAUCGUAGCACUAUUCCAAUCCUCUUAUAUGCCUAGCAAGUUCCUGGUUGGCAGAUCCAGAACCUUGUAUUCUGGUGUGUGCUUCUGUUUGAUGAUUUGGUUUUGGUGGAUAAGACCGGCAGUGAUUAUAUAAAACUGCUUUCUUUUUCUUGCUCUGUUAUUUCAAAAAGACAAUAUUUCUUAUCAGUUUUUAUUCUUUUUCCCUAUUGAUGUUCAUUUAGUGGUUGAGUUGUUACUGAGCUGUUAGUUUAAAAGCUUAAAACAGUUGAAACUAUUUUCCAAAACAUCACUUAUGUUUAUCGUUCUUUUGUAUGACCUUAAAUAAUUUGAAACUAAUGUCAAAUCAUCAUUUUGUUUAUUUAAUUUUCAUUGUAGUAUUUUACUUGGGGUACCAUGGUCUCUGCAAGCAUAGUACAUUUUUAUGUGAUCUUAAAGGAAUGUGUUAACAAGUAUAUUUUAAUGUAGGUUUUAACUUUUGUAUUAGGUUUCUUGUUCAAGUGUCACUAGUUCACUUGUUUGUAUGUUGGACAAUAAUUGCCACGGAUGAAUUGAUUUUGAUUGGCUGUUCAAUUUGUUUGCAGGAAGUUGGCUACCUCCAACGUGUUUUAUCUCGAACAUUGCAUGAAGUAGACGUUCAAGCAAUUUUCAGGUGAGGCAAAUUGAACUUUUAAGCAAUUUCCAGGAACCUGCUUAAUUCGUCCUUAUACCAUUGUGUAACCUGUUAAGAGAAAAGGUUAUCAUGCCAUGAUAAACUUUGUCUAAGAAGUAUAAUGGCUAUUCAUAUGCCGUUUGCAAACUGUUUGGAGAAAUUUUCAAAAUGUUCUUUGGACCAGGAGGUAAAUUUGAACAAUGGAAAAUUUCUGGGAGUGUUGAAUGGCAAUCCUAUCCUAGGUUUAUUUUAUAUUCCUAGAUGGACAUUGAAUGUUAGAUCUCCUGCCCAUGAUAUGAGGAGUAGGUGCAAUUUCAUUUAAAGCCUUUUAAAGUCCUGUUGUAAAUGAUUUUUAUCUUAUCUUAUAUUUUGUUGAUCCCUGUUACAAUGCCAGUGAAUCUUUUGAUAAAAUGACUGGCCUGAUGAUGUUUGGCUGGGAAAGGCUUGAAUUACAUGUUAGUCUAUUCCGGCAAAUAUUUAUGAGAAGAGAUCCAUUUAUCUUGGUAUAAAGAAUGAGCAACUUUUGCACUUCUACAACUUUCUUUAAGGUUAUCGUUCAUCAAAUUUGCCAUUAUACUGAUAUGAUAUACGUAAAAUCUUGAUUGGUGAAAACUUCUAGCAGCAUUUACGAUUUGCUCUGUCCUUUAACUGGUGGAUUUUUUUCCCUUUCUCUUCUGUUUACUGACAUUAAAUUUUGUUACACACUAAAGUCAUCUACCUCACUCUAGGUGAGUUGGGAUAAGAUCAUGCUCUACUACAUGGAAACUUACUGAAUAUCGGAAAAGAACAUUGUACUUUUAUCAAGCAACUGCACAUUCAUUUAUUUUCUCUUGAUGAAUAAUGAAAGAAAUAAUUAUUCAUGAAAGUGAAUUGUUCCCUUCAAUUACACAUGCUACGCUUUGCAGGCAAGUUGUUGUAAUCUUCCAUUCGCAAAUUUCAGAAGCAUUUUCACGCUUAGAGAUCACCACUCCUCAGGCAAAAGAUAGGUAUUGUACUGUUUGUGGAUUUUUAUAUGAACUUCAAAUAUGAUUCUGUUUGUUUUUUCUAUGAUAACAAGCUGGCAGGCUUUAUAAUGGUUUAUUUAAUAAUUUUCAUGGCAGGCUGCAUCGUGAUAUUAAACACAUUCUUGGAUGCAUUCGAUCAUUGCCGACUGAUAAUUUGAACAAUUCUGCUACCCCUAACUGGGGGCAACUGGAUGAGUUUCUAGUGCAAAGGUUUGGGGCAGAGGCUGGUUGAGGUUUGUUGUUUUGUACAGUAAUAGAGACCACAUUUGAAGGGAACACUUGGGGAUUUGUCAGAACCAAUUCUCAGCCUAUGCAGUUGCUUUGUAGAAUUAAAUUGAGGUAGGGAAUCUAUUCUGUUUCUCUCUCCCUCUAGAUUGAUUAUUGAAAUGUUUUAAGUAAGAAAAUCAAAAUAUAGAUAUCUAAUAAUUCAUCUGACAACAUAAUCUUAUUCUUCCUUAGUCAUUAAUCUUGAAGCAUUUACCACGGGUUGGUUGUAGAGAUAUUGGGUGCAAUAUAUUUCAUGUGAUGCUUUUUUGUUACAAGUUGCCUAAUAGGUGGCAUCUAUUAUCAGCAACCUGGGGCAGCCUCAAAUUUCAUAAACCUCAUUUUGGUUUGAGUUAUGACAACAAAUGGCAUGUAUAUCUCUGAGUACUUUCCCCUGGGGUUCAUGUUCGAGUCUUUUGCUCAUCAGUUGUCACCUAAUUCCUUUACCCUUUGAAUGAAUGUGCAUGCUAGGUUUUUGACAAAAUUGCAUAACAUCCCCAUAUUUUAUUAAGCAAAUUUCUUUGGAAAGAUAAAAGGGAUGUGCUUUUUUUUCGAUGCUAACAAUAAGAGUUGUUUGAUGUUUUGUUUUUGCUUCAGGUAGAUUGUGAAAAAUAGUACAAAAUCAGAUUGAAAUGUUGCGGCAGGAAGGAAGCAUUAAUAGUUUUGGGAGUCACAGUUGAAUCUACAUAUACACAUCAUUUAAUCAUUACAUAGUUUGUAAUGGAAUAGAAUGGUCGGGUCCGUCCAUGUUUUGUUCCCUUCAUGUAAUUUUUGAGUAAAAACAGUGAAACAAAUUGAGUUUCCUCUCCCUCCCCCAAAGUCCAACCAUUUGAGUGAGUGAUCAGCAUUGGUUUUGCAUUUUGUUCUCUUUUCCCUUUCUUGUUUUCUCAUUAUUUUUUAUUAGGGCUAUAUGGAAUUGGACUUUAAUUGUUAUUGAUGUAGCAAAUAAAUUUCGUUCUUCAUUUGUUGUUGCAUCACAUUAUCUCUAUUCUUUUUUUUUUUUUUGUUUUUUGGUUAAAAAAAAUAACAAAAGAAUGAACCAAAUGGAGUGUUCAAUUAUUCAUGUUUUAAUCAGUACAAUGUAAUCUAGUUGAAUCUACAUGUAUAUCAGUUAACUGUACAUUAUGCAUGAAUUUUCAGAGGACAGUUUAGUCUGGUGUAUAUCAUAUAACUGUAGAAGACACAUGAAAAAGAUAAAUUUAAUCUUCGCAACCUAAAUUUGGUUACACUUGAAGUAAUCUCCUACACUCAAAUUGAACUCCUUUCACCCAAUCCAAUUUACUUAUAGUUAGUUAUUUUCAUUCUCAUUGAACCAACUGUCUUUUCCUUAGGGGUGGCAAUUGGCGCUUGGGUCUUUUUGGAUCGAAAGAAGUUGUAGUAAUUUCGAGUUUGGAUAUGGGUCCUUUUGAGUUUGAAUCAUUACGAGUUCGGAUUGUUUCGAAUUUGACUCUUGAGAUAUUUAGAUUCAAGUCAUUUCCAUCAAGUUGUUGAUAUGUAAAAUUAAUUUAAUCUUUUGAAUAGUGCAAAUUUAGAGUAUUUUGGUUUCAAAUCAAUUCAGUUAUGAGCCGUUUCGAUUCAAGUUAUGUCAAAUUCGAGUUAUUUUCAAUUUAGGUAUAGGUUUAGGUUUGAGUUGAGUUGAUUAGAUUGUUUUCUUUUUUGAUUAAAUCUAAUUAAGUCUGGUUCGGAUAAAUGAGAUGACCUUUUCGGACUUAGUAUGAGGCAAGCUCAAGUUUCCCCGGUGAAUAGAUUAUCCAUUAUUCAAGUCAUGCAAGCAGGAUGCACUCAGGUGGUUCUUUGCCCAACUAGCCGAAAUCAUACAGGAUCGGGCUCCAGCUUUGAGUUCAGCUGUGUGGCCUUACAAGAUGGUUUAUUCCUUACCAAAGGGAAAAAGAAAAUGACGCCUUAAUCUAAUUUACCCUGAUCAAACUUGGAUUGCAAUAGGGAUUGAUUCCCUUUUCAACUUGAGGAUCAUCAUUUUAUUGUUAUUAUAUUUUGGGGGAAUAUAUAAUGACCCUGCACUCUGCAGUGAGUGAUAUUGCUCUUCUCCAAACCUAUUUUUUCUGAGUUUUGAGUUGCAAAUUGAACUCCUGUCCGACCGGUUGCCUCAGUCCUGAGACCUCCACAAUUUGGAAUAUUGCAUUCUUGUCUAAUCUUGCCUUCACAAGUGGAUUUGCAUGCAAGUUUGUUUUGUUGUUGCCACUGCUUAAUUCAUACCCUUUCAACCUCUCAACAUUUUCCAACCCUAUGAAUGUCACUCUCUCUAUCAUCCACUUUUGACUCAAAGCAAAUGCUCCAUUCUCAACCUCUGAUCUGACAAACACUUCAUCGCCGGAAGAUGAAAUUCCUCCAUAAAAUCUCACCAAACUCCACUUGCCCCCCUCUACUCCCAUCUCCACUUCCUCCCCGUCAUCCAAGAAAACUUGUCCAGUCAUGGUUUCGGUGCUGCUGACAGCCACCAAGAGUUGGAAUGGUGUCAUACGAGCAGCUUUGGUUGUCCUGGCCUCUCCCUGCAUGGCUAUAAUGUUACCUUCUCGAACAUGCACGUUUAUAUGAUCUCGUGGCGCAGCAAGGGUGAAGUAUUUUCCAGAGUUUGCACUCACUGAGUUGGAGUAAUUGAAGAGGUCAAACCAAUUUCCGGAUGGGAAGUAAGCAUCAACAGAGACUGCUUUUGACUUCAGUACAGGUGACACCAUUAUACCCUUUCCGAGGAGAAAUUGCGAAUUGAUUUCGUAAGUGUGAAUAUCCUGGGGGAAUGUGAAGAAAAGGGGCCUUGCAAUGGGAGUUCCUUUCUGGUGUGCCUCGUACAUUAGAGUGUAAAAGUAUGGGAGCAGGCGAUAGCGGAGGCCGAGCACCUUCCUAGCUGAUGCAGCAACUGAAUCCCAGAGAUAGAGCUCUUGACGAAUCGUAUAAAAGUCAGAGUGAUCUCUAGCAAAAGGGUAAAAGGCCCCAAGCUGCAUCAAAUUAGGCAAAUUAAAACUUGUUUGAUCACAUGAAAGAGCAUAUCAGUUGGUGUUCGAAAUUAAGGCUGAGGAACUUUUCCUUACCUGAAUCCAUCGUUGGCACAGAUCUUCAGUCGUAUCCCCGGAAAAGCCACAAAUAUCAGCUCCUACCAUUGGAAUCCCAAAGAGUCCGAAAUUCAAAAUUGAUGGGAUUGUGUAUGCCAAAUCCUCCCAAGUGGCUACAUUGUCUCCCGUCCAGUGGGCUGCAUACUUUCCCGAGCUUACAAAAGUUGAUCUGCUAAGUAUAAAUGGCCUUUUUCCGGUCACAUUAAUCAAUGCUGCGUGAGUAGCUUUGCAUUCUAGUAAACCAUACAGGUUAUGGGCAUUGUACUCUGUCAGGUUACCAAAAUGUAGAGAUGCGGCAGGAACCGUUUUGUUGUUGAUAGGCCGCUGGAUUCCCUGGUUAUUAAUCUUGUAUGCAGGAUCAUCCAGGGCAGAAUUUGGGGUUGGAGGGGAGGUUAUGAAAUUGGAUAUCUCGUUCAUAUCGAGCCAAAGACCAUCAACAGGGAGAAAAUCUCGAAACGUUUUGAUCUCACCAGCCCAAUAUGUUUCAGUGCGCGGAUUUACAAAAUCUGGGAAGUAGACUGGACCAGGCCAAACUUGUCCCAAGUAAGGGACGCCAUCUCGUUUUAUGAAUAUAUCAGCUUGCAUCCCCCUGAUGUAGGUUCCAUAUGUACUGUUUACACUGAUUCCUGUGGAGAUUGCAUGAAGUGAAAAAUUUAAUGUACUUGUUUCGAGAAUGCUUAACAAAUCUGAUCUGUUCAAACAUGCAUUAAUGCAAUCUGAAUUUCAGCAUUAAUAUCUAGAGAGUCUUGACAGACAUACGUACCAGGAUCUAUGAUGACCACGUAUUUCUGGUCAUUCUGAUGAAGCUUAUCAACAAAUGUUUUCAUCUGGUCCUUGGGAAAGUUGACAGGGUCAAGAGUGAAAUCCUUGAAUCCAUCCAUGUAAUCGAUAUCCGUCCACAUAACUUCAAGAGGAAUCCUAGCUUUUGCAUAGCCCGCAACCACACCCUUGAUAUCAGAAACAUUUUUGUACCCAUAUCGGCACUGGUGGAAUCCUUUAAGAUGCAAUUAAUGGCCAAAUGAGUGAUUCAAUGGAAUUAGGAGAAGGAGAAUAACUCUGAAAAAUAAAGAAAAGAAAAGAAAAGAAAGAAGGGUGCAUACUUACCAAAGGACCAAUAAGGCAUAGCAGCAGGGCGGCCAAUAAGCUGGGUGUACUGCUCCAUGACUCUGUCCGGCAGUGGCCCGGCAAAAACAUACAAAUCUAUGACACCUCCAAUAAUCUUGUAAGUUAUCCUGUUUCCACCAUAAACAAUGUCCAUCCCAUUGCUGUUAAGCAACAGAACUCCAUGGGUAGUUCCUGCUGAUACUUUGCCAUCUGCGGAUGCUGAUCUGAUGUCAAGGUAAAAGGGAUGUGAUCCAUAAAGAUUAACAUCCAGAUUAGCACUUGCCAAAUCCGCAUUCCACAAAGUCAAAGUGUCAUUAUGUUGCAACUUGAAGGAUCUCUUGGUGUGCUCUCCCAGUCCAUAAAGUGAAGACCUGCCUUGUGGCAGGGAGGAGGAGAGUUGAAUAUAUUGGUCCUUGAACACCAGGAAAGUGCCCGAAUCGGAAGCAUCCGGCGAUGUGUCGAAAAGAAUGUCGCCUGAGGAGCGGCGCCUCACGGAGAACCCGAAUGGCGUGGUGUUAUGGAGGGUGAAGAUGAGGUCCGAUGUUGGGUCCGACACGUAGUAGUUUUCCUUCUGCUGCUUCGGUGUUUGGCCUUGGUACUUUGCGGAUGAGCUCCGAUGGUUUUCUGGCAAUGACCGGUGUGGGAAUUGAGAUUGACGGGGAAUGAUUUCCUGUCCGAUUUCCCAUCUUUCAUGGCCUGAAUCUGUAACUUUGAUUCUCAAACGAUUGCUUGUCUCAAAGCUUCACAUAGAAAGCAGUCAGCAGAGGCUAUCAGUGACCAUGAAAAUCUUUACUUUCCAUGGAAAAAACAACCUUACACGAUUAAAACAAACAAUCCCAUAUCCUCUAGCACUUACCUGGCAAAAAGACUCAGAUUUUGAAUGUCAGGUCCAUAAACAGAGGAGUUGCGGAUAAGACCAAGAUCAGCGGUCAACCAUUUUCCAUUUGCAUCGACGGAAACAGAUUUGAGCUUGUAGCCAUAUCCAACUGCUUCACUACUUCCAUGGACAGAGGAAGAAAAGCAAACAAUGAUGAAUAACACAAAUAGAUUAUGAAACAAGUGCUUCAAGUCCAAUCUAUCCAUGGUUGUUUUGGUUUCCUUUUGAUGAGGGAAGUAAACUGGCUUGUAUCCUUUAUUCCACGAGCGACUUGGACCAAAACGAUAAGCUAUUGCUUUCAUUCAGCCAUUGAUAUUUAUUUUAAGGAAAAUGGUAUUUUUGUUUUUUUUUUUUCCGCAUUUCUCGCUUCAUUUAAUUACUCUUCUUCCUACUCUUGACUUCUGCUCUAUAGUCAAUAAAAUUUCAUAUUCUGUGUAUCAAUGGCUUAAAAAUUUUAUAUAUUAUCACUGAAUUUAAUAUUGUCGCUUACAUUUAUGAAAUGAGAUUAUGUUUACGUGUAUCAAAUAUAAAUUAUUAAUUUAAUAAGUACGGAUGAUAACAAAUAGUAUAUCAUAUUUAAUAUAUGUAGUAAUUGAGAUUGGGAUAUGUAAAAUAUAUGCAAUAUUAUAUCAACAGCCAGUCAUGGAGGUGAUGUUGGUCAAAGGGCAAGACCAUUAUCAAGUUGUCACUCUAAGUCUCUUAAGAUAUACUAUUUUUUUUUAUUUAAAUUAUGCAAGUGGGUUAUAAAGCAAUUUCCACAUGGAUAUGCUAACAUUGGAAUAAAAUGUCACAUGAAUGUCAAAUGCUGACCACAUGCACUGCAUGUGUAACAAUCUCAUUGCUUUUGCAAGUUUAAAUAAGGAACUGCAUCAAAUACUUUAAUUGUAAUUUAUAUGAUAUUGUAGACAUAUAUAUUUUGUGCUAAUUCAAGGUAUAUAUAUAUAUAUAUAUAUAUAUAUAUUAUAUAUAUAUAUAUAUGUAUUAUGUAAAGAAUAUUCUAUAUAUUAUAUCUUUUUCUUUCUCCAUCAAUUGGCUUUUAUUCCCCUUUUUCGUCUUUUUCUCUCUAAAGGUUUCAAUUCUUUCCCCUUUUUUAAUAUAACAAAUAAAACCUUUUUUUCCCCCCUUACUUUCUCAUUCUCUUUCUUUAUGAAGUUUCUAAAUGUUAAUUUCCCAUGCAUAUACGCCCUGAGACCAUGGUUAAAUUAAAAAGGAAAGAUAAAUUAUGAAUUUUAUACGUUCCAAUUCAAAAUCUAUGCAAAAGUUUCUAUGUUUGUUACAUUUAUAUCUAAAUGAUUUAUUGAAUAGAAUUAUUCAUUAAAUAGCAUAAUAUAUAUGUUAACCAGUUACCUUUCUCUAUAAUACACACUCACUUGUAAUUUGUACGAUACAUAAGAUACUUUUACCUAUUUAAAUCUAUUGUAAAUACACAGAAAUUAACUAAUAGUCUAUGCAUAUAAUUAUAUUUAAAUUUUCAAAAUUUAUAACAUAUCUAUCUAAAAUUCGAUCAUAUUAUAAAAUGCAACUGCCCAGUAGGAGAACCAAAAUAGUAAUAAUAAUAAUAAUAAUAAUAAUAAUAAUAAAAGAGCUAGAAACAUAUAGUUCUUCACCAAUAAUUGGCAACACCAUAUAUCAUGGUCUUCCCCUUUUCCAAAUCUAUGGUUUUUUGCUUCAAUCAUUAGAUUCCAAUGUCAGGGACAAAACAAAAAGAGUUGCUGUCUACCUCCGAACAAGCAAUGAUAUAUGAGGAGGAAGCAUGGGAGCUAUAGCAAACAAGAAAAUAUGAUACAAAAAGCCAAGCCUGGAGGUUGGUUGCAUUCCUUCCAACUAUACAACAUAAACGAGUCAUCUACUUUUUUCUGUUGCCCUCAUUGCAGGAUAUGUUCCAAAGACAUGGUCCCAAAUUGAAGAAGUAAUCCCAAACCCUUUGCUUUGAACUCUAAAGUGAUGAUUCAAGUGAUAUCUCUGUCAAAUCAAAACACCAAGAGAAAUGAUUAUUCAAGGAGUUUUCUUUAACCCAAAGGGUAUUAUAUCAUAAUCUUAUAUCUAUGGUAAGUUGGCCUGCCUGACUAUGACCAUGAGGGCUCUCAUUCUUUUCACUGCUAUAUAUUUCACUCUCUACUUUAUUCUUUUACCUUAACAACAGCAGGCACUUCCUUUCAAAUAAAUUGGCAGCAAAAAAAGGAAAAAGAGUUUUUACCUUGAGAGUUUGACUUAACCCUUCAGAUGGCUUUCCAUGGUGCAAGUAGUAAUGGGUGCAGUCAUAGAUUACAUAUCCCAGCAACCCACCUGCAAAUAAAGCUGGAGUAGUUGAUGGAGUGGAAAAAAGCUUAAACAGGCUCCACACCUAGCAAUCAAAAAACACAUGCUGAAUCAGAAUCAGCUUAAGUAAUCCAUAAGCAAUUGAAAUUGGUUUCGAUUUUACACUUGGAUUUCUAAUUCUGAAACCUGGAAAUACACACAAGAAUUCUCUUUGGUAGAUAAAAGAGAAAUCUCUUAACUAUAGCACACUCGGUAUAGAAGAUAGGCAAAGAGUUUACAACAAAUUAACAUACUGGCACACAGAGAAUUGCUGUUGCAACUGGGGGGAAAACGAGUCGUAGUCUAUCCAUGGGGUGCUUGUGAUGGCAGCCAUGAAGGAGAAAGUGCAAGGUGUUACCCCUGAAAGGAAAUUUUCCCGAACUUGCGUCAGCAUGCCAAGUUGCUUAAGAAGACGGUAAACAGCGAGAAAUGGAGAGAGGGGACAGAGAAUGAGAACUGACCAAUAACUUGUUGUUUUCAUAUGGAAAAGAAAGCGGUGCAAAGUAUACUCAAUCAAUGUCCAAAUGAAGACGCCACCGGCUACUGCUGAGGCUGCCUGAGUAGGAGUAAGACCUCUUUGGAUGAAGGUGGAAACAAACCAACAUACAACUGGUAGCCAAACGAGUGGGAUCACCCACCAUUUCGUGCGUGUCAAGAGCUGUUCAAGCAAUAUAUUUGUCCACACCAUUCAUUCAAGAAUCAGGGAGAAUAAAAGAACAAUGACGAAGCAUGUGAAUGUCAAUAUCUCCAUAUAUAUUCUGUUUUGUAAUUCUAGAACUGCCUGAAUGGAAAGACAAGGGAUCAAUACCUCACAAAAGUCAUUGCCAAAAAAUCGAGGGCAUUCCUUGCUAACAACAGGUUGGUGAACCCAUUUGUCAUAAGCUUCCCCAAGAUGGCCAACCUGUGAAAAUUCUCAGUUAAUCAAGCACCAGAUCAUAGGAACAGAACCAGAACUCCAAGUACUGGUGAAGCAAAUUAGGAGUUCAUUGUUUUAGGAAGUAGAGGGCCUUGGAUCAGACCUGGAAUACAAGCGGCUUAUCCAAAUCUACCGUAAAAGGCUUUUUGACCAUCCUGGCAGCUUCUGUCUUGUAUGAAUUAUCAACCAAAUAAAAGAGAAACAGCAGCAAAACAAAAAAUCAAUGGAUAAUUUCAGAAGAAACACAAAACCACUUAUGUAAAUUGUCUAUAACUUCCUAAGCAUGAAUAUUUGGAUAAUAGAUUAAAUGUGGCAUGGCCUAGUGAAAGAGAUAAUACGGUACUCUUGAAUUUCCACCCUUCAAUUCCAAUAGUAUUUAAUACUAUUGGAAACUAAGUACAGAACUACAAAACCUCCACCACCUCAAAACUUGGCUUCCAUCGAUCCCAAGUUUAUCCCAAUGUUCAAAAGAGCAAAAGGUAUUUGACUCGAUAAUAAAUACAUGUAUCUUUCAUUUAAAAAAUUAAUAUCAUUGCGACGUAAAAAUGAAUUAAAAAAUCUUUCGAACUAUGAAAUUCUUCAGUUAAUGGCUGCAUCAAACCUAAUGAAGUUUCCUGUGACAUCCAAAUCAGUUUCAUAUUUCAUUUCCAAACUUUGUCAAGCAAUGAAUCACAUUUACAACAAAAAAGAAAGAAGGAAGAAAGAAAGAAAGUGAGAGAAACCUUGUUAGUGCAGCAAUGCAAGACCCUCCAGGGAGCUCUUGAGUCGUGAAGAUCCCCCCCACAAACAAUAGUUUUUGUUUUGUUUUCAAUGGAUGCUUAAUUCUCCUCCUGUGUGAAUUGUGAGGAAAAGCUCCUUUAUUUUCAGGCCGAAAUGCAUGCCCAAGUAAAGGGCGGGUGUUCAGCCUUCCAAAAUCGAAAUCACAGCUGCACCUCAUGUUCAAGGCUUACCAAUUUAACACAUAAACUAGUUUUAACAAGUAAAUAAUGAACAAUUGUACUAUAAAUAUCAAAUAAUACAUUAUAUUGUUUAUGAAAAUCAUUUUAUACAUAUUCAUUUAAUUAAUGUAUAAUAAAUAGUACUACAACAUAAUGAUAAUAUUAAUUUCAAUGGUAUAGCAAAUAUAAUAUAUUAUUAUAUAUCUUAAUAUAUUGUUAAAAUUUGAUAUACAUGAUUUUAAAAUAUGGUUCUAUAAUAUCAGUAAGAUCUAUUAACAAGAAUACUAUAAUUAACAAGAAUUAAACAAAAAAUAUAAAUGGAGUCAUUAGUUUCAAUAAAUUUCAAAUGUCAACAAAAUUUAUUUAAUACAAAUAAUUUUAAUAGUUAUUGGUUAAUUUAUCUUUUAAAUAAUACCAUCACUGGUAUUUUUUAAAAAGAUAUCAAUUAAACCGUCAGUCGCAUCGUUAUCGUGACAACAGGAUGAAGGUGACAUGUGACGUGAGGAAGAAUCAUAUAACCCCAUCCACAACAAAUAAAAAAUAAAAAUAAAAAUAAAAAGAUGGGGAAAGUAGAAGAGUGAAAAGCUGUGGUAAAGUAUGGAAAAGAGCAGAAACUUAGUCAAGCAAGCAUAAUGAAUAGCACCACAUGCUUCUCGUUUUAAUGUGCCUAGUCCUAUGCAAAAAUGAUUGUGUCCCACUUCCCCCCAAUUUCCUCCUCACCCAUUGCUUUGAAUUCCAUUAAUUUCCACCAUCGAAAUGUUCAAAUUGUGUGUUGAAAUCUUUUAUUAUUAUUAUUAUUAGUAUUAUUUAAUUGAAGUAAUCCGCCUAUCCUUUUCCUCCUUUGUUAGUGCCUGCCUGCCUGCCAAUCAAACUCAUCCCAUGAAGCAUACACAACAUAAAUGUGAUUCUAUUUGUGUUCAUGGAUUCACUUUCCAAAGGGAAAUUCUUGUAUGAAUGAAAAACAUGUCAAUGUAGAAUAUGACAUGGCAAAGUAAGAAAGCAUAGCACUAUUAAGUUUAAAUAAAAAUAUUUUUUGAAAAAUCUAAAUUGAUUAAUCACUUGGUAUAAUCAAAAACAAAAUGAUUAUCACAAACUAAAAUUCCAAUUAUCAUUAUCCAAAGAAAUUCAAAUUAUAAUUAUUUANUAAAAAGUAAAAAAAUUAAAAAGUUAGGGUUGGUUAUAUAUAUAUAUAUAUAUAUAUAUAUAUAAAGCUAUAAUUAAAGACAUUUAUUAAAUUAUUUAUACAGCUUAAAAAUUGUAUUUUCGAUAUAUAAAAUAAAAGAAAAAAAGGGAAAAAAAAUAAAGGGUCAAAUUUAGUAAAUCUAAAUAAACUUUAAAACUAGAAUUUCCUCCUUCAGUUAGGAAACAAACUCCAAAUAUUAACAAAGAAAAACAAAUUAACCAUCUUUUAUACAAAAUAAAUUAUAAAAAAGAAAAAAGAGAACUGAAAAUUGACCGACAAAAGAAAGAGAAAAGGCACAACAACAUCGCUCCACUUUCCUCUGAAUCCAAACCUUCUCCCCCCACGCGUCUUCUACUUUCUUGUCUCCUGCCUCGCCUGGGUUUUAAAGCAUAAUCAUGUAGUCCUUCAUACCCAAUUUUCUUUUUAAUUCGUUUCCUCUUUCCCUUCAACCAAACAAUCAACUUAACAACCAGGAAGGAAAGAACAGAAAAGAAAAGACCCAGUUUUGUUUUUUUCUUUCUUUAGGUUUUGGUUUUUCUUUGUACCAUGCCUUUUCCGUGGAAGAAAGCCAAAGUUACUCGUAUCUCCCGGCUGGUUGCCGACCUCCACCAAUCCCCCAAACGCGGCGGAUCGCUUGUGGUGGAGACUGGAUUCCCAACCUCCCUCAUCGAUCUCUUCGUCAAGAACCGUGAUCGCUUGAGGAAAUCCUCCAAAAGGAAAUCCAGUCCCAGUUCCAGCCCCCCCCAGAUGCAAACCCCUCCCACCCUGCAUCAACCCUCCUCGCCUCCCAAAUCAUUCCCUUCCCCUCCAUGCAAAGAAGAGCUACGAUCUCCUGACGUAGAUGUUGGGCAGUUAGUGUUGGUCAAGAGAGAAUGCGAGGAGAGGAUUGCCUUCCAUGCGGCGUUUAAAAUUUUUCUAGUGGUAGCUCUGGCUGUCAGUAGCAGGAACCUUGCGGUUUGGUUCAUGGUGGCGGCAUUCUUGCUUGUGCUAGUAGAGUUUGUUGGGACGCGGUUUUUUGGUUUCUUAAGACCAGAGUCUAAGAUGCUUUUAUUGGAUUCUUGGAUUCAAAAGGGUUUGCUGGUUUUGAAGAGAUGGGAUUGGGAACAAGGAUCAGCGCAGGAAUUGGUUGUGAAACAACAAGGCACUCUCUUUUCUGAUUCUUAUGGGUUGACUGAAUUGGAAGAUGAUUGCGUUGAGGAAAUUCAGAUCGCGGAAUCGAAAUUUGAUUCCGUAGAUAAGGGGUGUGACAGUGAAAGUUUGGAGACGCAGAUAAAAGUGGAGGGGAUGGAGAAAAUAAGGGAAAUCUUGAUAUGUAGAAGUGAGCGUAGUCGGAGUGCUAGAAUCAAAGCAAAUUUGAUCAGGAAAUUAGUGCCAAAGAAGUUGCGUAAUGGAAAGAAGCAGGGGAAGAGUAAUGACAGGGAUGAACCAUGUACUCAAUCGGGAGUGGAAAUAGAUAAAUCAGACAAGAUUGAAGAGGGAAAACAAGGGCCGGAGGCCGAUGAUGGAGAAGAUGAAUCACAAGUAGAGGUAGAGGAAGAAAGUUGCAAGCAAGUUGAGGAAUUAGGAGACAGGAUUUCAACUUGUGCUCAACUUUUGUGGGUUGAGGAGUCAGGAAUGGGAGUAGUUAAAAACAAAGUGGGGAAUGAUAGAAAAGGGAAAUCAGGGUAUCUGAUUCUGUUUGUGAUCGUUCUAGCUGGACUUGUAGGUGGGCGGGGUCUUGCCCUUUUGCUUACACUUGUAUGGUGUUUGAUAGUAAGAUAUAUUGGAUUUGGGAGGCUAAGGAGAUGCUGAAAUGGGGCACAUGAUCUUUCUCUCCUGUCCCAAUCCUGAUGCGCCACAUUGAUUUCUAGGGUGUGGCAGCUUGUCUGAGAAGAAACUAGAAAGCAUCAGCAUCUUCUCUCUAGCUUUUCAAGUGGUUCUGUAGAUUUAGCUUCUGGUUGAAUCUGCUGCUUGAAGCGUGGCUGAUGAUAGGGAGUAGUGCCAACGUGUCUGUCGGGCAGGGCAACUUGAUUUUGUUGUAAUUUGAACUGUAAAUUCACAUAUAUACAACAUUCGUUGAUUUAACUCUGCAAUUCGAGUGUUACAUUUUUGCCAUUGCAUGGUUCCAUGCCGCCAUUUGCAAGCUAAAUGAUCAGUACCAAAGCUCUGCUCUCCACUCUCCAUGGCUUGGACAUUCACUUGUCAAUCCUACGACAUUCAAGACAAACGAAAAGCAAACAAGCCACAUUGGAAGAUUUUGUCUGUCAUGGAAAUUUUUAAAAUGGGAACCAUUGAGCUGAAUUUAUUAUUGGGGUUAUUGUUUUGAGAUUCUAUGUCAAUGUUUUUUUCAAUGACUUAGUCCUUAAUGCAGCUUUAAGACAAAUGAAGCCUUAAUUAUACAAAUUUCAAAUAAUGUUGGGUGCAGAAAUCAAGAGAUGCUGCAUUUCAUAGAAUUCACAUUUAUAUAGUAAGGACAAAACUUAUAAUAAUUUAUAUACAUAUAUAUAAUAAUAAUAAUAAAAUAAACAUAAAACAAAUAUAUUGAAGAAAAAGAUUUACUUAAUCAAGGUUAGAGUCUAGUAGUAAUCAUCAUUAAUUUUAAUUUUUUUGUGAACCUUUAGUUCUACAAAUAUCUUAUAUAUUAGGAGAUUGUGACUAUGAGACAUGGGAUGUUGAGUAAAAGGGUCAAAUGAAAGAUGUUUAAAGGUUCAAUCAAAAGAAAAGCAGUCAUGGUGACGGUAUUUCCAUAGUUGCAAUUCAAAGAAGAAGGGUGCAAGUGUACCUUUGAGUGACAACGCCAAGGAAACCGCUAGUAACGCGUCUUAGACUUAGAGCAUGAUUUUAUUAGUCAAUUAUGUGAUAGGAGACAUGUAAUUUGCUUUGACUCUCAUGUAUGACAUGAGUUUGUAAAAAGCCUCAAUUUAUACUUGUUUAUGUUUGUUGGAUGAGUUAAUCGAAACAAAAUUUAAAACUCGUUUAAUAAAAGAAUUGAGCGUGAACAAAGGUGAAUCAGAUUCAUUUAUGCACAUGAACAAAUUCAUGUAAGGUUCGUUUAUGAACUUGUUAAAAACCAAUUUUGAUCGAUAAAUUCUUUUCGUUCCAAAUUGAAUAUCCACUUUUUAAUCGAUAAAAUGAAUAACAUUUUUAAAAAUUUAAAUAAAUUUUUAUAUCGCGUAAUACUGAUAUGAUAUAUUAAAAUAUCAUAAUUGAUGAUAAUAUGAUAUGUUAAUUUGAUAAAAUAAUAUGAUUAUAUAAUUUUUUUCACUCUUUACGUUAACAUUAUAUUAAUAUUGGAUAAAUAUAAAAUAAUAAGUAGUAUUUUGAUUAAUAGCAAUUAAUCCAUUAUUACUUAUAAAGAUUUAUUUGAUUUAAAAUAAAUAUAUAAAAAUUUAAUUUAACGUAAUAAUAGAGUAAAGAUUUAUUUAAAGUUUUUUAAAUAAUUUAAGAGUUUUUUUUUAACAUUAUGUGUAUAUAUGGGUUUAGCUUCUAAAAUUGAAGGAAAAGUAAAUUGGACAAUGAAAAGUCCAUAUCCAUUGCCCAAAUAUCUAUAUAUGAAAAGGUAAUUUUGACAUGUGGAACCUUUUAAAGUAGCCUUCAUCUCCAGCCCGGAGGGCAUCGCCUCGUCUGCCUUGCACAAAUCCGGAUGCCAACUUAAAACCCUAACACCCUAACUCUAAAAUAUUUGGCUUUUCGCCGCUUCCUUCCUCCGUUGUUUUUCUUCUUUGCAUUGGUUUUGCUCACCUAUUCUUUUGAAUUUCCAAUAUAUUUGUAUAAAUGGUUAGAAAUUGUUGUUAGGCUCAAGGAAAUGUGUUUGAAAUUGUUUUUCUCCUCUUUUUUUCAGAUAGAAAUUCCUUGUUUUUUGUUUGUUUAGGAGCUUAGAAACAAGCCCGUUCAUGACCUGGGCAUUGCCCGAUUCCGCAUUCUACCGAAUCGAGAAACGAUAUAGAAAACCAUGUCGUUCGAUCUGACUAGAAAAGAGCCCCAACAGCCAACGCCCCCGAGCGCUGGUUGUAACGGAAACGGUGUGGCGGUGUUGCCGAGCAUGGCGACGGCGCACCGGCUACGGCUGAACCCUAAUACGGAGCACAAGCCGGAGACCUACGAGGGUUUGCAGUUGGAGUUCAGUCCACUUCUGUUCAGCUCCCUGGAACGUUACUUGCCUCCUCCGAUGCUCUCACUCUCUCGCGACUCCAAGCUUAAUUACAUGCGCGAUAUUAUCCUUCGUUACUCUCCAGAAGGCGAACGUACUCGCGUAAGCCCUUUUUUUUUUUUUUAAUUUUUUAUUAUUAUAUGUUUAACUUUCAGGUUCGAAAAUUUCUUUCCUGAGUGUAAUGUCGUAUUUUACGAUCUAAAUGGCCGUGAAUUCUUUUUCUUUUGGGAUGAAAUGAAAUGAUAGUGUAAAUUUUGAAUUAUGUUGAUUUUCUAGUUAAACUUUAAGCAUUAUGUUAAUGAAGGUGAAAAUCAGAUAAAUUUGUAAUAGAGUGCAAGGAAUAUAUUUAAUAUUUAAAAUUUAAAAUUUUUAUUUCAGGAAAUGAUUGUUUUAUUGCAGAUUUUAAAUUAAACGAACAUGCUAAGAAGCAUUGAUUGUUUCAAAUCCCUUUUUGGCUGAUUGAGAAAUAGUGGUGAACAAAUGCUGGAACAAGGGGGAAAAAGAAGUGAAUUCUUUUUCGUCUUAUCUUGGAUUUAUUAGUUGCCUAUUAUUGUUGAGUUGGAUUUGGAUGAAAUGAGAUAUUAAAUCAUCUGUCAUAAUUGAUAGAUGGGUUCUGUGUUCCUUAUUGCCAUUGGACUAAUUUUAAGUUUCAAUCUGUAUCUAUAUAAUUUGUCAUUGUUCUGUAUUUUCUGCAAUGUUAUGCAUUUUAUGUUGGUCAAUGUUUGUCAUUCUCACAUUUUGUUGAACUUCUAAUUUGUGGUUAUUUUUCUCUCUUAAUUUUCCUUUUCCAUUUAGCUGUGUUUUUUCUCACCGUUUGAAAUUUUUGAACAGGUUCAAAGGCAUCGAGAAUACAGGCAAAAGAUUAUAUCACACUAUCAGGUACAUAUCGUAGUUAAGGUUUGACUAGGAUUGCUUGUGCUUAUGCCAUUGGGGAAUACUUAAUUUAUGCCUGCAAACUUUCCAUACUAUGCUGUUUGUGAGAUAUAUCAUGAUUGACCCUUUAUGGUUGCCAUGAUUAAAAUAAGUAGAAGUGCCUUGCAGUGGCCUUUUGUUUUUCCUUUUGCAGAUUGCAUUUUUGUGUGUAAUCUUUAUAAGGUUUAUAUUUCUUUUCUGCUUAAGUGAUCUCUACUUUAUGCAGCCGCUGCAUAGGGAGUUGUACGCCAUGCAUGCCUCUAACUUCUUUGUCCCCUCAUUUCUCAAAGCAAUUAAUGAGAAUAAAGAGGAAAGUUUUCGAAGUAUAAUGGCAGAGCCUGCUCUUGGGGUUUUUACAUUUGAAAUGCUUCAACCCCAUUUCUGUGAAUUGUUGUUAUCUGAGGUAUCAUUGCUGCCUCUUCUCAUUUGGCAUUUUUUACUUUAAACUUUCUUGUUUUUUAGUUUUUAUAUUUUUCUUAUCAGGUUCUGAUUGCUUAGGUAGAAAACUUCGAAAAAUGGGUCCAUGAAACAAAAUUCAGAAUUAUGCGUCCAAACACAAUGAACAAAUUUGGCGCUGUUUUAGAUGACUUCGGUCUGGAGACCAUGCUUGAUAAGUUGAUGGAGGACUUUAUUCGACCUAUUUCCAAAGGUAUUUAAUUUUCCGUCCAUCAUGAGAUCUUAAGUGCAUGCUAAAAUAUAUUUUAGAGUUAAAGCUGAUACCUUAUUGUUUUUAAUAUAUAUUUUGGAAAUGGUCUGCAGUUUUCUUUUCUGAUGUGGGUGGAUCUACGCUGGAUUCUCAUCAUGGUUUUGUUGUUGAAUAUGGAAUUGACAGGGAUGUUGAGCUUGGUAGGUUCUAACUUCUUUCUAUUUUCUUUUUUGAUUAAAUCCUUGCCAUAAGUUAUCUGAAUGAUGGCAGUUUAUGGUUUAUGUAAUCUGUGCCGUUUAUCAUCCACUACCGUUAGGAGAAUAAAUCAUUAGCUACGGUAGAUGAAAACUGAUCUACAGUUAAGUGUUCAGAAGGUAUUGCACAAAAUAAUUUUCUUCAUUUCUUAAGACGUUUAAAUCACGAGCUUUGUGCGUUGCUUAUAACUUGAGGUCUUUCUUUUCCUCAUUAAAUGAUGGCACAUUUAUUUUCUUACAUUUCAUGAUGAUCAUCGUUUUUCUUAUAACAGCCCAUAAUAUGAGCAUGAUUGGCUAUGCUUUCUUCCUAAUAUUUUAAUUUUGGUGCAUAUUAAAUUUUAAUUGUUGAUGCUUGUUUUGUUAACCUACUUGUUCUGUUAAAAUCUUGUUUUUAAGGUAGUAGCUUCACAAACUUCUGUAGCUUUGUCUCUGUAGGUUUCCAUGUGGAUGAUUCAGAAGUCACCUUAAAUGUUUGCUUGGGUAAACAAUUUUCUGGAGGAGACUUGUUCUUUCGAGGUGUUCGUUGUGAUAAACAUGUCAAUACAGAAACCCAGUCAGAUGUAUGCUAACCUUUCUGUUCAAUUCUUUCUUACUACUGUUCAUUUUAAGGUGCAGGAACUGAAACUUUCCUUUGGCUUAACCAUUCAGCUCUAAUAACUGCAUGUUCCACAAAGCAUCAGGAUGAAGUUUAGUGUCAGUUUGAUAAGAAGGUUCCCUAAAAUGUAGCAAUAAGGAGAACUAACCCAAAUGAGAACAUGAAAUUACAGAUUACUUAAACAAAAUAAAUUGCUGAUGUCUUCGUAAUAUAAUUUUCCUAGACAACAGGUGAUAGGCCAUAUUAUUUAAAUUGGUUAGCAGAUAUUGGUUCAUAGAAGAAUAUACAUACAUACAUAUAUAUAUAUACACAUAUAUAUAGAUGUGGUAUGUCCUCUAUUGUUAAUUUGUUAGUCAUUGUACCAAAAUGAUCAUUUUUUUAAUGUUUUCUCAUUGUUCUGCAUUCCAGGAAAUUUUGGAUUAUUCCCAUGUUCCAGGACGUGCAGUUCUUCAUCGCGGGCGCCAUAGGCAUGGUGCAAGAGCCACAACAUCUGGUCAUCGGGUCAACUUACUUUUGUGGUGCAGAAGGUAUCUUUCUUUUACACCCUUAGUAUAAACGUACCAAACAUGUAAUAGCCUUUUGGAGGGAUCAGGAGUCUCUCUUAAAGUUGUAAUGGGAACAUGACUUACUUCUCUAAGUUGGAAAAAGAAUACCACUUUAAUACAAGUUGCUCAUCGGUUUGCAUUUGAAUAUCUUUAUGUAAUAUUUAAUAUUGAAAUACGAAGAAUUUAAUUUAGAAUUUAAACUAUUGGGCUAUUUGUUUGACUACAUUUAGAAUUUAGACUUGUUUUAGGAGUUGAAAUGAGAUAAAAUAUUAGUGGAUGACUGAAAGUUUAAUAUAGUUGGCACUUGCAUCUUUGGAGAAUGGUGCUACCUGAAUUCGCUGUCAUAUUUUUGGUCAUUUAUGUAUUUUUUAUAAAUCUAACUUGUUGGAAAGAAAUUAUUAAGUUGGAGUUAUCUAGGGGCUUAUUUGCCAUAUUUUCUAACAAAAGUAUCAAUAAGGGUUUUGUUCUGAAAUUCUUUGGGCUGCAUUGUGCUUGUAUUGUUUGAAACUUGUUAACAAAGCCUACUGAGAUGCAAUAAUGUGGAGUGGUGUUCUUUUUCUGAGAGCUGAGAGUUUUCAGUUUAGAUAACAAGUUACAAUGUAUGAGGCAUAGGAUGCUCUCAGACUUCUUACUUAUGUAUACGCUGAGCUUCACUUUGGUCCACAUUCCUUAAAUUGUAUUGUGAGAUUUAGAACUAGUGCAUUUUUUUUUCCCCCAAUUAGUUUAAAAUGCAUGCAAAAUUUUCUUCUAGUUCGGUCUUUCGAGAGCUGAGGAAAUAUCAGAAAGAUUUCUCAAGCUGGUGUGGAGAGUGCCAACGCGAGAAAAAAGAAAGGCAGCGUGUUUCAAUUGCUGCUACGAAACAGGUGAAGUCCAAAUCAAUUGUUUUUGUAGAAAAUAAAAAUAUAAAUUCUGACUGUCUACUUUGAUCAGGAAUUACUGAAGAGGGAAGGAAAACCUCCGACUUGAAGUGUGUCUAUUUUUAAACAAGUUUUUGCUUGUGGAAAUUGUAAAAUAGUAGGAUUCUUGUCAAUGUGACACAAGCAAAGCUAUUUUUCUUAUUUUGUUAGUGAUGUGCACUAUUGCCAAAAAAUUGGGUGGGUAAAGAUGGAAGGGUGAAUGGUCUUGUGUGUCUUCAUUGUGCUUCAAUGCUGUACAUACACAUGUUGUCUUGGGUGUCCAGUUUAUGAGACAGCUACAACUGCAACUGAACUAUGUUUUUAAGAUAGUGGCACUAGUUUUUUUCUGUUGUUGGUUCCAACAUUGUUUCAAGCAUCAUAAAACUGGUUGACAAGUUGUGUUGCAAGUAAACCAUCAUGUCAAUUGAUGAGGCAUGAGGGAACGUCAUCAGGUUGCCAUUUCAAGUACAAUAAAUUUUAUAUACUUCAAGAGAGAAAUAAUAAUGACACAUCAACAAUUCUUUGUAUCUAAAUCUCAAUGCAUACUGGUUUUUUUUUUUUUUUUUUUAAAUCUCAUUUCAAAAUCUUUACAAUAAUUUAAUUUUAGUUUUCUUAAUUCUAUUUUUCAAGUGAAAAAAAUAAAGAAAAAUAUAUAUAGAGAUUAGUCAUUCUUUUUGCUAUGAAAGGACAGUCUGUUCAUUGACUUGAUGGCACGUUUGGAUAAAAUAGAGAAGCUCCUAACUCCUGAAGUCCAAACUCAAGCAGAAGCAAAGAAAUGCAAAGCAAACGCAGUCAUUCUCUACAAUCAUCGUACCACUCACACUUGCAAUAGUAAAAUCCCUAACCAAUAAUAUAAUUAUUAACAAAAAAAGUAAACUCUCCCACAAGAAGGAUAUUAAUAUAAGCCUUUUUAAGAUAACAGUAUUAUAAGAUAUUGUAUUCAAAUAAAUACAAAAAUUAAUUUAUAUGAUUUUAUCUAUGGAGACACAAUUUUUACCAAAAAUGUAAAUCAGUUUAACACUAUUAAUCCGUCUAUGAAGUUAAUAAUAAUUUUGUCUCCUAUAUUUUGUUUCAAUGCGUGGAACAAUAAUAAUAAUAAAAAAAAUUGUUAGUGACAAUAUAAUUAUUUAUUUUUUUAACUUGAAGUGAUUUAAAAUUUUAUUAAAAAAAUUAAAAAUGAUAAUUUUUUAAUAUAAAAUUUCAAAAUAAUUUAAUAUUUUAUUAUUAAUAAUAAAUUUACUAUUUUUCCAGAGGACUAAACACCAAAAAUAGAAGCAUUUUUCCAAUUUGGACAACAACAAUCUGUCCUUUUCUCUUUCAUCUACAAAAGGCUAAACUUUAUCAGCCAGCCCAACGCAGCUGCGCCCAUCCUUCACUCUUAUCCUUCCAUUUCCCAACAAAAAGCAAAGCAACCCAUUUUUCCCUCCCUCAUCACUUUCCCCACCACAAGGAAAAAAAAAAACCAAGUGAAGAGAAAAUGAGAGAAAUCUUGCACAUCCAAGGAGGUCAAUGUGGGAACCAGAUCGGGGCUAAGUUCUGGGAAGUGAUUUGCGACGAGCAUGGAAUUGACAACACUGGAAAGUAUAGCGGUGACUCCGAUCUGCAGCUGGAGCGUAUCAACGUCUACUACAAUGAAGCCAGUGGCGGAAGGUAUGUCCCCCGCGCUGUUCUCAUGGAUCUUGAACCGGGCACUAUGGACUCCGUCAGAUCUGGUCUUUUUGGACAGAUCUUUAGGCCAGAUAACUUCGUCUUCGGGCAGUCUGGUGCUGGGAACAACUGGGCCAAGGGUCAUUACACAGAGGGAGCUGAGCUCAUUGAUUCUGUUCUUGACGUUGUCAGAAAAGAAGCUGAGAAUUGUGAUUGUUUGCAGGGUAUCAAUCCUAUAACUUGACUUUACCCUUUUUCUUUAAAACACAUUUUGACCUAUGGGUUUAGUUUAAUUUGUUGAGAUCGGUACGUUUUUGAGGUUUUUUUUCGUUCUUUUGUGAAUUUUGUCAUGUAUUUUAUUGGUGGAUCUUCCUCAAUUCUGAGUUCUGAGUAUGCUUUGUAAAAUUUGGUUUUUUUUUUUUUUAUCUUGGGUUCGGUGAACCAUUUUGGGUGUUUUCCAGGCUCUUUUCUUUUCUUUCAAUUUUGGGGUUUUUAAAGAUAGUUUGUUUUUAAUGCAGAUUUGUUGUCUGUUUUAGUUUGGAUUAUGUCUUGUCUGUUAUAUCUAUGAACAAAUCCUUUUUGAAGUAAAUUUGUUAUAUAUAUAUGGAGGAAUAUGUUAAGCCAUUGAAGCAACGUGGUUAUUGUUUUGAACUGAUUAUCGUGGCAACUUGUUUUGAAAGUUUCUUGUUAAAUUGUACUCUGGUUUUCUCUAUUUGCAUUUCUAAUCCCCCUCCUCCUGCAAGGCCAAAAGGAAAAAAAAACAGCUAUAUCUGCUUUCAAAUCUCACUUUAUGUGUUUUUGGUACAGGAUUUCAAGUUUGUCAUUCUUUGGGUGGAGGUACUGGAUCCGGAAUGGGUACCCUUCUUAUUUCCAAGAUUAGGGAGGAGUAUCCAGAUCGCAUGAUGUUGACAUUUUCGGUUUUCCCUUCUCCUAAGGUAUCUGAUACAGUUGUUGAGCCAUACAAUGCUACCCUUUCCGUUCAUCAGCUUGUUGAGAAUGCUGAUGAAUGCAUGGUGUUGGACAAUGAGGCUCUGUAUGACAUCUGCUUCCGAACUCUCAAGCUUGCCACUCCCACCUGUAAGUUUGAUUUAUAGUUCUAAAUGCCUAGUGUAUGCAGCAAAGGAUUUUUAGCUUUGCCUAAAGCAAGUUUCUCCAUUUGUUUUCAACAAUUUAAAAUUAAAACAUGUAGUGGGCAUUAAUUUGAUUAUGUUGCUUUACCUUCCUGUUCUGGGUCUUUGUGAAAAAGGAUGUUGCUCAAUUGUUAAGGAAUUGGUGGCAUAUGAGCCCUACCCCUUUAUUAAAUCUCAGUUGGGUUGCUCAUAAGUAUCUUUCUUACCAGAGACACGCACCAUUUACUUUUUGUCCCCAAACACAAAAGAAUGUGAUGCGUUAGGAAUAAAUGCUCUCAUAUUUGUUCUAUGAAUUGGGAUAAUAACUAUUAUUUUCUUAUGCUACUUCAAAAAUAUUGAGUGGCUUCUCUUAAUGGAAUCAAUUUCCAGAGUAUACAUGAUCUGCCCUCUGUGCUUAUAUUCUUUUUCUUUUAACUUGACUCAGUUGGUGAUCUUAACCACCUCAUCUCUGCUACCAUGAGUGGUGUCACAUGCUGUCUGCGGUUCCCUGGACAGCUGAACUCUGAUCUCCGCAAGCUUGCCGUGAACCUUAUUCCCUUCCCACGACUACACUUCUUCAUGGUUGGAUUUGCACCCUUGACAUCCAGAGGAUCACAGCAGUACCGGGCCUUGACUGUGCCCGAACUGACUCAGCAGAUGUGGGAUGCCAAAAACAUGAUGUGUGCUGCUGACCCACGCCAUGGCCGUUACCUAACUGCUUCUGCAAUGUUCCGUGGUAAGAUGAGCACUAAGGAGGUUGAUGAACAAAUGAUUAAUGUCCAGAACAAGAACUCAUCAUACUUUGUUGAGUGGAUCCCUCACAAUGUCAAGUCUAGUGUGUGUGACAUCCCACCAAAGGGUCUGAAAAUGGCAUCCACUUUCAUUGGAAAUUCAACUUCAAUCCAGGAGAUGUUUAGGAGGGUUAGUGAGCAGUUUACAGCAAUGUUCAGGAGGAAGGCUUUCUUGCACUGGUACACUGGUGAGGGAAUGGAUGAGAUGGAGUUUACUGAAGCUGAGAGUAACAUGAAUGAUUUAGUUGCCGAGUACCAGCAAUACCAGGAUGCCACCGCAGACGAUGAGUACGAGGAGGAGGAGGAGGAAGAAGAGGAAGUUCCAGCUUGAGGGGAGGAGUCUCUAUAAGCUUGCAGUUGGUCUGAAAUUUGUAUCUAUGUUGGCUGGCUCUAGCUGGCUAUGCUUAUGUUGUUGAGAUGUCAAAUUUAGAUUGACAUGAUGUGUAUGGUUGUGGCUCCUAUCUGAGAUUAUGCUAUUGCUUUUAAAGCUUGAAUGGAUGGAUGUUUGUCUUUAGUAGAAUGCUAGAAGAUUGAUGGUGAUAUUGUCUAAAUUUUCUUUUAUCCUAGGUGUGCAUGGAAUUCAUAUGAAGUAGCUUUUCUAUAAUUUUUUGUUGGAGUUGACAAUGGGUUCAUUCAAGCUACAAUGCAUUUUGAGAUUUAAUGUAUAAAAUUUAUAUAUUGAUAUUGUAUUCUUUUUUCUUUUUUUUGUAAUUAAUGCGUAAUUGGUGAUUAUAUUUUGAAUCUUGAAUCCUACAAAUCCAUUUUUUUACUAUUCUCUUAAAUUAAUUUUAAAUAUGCAAAUAAAGUAAUAGAAAUAUUUCAUUUAUUUUUUAAAUACUCCCACUUUCAAAUUAAAUCUAGUUUUUUAAAUGGUACAAGUUUUAAGAAUAUGAAUAAAUAGCAUUAUUUAUGGGUUGUUGUAUGAUUUUUUUGUUUAAAAAAAAAUAUUUGGUUCAUUGAUUGUUAUAUGUUUUUUCUAUUUAAAGAGUAGAAUUUGAUUUUUUUUUUCAAAUUUUAAAAAAUAAUAAAUAACUACAAAAUAAAGUAUCAAUUGAUUUAGUAAAUAGAUAAAUUUAAUUGAAAAUAAAUAACUACUAAAUUAAUAAUGAUAAAAAUUGUCACUAUUUAGCGUUUAUAUAUAUAUAUAUAUAUAUAUUUAUUUAUUUAUUUUGCGAGUUGGUUUCAGCUGUCACGCGGAAGAAAGCAGUGACUGAGACAAGGCUGAGAAUGCUGUGGGAAGGAGAAGUGGUCGCGAGAAACAAGGAACAAGUCAAUCUCUGUCGAGGUUUAAGACAAAAAUCUGAACAUAUAUCCAAGCAAUAAGCUUACAACAUGUCCAAAGACGAAUGUUUCAACUCCAUCCAUCUCCCGACGGCAACUUCUUUUCUCUUCUGUUCGUCUCACUAUAAAAGGAGACAGUUGCAGCUUCCUCUUUUCAUCAAUAUUAUUAGGAAUUAAUAGUUUUGUGUUAAUUAUCACCUAAGCUGACAUAAUUGAGCUGCAUUUGCAUGCAUGCUUCCUUCUUCCAAAAUGUUUACGAGGAUUGUCUUUGUCUUAACUUGCUGUCUUGCCCUUGCAUCUGUCCAUAGUACUCCUCUUCAAGAUUUUUGUGUUGCAGACCCCAACAGCAAAGGUACUGCGUGUCUGAAAUUUCUUUCUAUUCCCCUUGCCUCAUUUUUUUUUAUAAAUUUAUAUUAAGUACUGAUAAAUGAAGUGUCUCUUAGAAUAUCUCUUCCUUUGAACUUUUAUAAAAAUCGAACCAAAAUAAAUUAAAGUUGGAUGGUAAAAUUAAACUCAGUUAAAAUAUAAUGACAAUUUGGUAUCCGAACCAAAGUUAUUGAUUGAUAAUAUCCUUUUCUGCAUUUCUGCUUCAUGACAGUUGUUGUCAAUGGCUUGGCUUGCAAGGAUUCAAAGCUGGUUGUAGCCGAGGAAUUCCACCUCACAGGGCUGCAUUUGACAGGCAACACUUCAAACCCCUUCGGGUUCAAGGCGACCCCAGUUACAGUAGCCCAGCUACCGGGGCUGAACGCCCUGGGAAUCUCAAUGGUUCGUUUAGACUUUGCACCAUGGGGUCUUAACCCUCCCCAUACGCACCCAAGGGCUAGUGAAAUGUUGACUGUCUUGGAAGGCACCCUGGAAGUGGGGUUCAUCACUUCCAACCCUGAGAACCAAUUGUUCAAGAAAGUUCUUAACAAGGGUGAUGUAUUUGUGUUUCCUAUGGGCCUUAUUCAUUUCCAAAGAAAUGUUGGAUAUGGGAAUGCCGUUGCGGUUGGAGCCCUUAACAGCGAGAGUCCUGGGGUUAUUACCAUUGCUAAUUCAGUGUUUGGCUCAAAUCCAAGCAUUCCCACCGAUGUUCUCGCAAAGGCUUUCCAGGUUGACCAAAAUGUGAUUUUUCAGCCGCUAGCUAAGUUCUAGACAGCCAUUUGUAAUACCAAAUGGCUGCUAAUGUCUGUGUAUUUCUGUUCAACAUUUUAAAGUUGUAAAAUCAAAUAAUAAAUGGUGAAAGUAUAUAAUCUUUCACUUCCAAAGAAGAUUGAAAGUGCUUAGAAACUGAGAACUAAACCAUGCAUGCGUUAAAGCUAAGAAAACUAAGGGUAAGGUUGAAAAACUAUAAAUGCAGAUAAAAAUGCUUGAUUUCUAGUUUCGAGGACCCUUUCAUCCUCCUUUAAAUCUUGCAUUUAUGCUAGGAUGAAGGCUUAAUACGAGCUUGCAUAUGUAAUUAACUUGCAGUGGGACACUCUUCCACUUACCCGAAAAUGCUGAACAUGAAUUGAUAACAGCCCAUUAUCUCCUAAAGGUAAACGUACAAUAAGUGAAUGGAUAUAUAUCAAGUAAGAUUUUUUAUGACAUCCAAUUAGAUCGUAAACUCUGUCCAACCUUGCCUUACCUUACUUACCUCACAUUCCUUAGCCUUUGCCUGAAAUAUAUUUUCUAAUAAACAGAGAGAAGAAUGACCCAUUACUUGUUAAAAUUUCAAGCUUAUCCGAAAUUGCUGAACAUGAAUUGAUAACCGCCCAUUAUCUCCUAAAGGUAAACGUACAAUAGGAGAAUGGAUAUAAUUUUUUAGCAUUUGCUUGAAAUAUAGUUUCUAAUAAACAGAAGAAUGACCCAUUACUUUUACUUUUAACUUCGGUCAAGGCUAAAACUUGUUAAAAUUUCAAGCUUUUCAAGCUUAUACGUGUGAACUUCAAUCAUGAUUGACAAUAUUCCCAAAAAGGUCAAGAUUUUCAAACUCAACAAUUUGUAAAUUUCAACAAGUUUAUAGCCUUCAAACCCUAGCCAUAUACAAAAUUCAAUCAAGAUAUAAAAGCUCAGAUCUUAGCUUAACAAUUCUCUAAAUUUGGAUAUACAUCAUAUGCUAAGAAAUAUAUAUGAAUAUAUCCAAAUAUUUGGCUUAUUGAUUGAUAAAUGAUUUUCCUACUUAAAAUAGCAAGAUUUGAAUUCUCUUUCCUCGAUUUUAAAUAUAUAUAUAUAUUAAUAGACUUAUUAGAAGUGGAAAGUUAGAGACAAGAGGGCACAAGAGAAUUUGAUACACCUUUUAAUAGAAAAGAUCGGUAGAAUUAAUUUAAUAAAAGGAAAAUUUGGCUUAACUAUAUGGUGGCUUCUUCAAUUCUACAAACAAAUAAAUUGAAAUCAGCUGUAAACGUCAAUGAAAGGGAACACCAGAAUCUGUCCAAACGAAAAAAGGGUUGUUUUACAAAGGCCAAUUGAAUCUUGAUCCAGGUUAUUAAGAUCAUAUUCUAACAAAUUUCUACAGAAUUAAACACUAACGAUUAUAUAUUCUCUUUUAAAAGUAAAGAUCACUUCAUUAACAUAUUGACGAAAGCAAUAAGUACAUAAAAUGUGAACGUCAUCGUAAAACAAAAUAAUUUUUCAAACAAUCAAAUUUAUAAAUAUAACUAAUAGUUAAUAUCAGAUUUUGCAUUAAUUGAAUAUCAAAUUUAAUAGGAUCAUUUGUCAACUUAUUAAUAAUCUAAAACAUACAGUGAAUUUGCCGUCUUCCUAAUUGAAUUUUUAAAAUUUUAAUAUGUAAUAUAAUUAUACAAGAAAUGAAUCUUGCAAAUGGAUGAUAGCUAACAGGUAUCUCUCUCCUCCGUCUGAUCACUAUAAAAGGAGAAGCACUGCUUUUUCCUUGCACCGAGCAAUAUUUGUUGCAAAUGGCUGCCAAAACCCUGUUUAGAGCACUCCUUGCUCUAACUUGCUUCGUUGCAUUUGCAUCUGCUCAGAAUGGAUUUGAAUCUGGUCAGAGUGCAUUUGCAUCUGGUCAGAGAAAUAGUGCUGUUCAUAAAUCAGUAGAUGAUUAUAAAUCAGAUAGUGAAGAUGUAUCUUUAAAACCAAAGCAAAUCAUCGAAACUGAUGACAGAGGUAGUGCUGCAAUAUCUGAUGAUCAUAUUAAUGAUCAUAGAGUUGGUGCUGUUCCAAAUCAAUCCUAUCGUAGACAUAGUCCGCAUCAAAAUUUUCACCAGGCAGCUGAUCCCAAACACCAACCAAAGGAAGGUACAUCUGCAAUUUGGUUUUGUUUCUUUUUUUUUUCCUUUAUUAAUGGAUGAAUAUAUAUUAAUAUUGGUUUAUGGUUUUGUGCUGCUAGGCUAGCCAUUGAUGAGUGUAUUGUUCCAAUCCUAGCAAUAUUACCAGUGAUCAUCUCGCCAAGGCUGCCAAGGAUUUGAGUUAUCUGCUACAAGCAAACUUCAAUAAGGGUCUUUAUUUGUUUGUUCUAAAAUGUCAAAUUUCCUCUCUUUACUCUAAUUUGAGCUUGUGAUUACUUUAUGCUAUAUUGAACGGAGUGUUCUUAUGUGUGUGUCAUAUGACGUUUUAGUAGAAAUGUGUGUGCAAUGGGAUUUUGUAUCAUUGUAUUGGAAUAAAAGAAGGUGUUUAUUGUCUAAUCUUUGGCGUAUCAAGUACUUGAAAUAUUUGCAACAGUUAUAUUGCUCUCUCAGGUGCAUUGUCUUUGUGAUGAAAUGCACUCCAACUCCAAUAAUAACAAUGCAAAGCAAUAACUAUCCAAAGGUCAAGAAUGAUGAUCUUAAGUGCUAGCUACGUCCAUUUGAAUUGUCUAUAUAAAGGCUAAGGCAGCUUCGGCAAAUUUGCUUAUAUUUCCUCCAAACUUCCAAGAACUUGCAUCCCUCUUAGUUUCUUCCUUUCAUCCAACACACACACACACAAAUAAUAUUAUCAUGUUAAUGGUCUUUUAAUGAAAUUUUAUACUGUCGUUAUUAUCAUAUAAUUAUUGAGAUUAUUGAGCUGAUGAGAUUUUGGAUGGUUUUGAUUGAUCACUUUAGUUCAUCUGCGCAGACCAUUAGUUUGUUAAAUCCUAAAAGUAAUAUAUCAAUAUUGCACCUUGCUAAUUGUCCUUUAGACAAUAUUUGGAGGGGACAAUUUUAAAGACAGUGAUUCCUAUCAUGCUUACGAUUUAAAGAUAAGUUGAGACAGUUAGCAAAUAAGAUGACCUCAUUCAAUUGAUGAUUUUACAAGAUUUAAAGUUCUAAAACAGUUGAGAACUAAAUUAGCUAUGAAUUAUUUAAAGCUAAUUAAGAAAACUAUAUAAAGUAAACAUUGAAAAACAUAAAUGAAGAUAAAAAUGGUUGAUUUCUAGUUUCUACAACCCUUUUCUCUUCCUCUAAAUCUUGAAUUUAUACUAGGAAGAAGGCUUAAUACGAGCAAGUACGUAAGUAAUAAACUUGCGGUGGGGCAUUCUUCCAAUUAUCCGAAAAUGCUGAACAUGGGUUGAUAACAGCCUAUUAUGUCCUGAAACUAGAGCCUGCAAGGACAAGUAAACGAACAAUAAGAGAAAGGAUGUGAAAAUCAUUGUCUUCAUCCUCUGGCCGGCCUUUUGGUUCGAAAAGAAGCAUUAUAUAUUGCAGGAGGGUCAUUCUCAACAAAUUUCGCCACAUCUCGACGAAUAUACCUGCUAUACAGUCCAUUAAUAAAGCAUAGUUAAAUACAGACAACAAAUAGCUCUCAGUUGGACCCAGGCAAUUUUGAAGAAUCACUGGAAAAAUUAUAUCAAGAUUGCCUGAAUUGUCCUGGAUUAGUUGAUGGACAUCAAUCCAAUGGCUGCAAACAAUACCUUUGCCGAUUCGUUGGCCAAGUCUGAUGUGGAAAAAGUGGACACUAUUGUUUUCCUUGGUCGGUUGCUGCAUCUAAAGGUUGGCCACUGCCGCUUAUAUGGGACGUGGAGACGUUGGUGCUGUACUGAUUGUGUUUGCGAUGUAUGGAGUUACAUUUAUGGCGUAAUGCUGUGAUGGCCUCUGGGUUUGAUGUCUGUUGGCAAUGGAUGCACUUGGUGCAUGGGUAGAGUAUUGGAUGGUUUUGGUUGGGUGUGCCUCUGUCUUCAGUUAUAGAUCAUCUGUUUUGAGAUUCUUGGGGGCCCUGUUAUUGGCUGGUGCACUUUGGUGGUGAAAACUAUGCUGCUGUGUUGGUCUGAAUUUAUGUGUUUUUAGUUAUUUAAUGUGUGCCUGUAAGCUGCUGUAUGGUUUUCCUUCCAUUAUUCUUAGCGGCUGCCAUUACUGUUUCAUUACUCUUAGUUGAGUCAUAAACGACCACCAUUACUUGACCUGAAAAACCAUAUUUCCUAUGGAACUGUUGAAAACAAAUUUAUGAGCAUUGCCUUGGAGAUGAGUAGACGUGUUAGAAGUGGACAGUUAAGGACGAGGCCGGAAGAGAAUUUGGCGUAAGUAUAUGGUGGUUUCUUCAAUUAUGGAGAAGUAAUAACAAUAAUACAACUAAAUCAGCUGUCAUGUAGCAACGAAAUGACAAUGAAAGAGAACCCCAGAGACUGUCCAAACAAUAAAAAGGUUGUCUCACAAAGACCAAUUCAAUCUUGGUCCAGGUUAUCAAGACUAAUCAAUCUAUAUACUCUCACAAAUUUCCAAAGAAUUAAGUGACAAGGAUUGUCUAUAAAUAGUUUUCUUUCAAAAGCAAAGAAUACUUCAAUAAAUGAAAACAAUAAGUAUGUAACAAACCCACGUCAACACAAAACAAAAUAAUUUCUUGAAUAAUCUAAGUUAUCAACGUAAUUAAUCAUCAAUAUUAGAUUCAGUGUUUAUUAAAUAUCAGAUUUGAUAAAAUCAUCUGUUGGAAGGCACCCUGGAAGUGGGGUUCAUCACUUCCAACCCCGUGAACCAAUUGUUCAAGAAAGUUCUUAACAACGGUGACGUAUUUGUGUUUCCUAUGGGCCUUAUUCACGUCCAGAGAAAUGUUGGAUAUGGGAAAGACGUUGCGGUUGGAGCCCUUAACAGCGAGAGCCCUGGGGUUAUUACCAUUGCUAAUUCAGUGUUUGGUUCAAAUCCAAGCAUUCCCAGCGACGUUCUCGGAAAGGCUUUCCAGGUUGACCAGAAUGUGAUUUUUCAGCUGCUAGCUAAGUUCUAGACAGCCAUUUGUAAUACCAAAGGGUGUAAUUCUUUGCUGCUAAUGUCUGUUUACUUCUAAUAAUCAAAUAAUAAAUAGUGAAAGUAUAUAAUCUUUCACUUCCAAAGAAGAUUGAAAGUGUUAAGAAACUGAGAACUAAACCAUGCAUGCAUUAAAGCUAAGAAAACUAUAGGUAAGGUUGAAAAACUAUAAAUGGAGAUAACAAUGCUUGAUUUCUAGUUUCGAGAACCCUUCCACCCUCCUUUAUAUCUUGUAUUUAUAUUAGAAUGACCCAUUACUUUUACUGUUAACUUCGGUCGAGGCUAAAACUUGUUAAAAUUUCAAGCAUUUCUAGCUUAUACGUGUGGACUUCAAUCAUGAUUGAGAAUAGUUUCAAAAAGGCCAAGAUUUUCAAGUUCAACAAUUUGUAAAUUUCGACAAGUUUAUAGCCUUCAAACCCUAGCCAUAUACAAAAUUCAAUAUAUAAACUCAGAUCUUAGCUUAACAAGUCUACAAACUUGGAUAUACUUCACAUACCAAGAAAUAUAUAUAUGAGUGUAUCCGAGCAUUUAGCUCAUCAGUUGGUGUAUAAUUUUCUUACUUAAACUAGCAGGAUUCAAAUUCUUUUCUCUUUAUUUUAAAUAUAUAUAUAUAUAUAUUAAUAGACUUGUUAGAAGUGGAAAGUUAGAGACAAGAGGACAACAGAGAAUUUGAUACUCCUUUUAUUAGAAAAGACCGGCAGAAUUAAUUUAAUAAAGAGACAAUUUGGCUUAACUAUAUGGUGGCUUCUUCAAUUCUACAAAACAAAUAAAUUGAAAUCAGUUGUAAACGUCAAUGAAAGGGAACACUAGAAAAAAAAUGUUGUUCUACAAAGGCCAAUUGAAUCUUGAACCAGGUUAUUAAGAUCAUAUUCUAACAAAUUUCCAAGGAAUUAAACGACAAUGAUUAUGUAUUCUUUUUUAAAAGUAAGGAUCACUUCAUUAACAUAUUUACAAAAGCAAUAAGUACAUAAAAAGUGCACGUCAACAUAAAAUAAAAUAAUUUCUCGAGCAAUCAAUUUUAUAAAUGUAACUAAUAAUUAACAGCAGAUUUUACGUUCAUUAAAUAUCAUAUUUAAUAAGAUCAUUUGUCAACUUAUUAAUAAUCUAAUUAAAAUAUAUAAUGAAUUUAUCAUCUUCCUGACUAAAUUUUUAAAAUUUUAAUAUGCAAUAUAAUUAUAUAAGAAAUGAGUCUUGCAAAUGGAUGACAGCAAACAAAUAUCUCUUUCCUCCUUCUCACUAUAAAAGGAGAAGCAUUGCUUUUUCUUGCAUCGAGCAAUAUUUGUUGCAAAUGGCUACCAAAACCCUGUUUAUAGCACUCCUUGCUCUAACUUGCUUCAUUGCACUUGCAUUUGGUCAGGAUACAUAUGCAUCUGGUCAGAGUGUAUUUGCAUCUGGUGAGAGAAAUAGUGCUGUUCAUAAAUCAGUAGAUGAUUAUAAAUCAGAUAAUGAAGAUGUAUCUUUAAAACCAAAGCAAAUCAUCGAAACUGAUAACAGAGGUAGUGCUGCAAUAUCUGAUGAUCACAUUAAUGAUCAUAGAGUUGGUGCUGUUCCAAAUCAAUCCUCUCGUAGACAUAGUCCGCAUCAAAAUUUUCACCAGGCAGCUGAUCCCAAACACCAACCAAAGGAAGGUACAUCUGCAAUUUGGUUUUGUUUCUUUAUUUUUUUUCCUUUAUUAAUGGAUGAAUAUAUAUUAAUAUUGGUUUAUGGUUUUGUGCUGCUAGGCUAGCCAAUUGAUGAGUGUAUUGUUCAAAUCCUAGCAGUAUUACCAGUGAUCAUCUCGCCAAGGCUGCCAAGGAUUUGAGUUAUCUGCUACAAGCAAACUUCAAUAAGGGUCUUUAUUUGUUUGUUCUAAAAUGUCAAAUUUCCUCUCUUUACUCUAAUUUGAGCUUGUGAUUACUUUAUGCUAUAUUGAACGAGUGUUCUUAUGUGUGUGUCAUAUGACGUUUUAGUAGAAAUGUGUGUGCAAUGGGAUUUUGUAUCGUUGUAUUGGAAUAAAAGAAGGUGUUUAUUGUCUAAUCUUUGACGUAUCAAGUACUUGAAAUAUUUGCAACAGUUAUAUUGCUCUCUCAGGUGCAUUGUCUUUGUGAUGAAAUGCACUCCAAUAAUAACAAUGCAAAGCAAUAACUAUCCAAAGGUCAGGAAUGAUGAUCUUAAGUGCUAGCUACGUCCAUUUGAAUUGUCUAUAUAAAGGCUAAGGCAGCUUCGGCAAAUUCGCUUAUAUUUCCUCCAAACUUCCAAGAACUUCCAUCUACAAAGCCAUCCCUCUUAGUUUCUUCCUUUCAUCCAACACACACAUACAUAAUACACACUAUUUUCAUCAUAUAAUUUAUCAUGUUAUUAGUCUUGUUAUCAUAGUUUAUACUAUCAUUGUUAUCAUAUAAUUAUUUACAUUGUUGAGCUGGUGAGAUUUUGGAUGGUUUGGAUUGAUCACUUUAGUUCAUCUGCAAGGUUGCACAGACCAUUGGUUUGUUAAAUCCUAAAAAUAAUAUAUCAAUAUUGCAUCUUGCUUGCCCUUUAGAUAAUAUUUGGAGGGGACGGAUUUCCAUUUAAAGACAGUAAUUCCUAUCACGUUUAAAAUUUAAAGAUAAGUUGAAACAAUUUGCAAAUAAGAUGACUUUAUUCAAUUGAUGAUUUUGCAAGAUUGAAGUUGUUAAAACAGUUGAGAACUAAACUAGCUAUGAAUAAAAGCUAAUUAAGAAAACUAUAUAAAGUUAAUAUUGAAAAACAUAAAUGAAGAUAAAAAUGCUUGAUUUUUAGUUUCUACAACCCUUUUCUCUUCCUCUAAAUCUUGAGAAGAAGGCUUAAUAUGAGCUAGCACGUAAGUAAUUAACUUGCAGUGGGGCAUUCUUCCAAUUAUCCGAAAAUGCUGAACAUGGGUUGAUAACAGCUAGCCCGUCAUCUCUUGAAACUGGAGCCUGCAAGGACAAGUAAACGUACGAUAAGAGAAAGGAUCUGAAAAUCAUUAUCUUCAUCCUCUGGCCGGCCUUUUGGUUCGUAAAGAAGUAUUAUAUAUUGCAGGAGGGUCAUCCUCAACAAAUUUCGCCACAGCUCGACGAAGAUACCUGCUAUACUGUCCAUUAAUAAAGCAUAGUUAAAUACAGACAACAAAUAGCUCUCAGUUGGGCCUAGGCAAUUUUGAAGAAUCACUGGAAAAAUUAUAUCAAGAUUACCCGAAUUGUCCUGGAUUAGUUGAUGGACAUCAAUCCAAUGGCUGCAAACAAUACCUUUGCCGAUUCGGUGGCCAAGUCUGGUGUGGAAAAAGUGGACACAAUGGUUUUCCUUGGUCGUUUGCUGCAUCGAAAGGUUGGCCACUGCCUUUUAUAUUGGACACUGUCUUUACAUAGAAUGAUACUUUCAAACAAAAUACCUUGCUUGCCCUUCACACAAUAUUUUCAUUUGAGAAAGUUUCCAAUAAGAUGACCUUACUCAAUUGAAAGUGUUAAAGAAGUUGAGGACUAAACUAUGAAUUCAAGCUAAGAAAACUAAAGGAAACGUUCAAAAACAUAAAAGAAGAUAAAUAUCCUUUGUAGCCUUUGUAAGCCUAGCCAUACACAAAAUUAAUUAAUUUAAUCAAGGGAAAAUUAAUUAAUUAAUUUAACAUGAGUAUAGCUGGACGUGUAUUGGAAGUGGGAAGUUAAGGACAAGAGGCCGGAAGAGAAUUUGAUACACCUUUAAUUAAAAAAUAUAGGCAUAAUUAAUUUAAUAAAGGGACAAUUUAACGUAAUUAAUAUGGUGCCUUCUGCAAUUUUACAUAAUCACUAAUUAUAAUGAAUUUAAAUCAACUGUCAUGUGGUAAAAAGACAUCAACGAAAGACAAUCCCAAAAAAUAUCCGGACGAAUUCAAUUUUGAUCCAAGUAACUAAGAGUAAUCUAUGUAAUAAUAAAUUUAUAAGAAAUUAAACGGUAAUGAUUAUAUAUAAAUAUUUUCUUAAAAUAAAUACAAACAUCACUUCAUUAACAUAUUGAUAACAACAAUAAGUACAUAACAAACACACAUCAACCCAGAACAAAAUAACUUCUUAAAUAAUUAAAAUUUUUAAUUCAACUAAUCAUCAUUAUAUAUAUCAGGUUUUGUAUCCUCUUGGACAUCAGAUUUGAUAAGAUCAUCUAUAAACUCAUUAACUACUCAAAAGACGUCACCAAUUAAUUGAUUUUUUUUAAUUUUUAAGAUACAAUUUAACUCAUCACCAAUGACAGCUAACCAAUAUCUCUCGCUUCCGUCUCACUAUAAGAAGGAUAAGCAUUGCUUUUUCUUCUACUCAGCAAUAUUUGUUGCAAAUGGCUACCAAAACCCUGUUUAUAGCACUGCUUGCACUAACGUGCUUCGUUGCACUUGCAUCUGGUCACAGAGGCGGUAGUGCUCAGAAAUCACCAGAUAAUUAUAAACCAGAUAGUGAAGAUGUAUCUUUAAAACCAACCAAAGCAAUCGAAACUGAUGAUAGAGGCAAUGCUGCAAUAUCUAAUGAUCAUAGAGAUGGUGCUGUUCCAAAUCAAUCCCAUCAUACACACAGUUCGCAUCAAAAUUUUCAUCAGGCAGCUGAUUCCAACACCAAUCAAAAGGAAGGUACUACUGCAAUAAUUUCAUUUAUUUCUUCCCUUAUCAAUGGAUGAGUAUAUAUACAUAUAUAUAUAUUAUAUAUAUUAUAUAUACAUAUAUAUUUAUAUAUAUAUAUAUUAAUAUUGGUUUAUGGUUUUGUGCUGUUAGGCUAGCCAAUUGAUGAGUGUAUUGUUCAAAUCCUAGCAGUAUUACCAGUGAUCAUCUCGCCAAGGCUGCCAAGGAUUUGAGUUAUCUGCUACAAGCAAACUUCAAUAAGGGUCUUUAUUUGUUUGUUCUAAAAUGUCAAAUUUCCAUUGAACGUGUGUUCUUGUGUGUGUUGUGUGAAUUAGUUCAAGCUGUGUUAGGAAUGUCUUGAAUUGUGAUUUAAUUAAGAUUGUUUAAUUCUAAUUAAAUUAGUAUACCUUAUAAAAUAGUCUUUAAAUCUAGUUAGACUAGAAUAACAAUUCAUAAUUCUAUUAGGAUAAGAUUCCUAAUUAUAUUAAGAUAAGGUUAUUGUAUUUGGCACUAUAAAAGGACCAUAUGGGUUAAAGAAUAAUCAUCACCUAGAUUUAGAGAGAGUGAUUUAGGUGUACGUGGGAUAAGGGUUAUGAGUUUGAGACUGUUCUUGUAAUCUGCUGAUUUUUCUCUUAGUGGAUUUUUCUCUAUUACUGUGCCCGUGGACGUAGGUCAUCAAAAGACCGAACCACGUAAAUUCUUGUGUUCUUGUGGGUGUGCUUGAUUUCUUUCUUUCUUUAUUCUAUUGAUUGGGUUAGAUCUUGGGCAAUUCUUUAGAGACAAUUUCGUAAUUUCCCAAUAAACUGGUAUCAGAGCUUCAAGGUCUUUGGUCAAUCUGAAUCUCGCUAUGGCAACUUCGUCGACCAAGUAUGAGAUUGAAAAGUUUAAUGGAAGAAACGAUUUCAGCCUGUGGCGUGUUAAGAUGCGCGCAUUGCUAGUGCAACAAGGACUAUUGAAGGCACUGAAGGGAAAAGAGUAUCUUCCUUCGAAUUUAUCUGAUGGUGAGAAAGAUGACCUUAUGGAGAAAGCACAUAGUGCUAUUCUCUUAGCUUUGUCUGAUGAAGUGCUAAGAGAAGUCACGGAUGAAAAAUCUGCUGCUGCAGUGUGGCUUAAACUCGAAAGUAUUUAUAUGACCAAAUCUCUGACGAAUCGGCUUUAUAUGAAGUAACGAUUGUAUACUCUUAAGAUGAGUGAAGGUACGUCCGUUAAUACCCACAUUGAUGAAUUUAAUAAAGUUAUUCUUAAUUUAAAGAAUAUCGAUGUUAAAAUUGAGGAUGAAGACUUAGCCCUAAUUCUUUUAUGUUCUUUGCCUCCAUCGUAUGAAAAUUUCGUGGAUACUAUAUUAUAUGGCCGAGACACUCUCACUUUCGAGGAUGUAAGAGCAUCUUUAAAUUCCAAGAAAUUGAAGAAGAAAGUUGGUGGUAUCCAGAAUGAAAAUCAAGCAGAAGGUUUGGUUGUGAAUAGAGGAAAAGAUAGAGAGAAGGGUAUAGACAGAAAAGGUAAAUCUAGAGUAAAAGGGAAAACUUGCUGGAAUUGUGGUCAGAAAGGGUAUUUUCGUCAAGACUGUACCAAAUUCAAGGAUGAUGAAAAGUUCAAUAAGUCUGAGAAUACUGCAAACAUGGUUGGAGAUGACUUUAAUACUUUUGAGGAAACUGAUAAUGUUCUUGCAAUUACUAAUUGUAACCUGAUGGAUACAUGGAUCUUGAAUUCGACUUGUUGCUUUCAUAUAUGUCCUAGGUGUGAUUGGUUUACAACUUAUCAAUCUGUUAAUAUGGGCACUGUACAAUUAGGAGAUGAUUUCUCUCUCUCAGUUGUUGGGAUUGGCACAAUUCGAAUCAGAAUGUUUGAUGGUAUGGUAAGAACACUUGAGGUAAAACAUGUCCCUGACAUGAAAAAGAAUUCAAUAUCCUUAAGUUUGUUAGAUAAGAAGGGCUACAAAUAUAGUGGCCAAGAUGGUGUCUUGAAUGUAUCUAAAGGAGCCUUAACUAUCAUGAAGGGCAAGUUAUCCAGUGACCUUUAUUGUCUAGUGGGAAACACGAUCAUUGAAACUGUUUCUGUGGUCUCAUCUAAUGAUCCUGAAGAUGAUGUAACACGUUUAUGGAAUAUGAGAUUUGGUCAUAUGAGCGAGAGAGGGAUUAGAAAACUAAGUAAGCAUAGUUUGCUGUGUGGUCAAAAGAGUGGAAAGCUAGAUUUCUGUGAGCAACAUAGAGUGAAAUUUAGCACUAAAACUCAUCAAACCAGGAGUACAGUAAACUACAUCUAUUUAGAUUUGUGGGAUCCUUCUCCGGUGGCAUCAAAAGGUGGAUCAUUAUACAUGUGGAUCUUUAUUGAUGAUUUUUCAAGAAAGGUGUGGACGUAUCUUCUAAAGGCUAUGAGUGAAGUGUUAACCACCUUUUUGCAUUGGAAGGUAUUGAUCAAGAAGUAGACUAAGAAAAGGAUUGAGAGCUUUCGAACAAACAAAGGUUUGGAAUUUUGCAAAGGUGAGUUUGGUUUAUUCUACAAUAAUGAAAAAUUCAUUAAACAUUGCACUGUCGUCAAAACACCACAUCAAAACGGUAUUGUAGAAUAGAUGAAGAAAACACUUCUGGAGAGAGCAAAAUACGUGUUCUCUAAUGUUGGCCUAACCAAAAUAUUCUGGACAAAAGCUAUCAACAAGGCUUGCUACUUGGUAAAUCGGUCUCCAUCAACUGCAAUUGAAUAUAAGACUCCCAAGGAAGGUUGGUCUGGUAAGCCCGCUGAUUACUCUAUAUUGAGAGUGUUUGGUUAUCUUGUUCAUGUUCAUGUGAGUGAUGGUAAACUUGAGUUGAGGGCGACGAAGUGUAUAUUCGUAGGCUAUGCAUAUGGGGUCAAGGGUUAUCGGUUGUGGUUUACUGAUUGUAAGUUCCCCAAGUUUAUGGUGAGUCGGGAUGUUACAUUUGACAAGUCUGCAUUACUUUGUGGGAUAAAGUCUAGAAUUGCAAACACAUCAGACCAAGAAGUUGGCAAGCAGGUGGAGUUUGAAAUCAAUGCUCUUGUGACAAUGCGGGAUGAUAGUGAAAUCCAGAAUGAAUUACAAGAGGUACAAGAAUUGGUAUCUCAACAAAGCAUUACUUGUAUUGAUGGUGAUUCUGAUUCUUAUGUUUUAUUUGUGGAAGUAGAGAUUGAUGAGCCUUACUUUUAUCAUGAGAAAAUUAUAUAUGUCGAGUCUUCUAAGAAGAUUGAGUCUCUACACUGGGAUCAAACAUGGGAGCUUGUGAAAACACCUAAAGUUACUAUUGAAGUUGGCUUAGUAUAUGAAGGAGGUGCAAACACUAGUUGUAAUGUGGUUGGCUUCUCCGAUUCAGAUUUUGCUGGUGAUCUAGAUAGUAGAAGAUCUCAAACGGGGUAUGUGUUCACUCUCUCAGGAUCUGCAAUCAGUUGGAAAGCAGUUCUUCAAUCAACCGUUGCUUUGUCUACAACUGAAGCUGAAUAUAUGGCUGUGACCGAGGCAGUGAAGGAGGCUUUGUGGCUUAAAGGCUUGGUUAGUGAUCUUGGUUUUGAACAAGCACAAACAGUUGUGUUUUGUGAUAGUCAAAGUGCUAUACAUUUGACUAAAAAUUAGAUGUUUCAUGAGAGAAUCAAACACAUCCAAGUCAAGUGUAACUUCGUUCGAGAGAUUAUUUCUAAAGGUGACAUUGUAGUAAAGAAAAUAGCUACAGAUGAAAAUCCGACAGAUAUGCUAAUUAAGUCAGUUUCUGAGAUAAAGUUCAAGCAUUGCUUGGACUUGAUCGGUGUUCAUAGUGCUUGAGGCCCUUUGGGGCAUUGGCGGUGUCAACAGAGAUUGGUUUGUAAGGUGGAGCUUGGUGAAUUCAAGCCUAAGGUGGAGAUUUGUUAGGAUAGUCUUGAAUUGUGAUUUAAUUAGGAUUGUUUAAUUCUAAUUAAAUUAGUAUACCUUAUAAAAUAGUCUUUAAAUCUAGUUAGACUAGAAUAACAAUUCCUAAUUCUAUUAGGAUAAGAUUCCUAAUUAUAUUAAGAUAAGGUUAUUGUAUUUGGCACUAUAAAAGGACCCUAUGGGUUAAAGAAUAAUCAUCACCUAGAUUUAGAGAGAGUGAUUUAGGUGUACGUGGGAUAAGGGUUAUGAGUUUGAGACUGUUCUUGUAAUCUGCUGAUUUUUCUCUUAGUGGAUUUUUCUCUAUUACUGUGCCCGUGGACGUAGGUCAUCAAAAGACCGAACCACGUAAAUUCUUGUGUUCUUGUGAGUGUGCUUGAUUUCUUUCUUUCUUUAUUUUAUUGAUUGGGUUAGAUUUUGGGCAAUUCUUUAGAGACAAUUCCGUAAUUUCUCAACAAGCUGAAAUGUAUUUGGAAUGGGUUUUGUGUUAUUGUAUUUGAACAAAAGAACGUAUUUAUUUUCUUAUUUUUGGCGUAUUAUUUAUAAUAUUUAUAACCCUUUUUUUUUCCUCAGCCAAACCUGGUAAAUUGAUUAGAAAUAUAGGAAUGAAAACAAGAAAGUUUCCCCUGAAGAUAGGGAGGAACAAAAGAGCCAAAAAAACCUGUGGCAAAACUGGUGAAAUGUCUGAGAACAGCAACUGAUACAGAGCAACGGAAAAACAAAACAGCCAUGCAAAAAGGACAAAACCACGAAUCAAAACAGCAGGAACAAAGGCAAAAGAAAGAAACAAAGCUGAGCAAAAAAAAAAUGGUCAUCCACAGCAAUAUCAGGGGCCAGCUUGAGAAAAUAAUCAAAGCCGCAACACCAUGAGAAUGCCAAACCAAAGCUGAAGCGGAGAAGAAAGAAACUUCGAAGAUCCCGAGCAAACACCAGCAUGAUGGCCAAUCCAGAAAAAAUCAUAAGCAAAAAGCGUCAUUGAGUCACCACAAAGCAAUGAACAUGGAUGAUUUAUCAACACCUACUUUGGCUAAAUAAUCAGCAAACGAAUUUCCUUUUGCGCAAAAUAUAACUGCAAGAUACAUUACCCAAUUGAUGACAUAACGUGUCAAUCUCAUUGAAAAUUUGCCAAUGAUUCCAAGGUCAAUAAGAGUCGCCAGUCACUCAAGAAAUAGCAAUUUUUGAGUCAAACUCGAUUGAUAACUGAGAAUCAUGACAAGGUGAGGAGGAAAACAAGUCUUGGAGCAUGCAGAAUUACCAUGAGCUACGUAAAGUUCAGAAUUCCUUAGAAUGUCCCCACAGCCUGCUAGUCCAGGCUUACCUUUAGCAGAGCCAUCCACAUUAAAUUUAAGUUCCCCUGUUGCUGGUGGUUGCCAUGAAAUCUGAGGAUGAUGAAUAUGGGAAGACCUUGAUAAGAAGAGAUAAGGGGAGCCAUCCACCCGCCAUUUUCAUCAAUGCAAUCAUUAUCGUCACAAGCCUGAAUCCAUAAAAAGGAACGGGAUCUAAUCAGGAAAAGGAUCUCAUGUUCAUUCCAUGUCUUGUUGGAGAAGACUGUCCCAUUUCGGGCCAGCCAAAAAGACCAGAAAGUAGCAGCGCACACCAUUAUCCACCUUGAAUGAAAAUUGAGAUUGAAUUAGGAAUGGACCAUAAAAAACUCACCAUUGAAGGACGAGACCCAAACUUUCCAACUAGAGCUGCACGCGAUCAGGAUAUGUGAGCAGUCUCGCUCCCAAAACCACACCAAAAACAAUGAAGUUGGCCAUCACUCAAAGGCAUACCACGGGAAGCAAGAAAAUGCUUGGUAGGAAUUGAAUCAAGGUUGGCCAGCCAUAAGAAGCAUUGAAUUUUCAGAGGAAUUGCUAACUUCCAUAAAGAGUGAAACCAAACUCUUUGAUCAUGAGAAAUGGAGUCAAUUCAAACUCUUUGCUCCAACGCAUUCUGUUCACUCAUUGCAGCACGUCCUUUCUCCUUACCAAAACAACCUUUUACAGUAUGCAACAUUUGUAUGGAUUUUAAUAUUUACCAUGGAUUCUGACCUUUCUUAAAUCCUUUCACAGAAGAAGAAAUCAAAAGCAACCCACAAAAACAACAAGGUACUAUCAAAUUUUAUAGAAUAUAAAUUUGAUUUAAAAUUUAGAUUAUCAUAUCUUCCCACUUUAAGAAAUUCAAUCAAAUUCGAUCGUUGUGGUAUCUAAACAAGUUCACUUUCGAGUUCCCAAGUGGUCUCUUCGAUUGAAUGAUAUUGCUAAAAAUUUUUGCAUGGGAUAUUCUUUUAGAAUUUCACUUUCAAGUUCACUUUUGACACCUCAUGAGCAGGUGUCUUUCUUUAAGUUGUUUACCACAGUGUCUGAAUAAGCACCCAAAUCCUAUUAAAUACAUUCAAAGCAGUUCAAUUAGAUUAAAACAAGAGAAAAAACAUUCUCCCUUGUGCUGAGAAAUGUAGCAAACCAGAGAUGUUUUUGUUGUUUUGGACUUGAUUUUAAAACUCAAAUGCUAAAACUAAAUUCUCGAAGAUGUUUUCUAAAUCCUUGUUUAUAACAGUUUGUACUUAAUUAGAGUUAACUCCUUAAGUUAUGUUAAUUACAGCUUUUGUUCUGCUGUAAUUAUGCCUGCAAUGUUUUCUUCCAAUCUUUCUUUCAGCCAAUUGAUGGGGGAAAACAGAGAAAGAAAAGCUAUACUGACUAACUGAUAAAAUUUUGCAAGAUGAAUCAAGCUGGUCUGCAGAAGUGCAAAUACAUUGGUGCAUGUGUGUAGCUAGAAGCCUAGAACAAAACUAUGCAAUUAAAGUUUUGUCCCAAAUCAAAGACCAGAAAACAUAAGGAAAAGAAUUAGAUGGGAUAAUUGGUUAAUACUAUUCUGUCAAAACAUUUGUAGGAGGAACCUCAUUCCUCCAGAGAAGGUGAAGAAGAUGAUGUGGAGGAGCUACAGAUUCCACAUGUCACCCACGGUUACCAUUUAGUGAAAGGAAAAAUGGGUCAUGGAAUGAAUCAAGGGCCAUGACCUCCAACUUUAUGCAAUUUUUGAUGGCCACUUAGGUCAUGAUGUUGCAGAGUACUUGCGGACUCACCUCUUUGACAAGAUAUUGAGAGAGGUAUGAACUUGGUACUUUCUGUUUCGAUUGAACAGAUUUUCCUGUCUAGGAAAAUUUUCAUGUUCUCUUCCAAAUUCUAACAGCCUGACUACUGGAGAACCCCGAAACGAGCAAUCAAAAGAGCUUACAAGCAACAAAUGAUGAGAUUUUGGAGGAUGUUGCUCGUUCUCGAGGUGGCUCAACUGCUGUUACAGCAAUACUAAUUGAUAGACAAAAGCGAAUUGUGGCUAAUGUUGGUGAUUCUCGAGCAAUCUUAUGCCGAGGUGGUGCACUGAAACAAUUAACAACAAUCAUGAGCCACAGAAGGAGAAAGAAUUAGUUGAAAGCAGAGAUGGAUUCGUGUCCGAAAUGCCAGGUAAUGUAGGUUUGAUCUAAUUUACUCUUCUUCUUGCUCCUUGCCCUCUCUUGUUGUAAGAUAAUACAGUACUAAUCUACAUAUUGGAAUAACACUGGAUAUGAUCUAUAUUGGAGUAGGGAUUGUUCCUCGGGUGGAUGGGCAGCUGGCGAUGACAAGGGCCUUUGGAGAUGGUAAACUGAAGGAACAUAUCACUUCAGAACCAGAUGUAAGGGUUGAAAUGAUUGAUCCAAAUGCAGAUGAAUUCUUCAUUGUAGCAAGUGAUGGCCUUUGGAAGGUAAAAUUGUAGCCUUACCUUGUGAGUAAAUCUUUAAAACAAAACAAUUCUGUCAUGAAGAUUUAUCAUCAAGUUUGGCUAAUGCAUGCAGGUAAUGUCAAAUGAAGAGGCUUUUGAUCACAUUAGAGAGUUUGACGAUGCCCAAGAAACGUCAGAGGAAUUAAUCAGAGAAGCUUUAGCUAGGGGAUCCAACUCUGACUUGGAAGUUGAAAGCGAUUCCCUUAACGCCAUUCUCUGGACGAGACACCAUAGCAAAGUCCCUUGGCGUAUGAAACUAAUCUCCAAUGCCAUUGAAACUCUUUCUAAAUCAUUCAGGAAAGUCACCUUUAAUCAUAUCAGCCGGGAGAUAAACUUAAUAGCUGAUGGUCUUGCUAAAGCCGGGGUUUUGAGAGCUGUUAACUUCAGUACCUUCCUUCAGCCGCCAGGAAUGGAUCCUUCCUCUGAAGCUUAGCAAGGGUUUGUUAGUUAUUGAAUUUAUCAAUUGGACUUUCCCUGUCAUGUCGGACACUUCUAAAAUGCACUAAUGCUUCACUUUCCCUGUUCAGACUAUUUCUGAUGCUUGCCAACCCUCGUAUGUGAGGAUGCUUUUGUUCUUUUGAAAGCUGUUUAGCUUGUUAUCUCUUUAAGAGACCUCAUCAAUAAAUUUGCCUUUCGAAAAAAAAAAAGAUGAUAUCUAUUGUAUAGUUGUAGCUUUUCAUUAAUUACUUAUGUUUCAUACGUUGGAGGUUUUGUGCGCGCGCACACACGAUGUUUGGUUUAUGCAAAGUAGUAGUGUUCACUAUCUCUAACAGGAAGUGAAAUGGUGAAUCCUAAAAUUGCAUUUGAGAUUUGGCUUUUGUACAUUUCAUUGCGUUAUUAGGGUGAAUGGAUUGUCCUUAGUGAGCAGAUCUAUAAGGAAUAGAUCAGAAGAACUUUAGUCAAGUACAUUUCCUAUAUAUAAACAAGACAUCUAUGAUCAAGUGUAAUUGAGAAGGCAAUAAAAUUCUCCUGAACUGAAAGCUUCAACCAUGUAGGGUAUACUUGUUUCAGUUACAAUGAUUCUUUACAAUGUACAAUGAAUAGAAAAUGGUGAUAUACAACAAUGGUGGGUGUGGCAGUAAAGCUGGACUCAGAAAGACAGUUCAAAGAGAAUAAAUCAAACUAACACCAUGAAACUAAAGCUAUUAACAGUCUGGUCUUCAUGAACUGGUUAUGUCCCGGAAAACUGGCAGCCGAUUUCUCCUUGAUGAAACAGUGUUUGCUGAUGCAUUGUCCUCACCUUUCAUAUCAAAUGAUUCAAGUUGUUGAGUGAUAUUCCCAAUAUGAUCCUUACAAUCAGGGCGUGGAUAAAUUAUGUUGGAAUUCAGGUUUUCAUCAUUGAACACCUCUUCCCUGUUGAAGCCAUCAUAGCUGUUGAGUAAUUCUUCUUUCUCUUCUUCUUCAACCAUGUCUGCCCAGCUUUUCUUAUUUGGUGCAUUUGCAGGCCUUUCCAGUCCAAUUUCUGAUUCAUCUUUAGAUGAAAACAAUGGCUCUCCAUUAAGACCAUGCGCUGAAUGAGGAGUCACACCAGUUAUAUUCUUCUCAAAUGAUAGCUUGCGAAAUGGACAGCCAACAGAUUCUUCUGCCCAUCUUUCCAUUCUUUGAUCUCUAUUAUUUAGCCACAACAAAGAGUUUCUGGGCUGUGUGAAUAGAACUCCAGAUAAGCCCUCCUGAACUUCCUCUUCCACUGGGCCAGUUGCAGAGUUCUCAGACUUCCCAUUAUUUGAAGCUGGUGGUUUUUCGUUAAGAUUCUGGAUUGAAUGUAAUGGCUCACUUUCACUGGUUAGAGAUUGCUCAAAGGAGAGUUUUCGAAUUGAAUUUCGAACUGUAUCUUCUCCCCAUCUUCCUCCUCUCUUCUGAUCUGCAUUAUUGAAGCCCUGUGAACAUCGUCUUGGUUGGGUAAAUAAAGCUUCUGAGUUCUUUUUACUAGCUGCUGAGGAAGCAUAUAUUUUCUUUUGUGCAGAACCUACUUCUUCUCCUGUUGAAUACCCUUCACACGGGCUUUCCCAAUAUGAACCUAUUCUCCACUUCUCAGUGAACAUGCUUUGUGGAGAAGACUGCAAAUAACCUUUCUGUCCAAUUGGUGUGCAUUUUGAACUUCUGUCAUCAUAUCCAGGGAAGUUAUCAUUCUUCUCAAGUGGAUUUCUGCGGUAAGAUUCACCAUUUUGCUCAUCUAUUAGCAUCUUCCCCUCCCAAUGUGCAUAUGGCAACCUUCUCCUGCCCAUAAAACCUGAAAUGUUGUCCUCAUUUCUAGGAAGGAAAAUGCCGGCUUCUUUCAAACCUCUAUCCCUGCAUGGUGUCGAGGGUCUUUGAAUUUCCCUUCCCUUAUCUGGUUCCUUUGCCACUGGCUCUAACAUUGAUUGUGAUUCUACUUGGAUCAGCAUAUCAAGAGCACGUUCAUAAGAUUUAGAGUGGGAUUCAUCCAUCUGUUCAUUUCCUGAUGAAGCUUUCACAUCCUGAAGCAGUGAUUUUGCUUCACUGAUCCUGUUCAUGUGCAUCAAGCAUAUUGCCAGGUUGCAUUGCUUGUUCAUAUCUGGCUCCAGAGACAAUGCUUUUCUGUAAUGAAUUAAAUUCAAUGUAAAAUAUAUAUACGCUCAUUUCUCUCAAAAAAAUGUGGUGCAUGUAUAUAAUUUUAGGGAAAAUAAAAAGAGCAUACCUGUAAUGUUGCUCAGCAAUUCCAUAAUUAUGUUGCUGGAGAUAGGCCCAGGCCAAAUUCCCUAGUAUCCUGAACCAUUAUAGGAGGGGACCAAAGAUAGAUGAAUAUGCAGAAAAAAUAAGUAGAAAGAAUAAGAAAAAUAAAGAGUAUGAGUACAGCAUCCACCUUGAUUUCUCUUGUUCAAUAGUAAUCUGAAUCUUCUUCCCUUGAGAUCUCGCAAUCUUUGUCCUCUUCCCGCCAAAAACUGUCCCUUCCUCAAUGUUCCUCAGUUUGUUCUGAAGCAUUUCAAUCUCUUCUUCAACCCUUCCGGACCUCUGCAAAAACAAACAAUUGCAUAAAACAAAUAUGCCCUGAGUCUCCAUACCAUAAGAAGACUAUAAACAGAAGGGCAUAUUAUCAUCGAGUACAACUGACGCCAGUAGUUUGAGAUAACAAAUUUGUGACAUUUACAUCAAAACAGAAUGAAUUGAAACAAAAGGACAUGACCUUAUGAGCUCCUAAGCUUCAUCUCAACUCAAUUUAAUACUAAUGAAACUAAGCUUGAUAGAAACAGAUACACAUUUGAAGAUAAGAUGAUGCAAAAUACAGAUUGCCAUUGUACCUUGUAGAGUUCAACAAGGACAUUAUCAAGAGACUCUUGAGAAUCAUGAGGACAAAGAUGACGGAAAGAUUUGAUCGCCUCAAUAGCCUCAUCAGAUCUAUUAAGUUGUUUCAUCACAACAGCCAUGUCUUUCAAUGCACUGUCAACCCGAUCUCCAGCAUUAAUAGCUGCCCAGAACAGGGAAAUGGCUUUACUGGGAUCCUUGUCUAUCAACUGCGGGGUCCAGAAUAAAAUAUUAGUAUACACAAACAAAACACUAAAUGGAAACAUAACAAAUCCAAAUGUGAGCUAAGCUCACCAUUGAACUCUAAAGACUAAACUAGUAAAAUUGUAACCCUUGAUAGUAAAGAUACCUUCAGCAACCAUUCUAUUAUAAAGCAUUCACCCAAAAUCAUUCUACUAAAUGGGAAAGCAUAAUUAAUGCUAUAAAAGCUGAAGAAAAGACAAUCACAUGAAUCCCCAAAAGUUCUGUUUUGUUGCAAAAUAAUAUAAGUUGACAAGCAAUUCAUAUUCCUGGUAACCCAAUAUAAGGCCAUUAGGGCAAAGAAACAACAAAAAACGAAUCUUUGAUACCAAUUACCAAGAAAUAAUAAGAAUGCAUGUAUCAAAAACCCCCAAAAGAAAAAUCAAGAAAUUAACCAAGGAAACAGUAAAAAAGGAGAAUGUUUCUAAAGAAAGAAGACCAAAGGAAUGGGGAAACCAAAAAGGAAGAAAACCCGGAAACAAACCAUUAAUAGUUAGUUUGGCACAUAAAGCAGAUGAGCUGACAUUGAGAAAUUAAUGGUAUAAUUAACCUGGACGUGCUUUGCCCUGCCAUAAGGAGAAUCAGAAGCUGGAACUUUGUGAAUGACAUGAAAAGAAUCGGCCUGAUCGGCAGGCGAGAUUCUUUUCCUCUCUGACAUUGGCAAAACAGACGACUGUGUUUUCUUCCAUGCAGGCGGCUGCGGGGUGAAGAAACCCCUCGAUCUCGAUGGAAGGUUCUUUUCGUUUGACCACAUUACCUCCGAUCUCCUUUUCUCAGAAAAAUCUCGAUACCCUUUUCCAGAAUUUCCAAGAAAGUGCUUCUAUCAAUGGAAAAAAGAAGCACCUUCUAGCGAUAUACUCUACUCUACUCUUGGUCUCUUACUCUAAACAAAGCAAACCAGUCUUUAGAACAGACCACUUUAGCUCUUGAAAAUUUCUCUUGAUACUUGAUAAAGAAGGAAGAUUCCCGGAAACAGUAAGAAACUGAGAGAUAAUUGAAAGAUAAAAAAAGAGCGAUGAUGAUGGUGAUGGUGAUGAUGAUGAUGAUUCCUUUUGAGAAAAUGUGAAGGAGAAAGUAGCGAAGAGAAACUGGAAAAAAAUGGAAGAAAAGAAAAGAACUAGCCGUUUUAUAAUUACUAGCCGUUGGGGUUUUGGAGGACCCACGCGCUUCCUUGCGGGUGCCAUGCUAAAUAUUCAUUUCCCUUUCUAAUAUAUUUUUAACAAAAAGAAAGAUCUAAAUUGUAAGAUACAUUUGCACACCAAUAAUAUUAUGUGUGAUGAAUUAAUUACAAUUAAUUCAUAAAUUAAUUAAAAUUUUUAAAUUUUAAUCAAACCACUACUUAUAAAAUUAAAAAUAAAUCAACUUUUGAAUGAAUAUAAAAAAUAUUCAUGAAAAUCAUUUUCUUAAAUUCUCCAAUUAAGAAAGCCAGAAAAAACUUAAUAUCUUCAAUCUAAAUCUUUUUUUUUAUUUAGUGCUUCAACCAAACUUUGUCUAUAUCUUUUGAGAGGUUUUAGAAUAUAUAUUUUUAAUUUAAUAACAAAAUAUUUUAGAUUUACUAUUAAUUAUUUUAUUUUAUAUUAAUGUAGUAUACAAUAAAAAGAGUAAAAUAUCUAAAUUCACCCAAAUAUAUUUAUUAUUAAAAUAUCUUUUUAAAGAAAAAAUAACAAAUCAGUAAUAUUGUGUAUCACAAAUCUAAUGGUUUGAUAGAUUUUUUUCCAAAUAUGACUUUUUAAUAUCAUGUUAACAUGUAUUUCUCAAGACAAUGCCUUAAUUUUAUUAAGUGAUGUUAUAAGAUUUCAUUUUUACGCGCGUUAUUUAUUAUUUUUAUUUUUUUUAUAAAUAUAUAUAUAUACUUAUUUUACUAUAAUUAUUCUCCUAAAAUAAUUUUCUUUUUUAUUAUAAUUAAAAAAAACUCUUAAUUAUAUUUCUCAUAUUUUUCACAUCAAAUCAAUUAUUUGAUUAAUUUAUGAAGUAUUUUUUUAACAACUCUCUUAUUAUUAUUAUUAUUAUUUUCACUGGCCCCAAUAUAAAAUUUUGGGCUUCCUUACUCUAUAGAAUGAAAUUAAAUGAGUAGAAGGUAAAGAAAUUAAAAAACUAAAAAUACUUUUUUAGAUAAAUUUAGUUUUAUGAAUAAUAUACAUAUAAUUAACAUGUAAAAUAAUAUAAAAAAUUGUAAACUUGAAUGUUAAUAUAAAAAAAUUAAAAAAAAAAAGAGAAAUAUAUUUGAAAUAAAAAAAGUACAAAUAUUAUGUAUUAGAAAAAGAAAAAAAUAAAAUUAUUUUUAACUGAACUUUUCGUACGUUUCCAAUAAGAUCCUGCCUUCCCUUCUACAUAAUCCCUCCCUUCUCCCCCUCCGCUAAGUAACCCACACAGGACGCUUAAACUCUCUCCCUCCACUGAUAGAAAGGAAGCCCCAAAGCCAACAGAGAUUCUCUUUAUACGUAUACAGACUCCAUUAUACGUAUACGUAUACGCCAUUUCUGCUUCGGAGGUACCAUCUCUACUCCCUUUGAUCUUCACUUCAAUAAUUUUUUGGGUGUCUCGUUUGCUUUUAUAUUUCCUUCAAAUUUCACUGUUAUUUUUUCUGUAAUUUGUACCCAAAGUGGUUUGUUAAAGCACUAACGCAUGCAUUGCUUUUUCUACGAUUUUAUCCCUUUGCUUUUUCUUCAAGUUGAGGGGCAUAAAAGAAUAUGCAAAUUUUUAGCCUUAUCUUUUCUGCUGAAAUUUUCCCUCUUUGUGUUAAAAGUUUCAAUUUAAGAGGCUUUAAAUUUUCAUUUUUAUUAGUACGUAGGAAUGUAAGUUUUGAUUUUUUUUCUUUUUUUUACUAAUUAUGUUAUAUUUAUUUAUGUAUUGUGGCCUCGAGUUGUUAUAUAGACGUUUUAUUGGCUGAAUAAAAAUUGGGUUCUGGUUUUAUUUAUUUUUUAUGUUAGUUGUUUUAUGUACUUUUCAUUGUCAUGUCAUUUUUGCUUUUGGGUAUGCUUUUUUUUUUUUUUUUGGUACAGAAUUUCGGGUAUGGUUCAUUUAACUUUUGCCUUAAAGGUUGAGUUUUUUUUUUUUUAAAUGAAAUAAUUGAAGUGAAAGUUUUCUAAGGUUUCUAUAUGAAUCUUCUGAAUUCAAGCAAAAUAUGAAAACAUUAAUUUGCAGUUACUUUGUUGUGACUGUGGUGUGUCAAUUUCCUGUAUCCCUUGUUUAGUUUUUUGCUUGGUCAGAUUGUGCCAUCAGUGAAUUGUAACUCUGAUUGAGUUCUUCUUGGCAUUUUAUUUGCAUAACUGAUAAAUUAGCAUUUUGCUGAACCUUUUCUUUUUCCCAGUUUAUUUAAUCAAACACCUGGAGGUCACAUGGAAACUGGAGGAUCAUUGGCACACACAAUAAGAAAGCCAACUCUUACACCUAAGGCUAUUAUACAUCAGAAGUUUGGCAGCAAGGCUUCUUAUAAGGUAGAGGAAGUAGAGGAGCCUACUCAAAAUGGAUGCCCAGGAUUGGCAAUCCUUCAGAAGGGUCCCUGUCUUUAUCGCUGCAGCUUGGAGCUUCCAGAUUUUUCUGUUGUGUCUGGGUCCUUUAAGAAGAAGAAAGAUGCUGAGCAGUCUGCUGCUCAGAUGGCAUUGGAAAAGGUUGGCAUCCCCUUGCUCACCAUACUGAUUUUCCUAUGAUUUUAGUUUGAUUGAUGUGCCAAUAGCUAUAGUCAUCGCCUCAUUGUGAGUUUCAGCAAUAGGUUGUGGGAUAUAUAGUGAAACUCAAGAAAAAUAUACAUGGCUGCUCCUUUGCAUAAGUUGAAUUGGUUUUCUAUAAUAUGUUGCUAGGAUUGCCUGUGUUAAAAUUUGCUUCAUUUUAGCAAGGUUGGUGGCUUGGAAGCUAUGAGUUUAAAGUAGGCUUUUCAUGAUGAAGAAUUUGGUGAUGUCUGUUGAAUCAAAAUAAGAUACAACGAUUGUCAAGGAAUUUGAUCUCUACAUAGAAGUUUUUUCUAAACAGUCUUUCAGAAGAGUCAGCUCAUGAAGCUUGCUGCUGUUGCAGCUUCACCACUAACAUGCUGAUCAUUACUGCUAUUGCUACCAUCACCUUCACCAUCAUCCACAUUGUCAUCAGAAAUCCGCUGCCAAUUUAUAAAUUAUUGUUACCCCCCCCCUCCUUCUCACUAUAAUUUGACUGAUUUAAACAUACCAUUUAAACUAAUGACCUGAUUCUAACUAACGGGGUUUUGAAUCUCAUAAUGUCAAUUUUCUGAUAUUUACAAUUUCUUCCAGAUGUACUUUGAAAGAAAUGCAAUUGAUGCACCUUAUAUGUUAGACAUACAACUUCUAGUUAUUUUCUAUCUGAACUUUGUGUUGCAAAGAUAUCAAACUAGGGUACUGUCAUUGUCAAUUUGUAACCAUGUAAUUGAUUGUUAAGAAUGCAAUAUCUUGUUGAUUUUUUCUGUAUAUGUACAAUCAGGUCAUGUUUCCUUGUUUGUGUCUAUUAAACCUGGAUGCUCACCUGCCCAACUUUGCCUUUGAAUUCUUUGUCUGUUAGAGGUUGCUAUCUUAUUGCCAUCCUGUUAAGCUUGGGCUUAUUGUCCGCUUUCUUUGAACCAGUGAUGAUAAUGCAGCAGCAAUUUCUUCAUCCUCAUCUUAUUUCCCUGUCUUUUUCAAAAAAAAAAAAAAAGUAUUUCAAAAAUUAUGCCUCGUAAUACAAAUUUUUGUUGUUACUCAACUUUGAAUUUGAAUUGUGGAAAGUUGGAGCCAAAUUUUAUGUAAGGAACAUUCUGACAUGUUUGAGUAUCUCGAUUUCUUAGAAUCCUUGUAUCAACUCCUAUAGCUAAUAAUUAGUACUAUUCAUCAUGCAUAUUGGGAUAGAUCUUGUUCCUAGAAAAUCAGUUUGUUACUUUGCUUAAUUUGAUUACAGCUCUUCCUGAGAACAUUUUUUGGGUUUAACUUUUGAGUUUUUUUUUUUUUCUAGUUAUAGAAUUAUUAUAAAGUUUGCCUUUUGUCCAGGGAUUGUCAGUGAUUUGUCCAAAUAAAGCUGUCACUUCUUUCUUCUUCUUAGUUUUAUCUGUUUCUAAUUUAAAAUUGCAGCUUGGCAUCCGUCCCUCUGUAGAUAAUCUCACAGCAGAGGAAGCAUGGACAGACUUGAUUGCCCGUGUCAAAUAUAUAUUCUCAAAUGAGGUUGGUGCCCCCUACACAAUAUGUCUGUGUGGCGUGUGUUGACAAUGGCAUGAAUUUGUGCAUUUAUAUCUGCAGAGUAUCUGUGUUUAUGCAUGUGUAUGCUGCGUUGAUUUUUUAUUAAAUUAUAAUCAAGUAAUAACCUUGACAUAUGUAAACAUGGAAUUGUCUGUGGACUGUAAUUCUUGUUUCACUAUAGAUUAAUAAUUAUCUGUUAACAUUGAAGUAUACAAUUUCCUUGUGGAAUAGAAUGAAGAGAGGAUUCUAGAUAACAGUACAAGACAUUUAUCUUAACCCUUGGUCAUGGGGAACAUUGGCAAGCUAACUUUUUCCAACCUGUGUCCAACUUUUACAUGAGCUAGUUUGAAAAGGUUAGUUUCUAUGAUUGCAUUGGCUUCCUGACUCAUCUUUACCAAGGGAGUUCAGUAGAGUAGUGUUUCCCUCCACCUGGCCUUUUCCACUAGUACCUCCUACAAGCACAAAAUAUUUAUUUGUAAUGGCUAUCUCUUCUUGACUCUGCUUUAUCCUUCUAUCAUUUGUCAAGUUCUUUCAUCUCUUUAUAAUUCAUUUAUGUUCAUUUUUUUUAUCUAUUAUAUAUAAUGAGGGCACACUGCUAUUGCUUUAGAAUAAAUCGUUCACAUUCUGAUCUUUUCUCCCUUUAUCUUUGUCAUCAUUGAAUAAGUUCCUUUCAGGUCUUCAUCCUCUGAGCAGUCACUUCAAAGCAGCUUUAUGUAGAGUUGGUGAUCAUGAUGGUUCAAUUCCUGCUUCUGUUAUUGCUAUAUGUGAUGGAAAACUUAAUAAUCUCUGCAAAAUAAUUAACCCUAAAGUGGAGUCUCAUCCCUUCAUGGUCGUAUCAUAUAUUAUGAGAGCUGCUACAGGAUUACCAGAGUUGGUUGUUAAUCCUGAGAGACAGCUUUCAAUUCGGAAGGAAAACCCGUACCCUCCUGAUGUCAUAGAAUCAUCAGUAUCUCAACAAUCUGAAAGCAUAACGACUAUGGCCAUAUAUAUCCCAUGUUCACCUGAAAAGGCUGUUGAACCAGUGAUUCUUAAUAUUUCCCCAAAAGGUUAUUACCUUGACGUUAUUGCACAAAAACUUGGCUUAUCAGAUGCCAACGAAAUUCUGAUCUCAAGGUAUGUUGAAACUGUUAUAUGAUUGAUGAUGCCUGCGAUGGCAAUAUUCUAUGUGUGAAGUAGGCUCCUUAAAGAGUAUCUUAUCUUUUUUUUUUUUGGACAAACAGGAACUAACUAUUAUUUGUUCUUCAACAGGACCAUUGGUAAAGCUUCAUCUGAAACGAGAUUUUACUUUGCUGCUUCAAAGUCAUAUCUGUUAGAAAUGUCAUCUGAUCUUCUAAAUGCUAAAGCUGUUAAGUUUGGAGGACCUUUGAAUGCAAGGGCCAGCUACAUUUGUGGCCAAGAUAUAUAUGGUGAUUCAAUUUUGGCAUCCAUUGGUUACACUUGGAAAGGCCAAGAUCUUUUUCAUGAAGAUGUCACCUUACAAUCAUAUUACAGGUCUGUUCUUCCUUCACAUAUAAAAUUUGUUCUGAUACUAUUUUCAUCUUUUAGAUCCUUUUUCACUUUUGGGGGUUCAAAUUAUUUCACAGUGCUUCUGAAAACUCUGACUGCAAAUGACCUCAGCUGAAAAGAGUGCUAGUGUGUUUUACCUUGGUUUGUUUGAUGGACUUAGAGUUAAAGCUCAACCUUAUCUUUAAAAGUGCUUUGCUGUUAUAACUUGAGAUCAGAUCAACCCAUAGAAAAUUUGCCAAGUUCCAGAUAGGCUUAGGUCUUCUAAUGUAAUCUUUCUAGCUUAGCUGAGAUCAAUACUAACUGACUGCACCAAUCUAAGAAAGAAAGUACCAGCCCCCAGCUUUGUUUAUUAACUGAUUUAAAAAAUUUCCAAACCACGUAUUAGGAAGAUAUGUAAAAUGGAUUUACGAUAUACAUUUCCUCAACAAAACCACUGUUUGGAUGAAACCACUUUAGCAUGCUGGUUCUCUGGAAAAAUUUUCUAAGUAUUUAAUUUCCAUAAAGACAACUAAACAAGGUGACAUGACAAUUACCCUAAAAAGUUGUUCCAUUAACACAGUAAAGCAGGACCAAUGCGUGCUUCAUUGACUGAUGAUUAAAAUAAGGGAUUGAGGGUGUUGUUAGACACAACCUUAAUUUGCCACAAUUUGGUUGCUUAUUCAUUCAGUUGUCUGCCUUUAGUGGUAUUUCUUGUAUGAUUCAUUAACUUUUCAGUGUAUAAUUGUUUUGCACGUGCUUAUGCAGGAUGCUUAUAAGUAAAAUACCAAGUGGAGCUUACAAAUUGUCCAGAGAGGCAAUACUUGCGGCAGAGUUGCCCCUGACAUUUACUACAAAGACCAACUGGAGGGGAUCCUACCCAAGAGAAAUUCUCUGUUCAUUCUGUCGCCAGCACUGGCUAUUAGAACCCGUCUUUUCUACUUCAAGUAUUCCUAAAAAGGCAUCAUUGGAGCUGUCUAGAUUAAACAAGAAACUAAAGGUUUCAGAGUCAGCUGAGCAAGAGGUAGAGUAUGCAAAUGGACAUGACAUUGUUGAUGCUGAUGCUAAAUCAGUGGGAAUGGGAAGCAGUUUUAUUUGUGAAGUCAAAUUAUACUCUAAGUGUCAAGAUUUGAUUUUGGAGUGUGCAUCCAAUGUUUUGUAUAAGAAGCAGAAUGAUGCUGUCCAGAAUGCUUCUUUAAAAGUUUUAUCAUGGUUGAAUGCAUAUUUUAAGGAUAUAGAUAUGCCUUUAGAGAAGCUAAAACAAUUAGCCAAUGUCUUUGAUAUUAAGUUUUAUCCUCAAAAUUUUUCCAAGGAAGUUGUAUCGUGCCUAUCAGUUGAAAAUUUUCAGAAUCAUGAUACUCUGGGAGGCAAAGUACCUGAAUCAAAUGGUAUUAGUAUUCCAAAUGAUGUGGUGGAAGAUGAUGUGAGUUCUAUAGAUAUAGAAGGUCCAGAUUCUGGUGUUUGUCCAUCUUAUGGGUCCCUUUUAUGCGUAUGUUAUUCUGCAUCUUUAGUGACAAAAGGUGAACUUCAAAAAGAGCUUCUUGAAAGUGCUGAGGAGUUUGAGUUUGAGAUGGGGACUGGAGCUGUAAUUCCCUGUCUUGAAGCUGUUGUUACGAAAAUGUCUAUUGGCCAGUCUACCUGUUUCUAUACAGAGUUGCCUUCGCAAGAUUUGGUUUUGGCUGCAGCUAAGGAUUCUGCAAAUGCUCUUGCAUUUUUAUCUUCACGUGAGUAAAUUCGUUCUUUAAAUGCUAAAUAAUAUUUGAUAAAUUUCUUCUUGAUUUUAAUUUGAUGCUCUUAAGUUAUGUUCCAAGGUUGAAAGAUGACUAAAGAUGUUGACUGCCCACAAUGCUUUGGUUGUCUAAAUCUCUGCUUUGCAUGUUGAAUAAAAAUUACUUAGAGUAAAGCUUGUUUGUGGUGUGCAUGGGGGCAUUCGUUUAUAUCUUGAUUUUAAUUUGAUGCUUAGCCACAUCUUGAGGACUGAUAGCUAUAGACUUGGAUGGCAUGUAAUGCGGUGGUUAUCUCUUACUGUGUCUUUAAACAUUUAUUUAGAUUGAGAGAGUUCCUGUUGGCCUGUGUGUGGAUGCUGAUGUAUAUGGCUUUCUUCUUUUGGAUCAAAAAGUUACUGUUAUUUGUCAGGAAUUCUAAUCCCAACACAAUUUUUCCCCUUCAAGUUCUUUAGGAUAAUUUUACGAACUUUAUGUGGCAGAAAUUAGGUGCUAGCAUACUGGUUCAACCUAGAAUAACAUUGAAAAUUCUCUGUUUUUAAUAUCUUAAUGUUGCUAAAAAAUGUUGGAACAUUGUAUUCUGGUGGUGCUUGGUACCCCCAAAAAAAGAGUUUGUGGGAUCAUAUGUUCAUUUCCAUAGCAUAUUAAGGUAAAUACAAUUCCAUUUAAAAAAAAUAAAUAAAUAAACAACUUAAAGGAGAUUUUGUCGCUUGGCCAGAAAAAAGAGACUUUGUUGCUAUAGCUUUUAUAGUGCUGCAAGGUUAACCUAAUCAUAUGUUAUAUUCAAAAGAAAAAUGUUUCUGUAGCAGUAAAUGGAGCUUGUGUAAUUCUUCUUUUGUGGCAUUGCUGCUUUAAAUUGGUUGAGAGAUCUAAUUGACUGCACAUCACUUCUUUGCAUAAGCCUGCUGGUUGGAGUACUCGAUCAUCUUGUUGCAGGUGACAGAACCCCCAGAGGACAGAAUGGAGCAGGCUCUUUUCAGCCCACCACUUUCAAAGCAACGUGUAGAAUAUGCGCUGCAGCACAUUAAAGAUUCUUGUGCUACCUCUUUGGUAUUUGUCCUGUUUCCUCUUCUUUGUCAAUGUUGAUAAUAAUAAGUUGAUUUUGAGAUCAUGCUAUGUUCUGUUGUAGGUUGAUUUUGGAUGUGGCUCUGGUAGUUUACUGGAGUCUUUGUUGGAUUACCCAACUUCUUUGGAAACAAUUGUUGGUGUUGAUCUUUCAAAGAAGAGUCUUAGCCGUGCGGCAAAGGUAUUUACCAGUGUAUUUCGGCUUUACAUAUGGCCAAAUAAAAUUGAGUAGGUCAUUUAUGAGCAUUAUAUGAAGGAUAUGGACAAAAACAAUUAUUUUCAUUGUUGCAUUGCAUAAAUGAGUGGAUACGGAUUUGAAAUCAUCUUAUUUGUGUGCUGUAUUUUCUUUCACAAGCUAAAAUGUGCCUUAGCUACAUAUCUUUGAUUCUCUUGAUUGUGCAGGUUCUUCAUUCAAAACUAACCAUGAUGUCAGAUCCUGAAGCACCAUGUAAGAGCAUAAAAUCUGCAGUUCUUUAUGAUGGUUCUAUCACAGAUUUUGAUUCUCGGUUGUGUGGGUUUGAUCUUGGUACAUGCUUAGAGGUAUUUAAAAGCAACCCUUUUAAUGAACCUAUGCUUUUAGAAUUAUAUUGAUUGUCCUUAUUCACAGCUGACAUUUUGGAAAUGAAUAGGUAAUUGAGCAUAUGGAGGAGGAUCAAGCUUGUCUGUUUGGUGAUGUUGUGCUCAGUUCAUUUCGUCCAAAGAUUCUUAUUGUCUCAACUCCCAACUAUGAAUACAAUGUAAUACUCCAGAGAUCCAAUAUAACAAGCCAAGAAGAUGAUCCAGAGGAGAAGAUUUAUUCACAAUCAUGUAAAUUUCGCAACCAUGACCACAAGUUUGAGUGGACUAGAGAGCAAUUUAACCAUUGGGCAUCUGAAUUAGCGGUCAGGCACAAUUAUAGUGUUGAGUUCAGUGGGGUUGGUGGUUCUGCUGACCUGGAACCCGG
rnacentral:lncRNA from 1 species